rnacentral:lncRNA from 1 species
UUUAUCUUUUUUUUUUUUUUUUGCUUAACCACAAAAAUGAAAAAUCUUCUUCUCUAAAAUAGUCACCAACCUAAUUGUAAGGUAAAUUAUGGGGUGUUCAGCUAAUAUGCUAAUCUCUGCAAGUUGAAGUUUAAAAAAUAAAUAAAUGAGAAAACGCUACAGCGAGAUUGAAAAAAAGAAGCAAAUCAAGUGAUUUUACAAAAAAAAAAUGCGAACAGUACAGCGAGAUUGGAAAAAAGAAAAGAAGAGAAAAAAUAAACAAAUCAAAUUGCUCACUGUGAAGUGAAUUUUAGAAAGAAAAAAAAAAAGAGGAAAACGUUAAGCAGGUCGCUCACUGUGGAGUGAAUUUAAAAAAAAAUUCCUCACAGUGGAGCAAGAGGGGAAGAAAAAAAAAAAGAGAUAAUCGCUCAUGGUGUAACAAGAUAAAAACUUUUUUAAAAAUAAUUUUUUUUUAAAAAAGAAGAGAAAAUCACUGAUGGUGCAGCGAGAAACACUUUUUUAAAAAAAGGCUAAAAUCAAAUCUGCAAUGAGCAAGAUGUAAAAGAUAAACACGGUCAAACGGCAGUUAAAUCACAACUUAUAUAGGAGGCCUGUUUUGGUUAAAUCCAAAAUUGAAUGGCCCUUUGUGCAUUUUGGAGGAAAAAAAAGUGGCUCAUUCAGAUAGCAUAUAUAGCCUUGCACAAAAUAGUAGAGAGAUAUCAGAAAUACAGCCGAUGCAUACCUCACUUUGGUGCAUCAGAGACUGAAAAUUAUCAUGAAUAUGUUUAUGAUCAUCAAUGUCUGCAGCAGUUAAAAGGGGCAGCAGACAGAUGAAUUUGGGGGUAAGAAGAAUCAUAAGCCGGGAAAUGCUUAAAACCUCUUUAAGAUCACAUAUGCCGUUGAAACACUGGCCUCAAAUUAUAUCCACAUGCCAAAUGGAAAUGAGAUUUCAGGGCCACAAUAUGUAAAAGCAAAAUGGAUACUCUAGUAAUAAUUACAAGUUAGUGAUGCUGCUAUAUUUGUAUCAACCUGCACUUGAUGUUCCUCAUAAGCUACAAAAUUUAGUUUCUGGAAUCUUCAAACAUUCUGGCGUCCAGCUGAUCAACCUGAAAAUAGAUUAGAACUCAAUGAGGUCUCAAUUUUAAUUUUCUCUUUCUCCAGUUUGUUGUUUAAGAACCGUCACGUUAUGGCAUAUAUUAUAAACAAUAAUAGUAAUCUUGCCAGAUUGAUGAUUCCCUGGAUUUCCAACUUCUUUUUUGCUGCUGGAUUUAUUGUUACUUGGCUGUUCUACUGCCUGAUUCUGCAUUUAAAAGCCAAGUUUUAUAAAAUGACAGAUCACUAGAGAAAGCAUAUGGAUCACAUUGAAAGGAAAGGAGAAACAGGCAUGGACUGUUUCGAGCUGCAUCCAUCCUAUAAACACUCAUUCAAGUAAAACUCAAUUUGGCAAGUUAUAGAAGUAAAGCAAGAGUAUCUGUUUCUUUUGGAGAAUAAAUUUAAUCUAGCAACACAAUCUUCUGUGAAGUGCAAUUGACCAAUGAGGCAAUGACCAAGGUGAAAAUAAAUAGUGAUCGCAAGAUGCAAAGAGUAAACUUGUUGCCCGUGGUCUCUACAUGGACAUAGUUAUCAUGAUAAGCAACAAGUAGAUUUGUUCAUGGUGGUCACUAUAUCGACACAGUCGCUAUGAAAUGAGUUAAGGACCAGUAGAAGAGGAAGGGCUUGCCUGCGGUAAUGCGACUUGCGUUUGCUGGAGACCAAAAAACUGCUGAUAUGGAUCAUUAAAAGUCGGAAGUCUUGGCUGGUUCGAAUUAUGUGCAACAAGUGAAUUUAGCAUUGGAUCUGGCUGACUUGAAGCUUGCAUUCUGGAUGGAUCUGGUACUGGAACUGGUGGCAAAUGAAAUGGAGGGAUAGGAAAUCUAGGACCCAUUUGUGCUGCUGCAGCUGCAUUCUGCAUCGCUGCACCUUGUAAUAGAGGUGGAUAUGGCACCAUUUGCCUGUUCAUGCCAAUCUCCAUACCCAUCCCUAUACCCAUGCCCAUUCCCAUUGGCGGCAUGUACGGUUGCAUUCCAGGAUACAUCAUCGGGACCAUGCCACAUCCCAUGGACAUCAUCUGUAGACAAACAGAUAUGAUCAAACUACACUCUGCUGCGAGUACAAAUCCUUUUUAAGAUAAUAACAAAUAGGAGUAUGGCUAUAUCAACAACUAAGUUCAGCAUGCAUAUUACACAACCAGAGAUUAGUUGAGAAACUCUAAUAAAGAUACUCAUGAAAACUUCCUUGACACUGAACAUAUGUACACCAGCUCAGACCAAGUCUGAGCUGGAAACACAGGUCAAUAAGGAGAAUAAUGAACUUUAUUUUUUGACAAGCAAGGAAUUUUCACUUUUGGAAGAGGAGGUUAAAGGCCGUGAGAAUAUGAUGAGUGAAUCCUUAAUAUUCACGAUGUAACACUGAAGAUGUACAUUGGUCAAUUUUAUCUAUAUAUUCAAAUACACAAGAUAUAGGUUUAUUGUUCCAGCGAAGGAGUUACAUUUCCAUUCACGUCCAACUGAAAUUCGAUAAUAACGCUUGAGCACCUUCAUGGAAUUUGAAUCAAGAGUGUGCUACAAACAAAUUAAGCACUUAAAUCCACAUAUUACAAGGUGGACUGCUCUUCUAUGAGCAAUGAUGGAACUGGAAAGAAUUAACACUAUAAAGAUUUUUGUUGCCGUGUCUAACUCAACCCCAAGAACUAGCUCAUGGGGGGAAGUUUGUCCAAGUCCAUAUAAGCCUAUCAGCAGUCCAUUCCCAACCAACGCGGACUUUAACCCACUCUAACACUCCUUUUACACCCAGGUCCAUUUGAAGCGUGGACCGGAAGCCCAAAUAGGAAUGAACUUGACUCUUACACCAAGUAAACGGAUGGAAGAGGUUAUCUUAUUCAAAAGGUAAGCAAUGAAUAAAUACAAUAGAUUGUUUGUUAACUUAGGAAAGAGGUAGAAGAUGAUUCCUACAAAAUCAGCUUUCUAAAUACGGCUAUGUACUUUACAAGAAUGAAGUCUAUAUGCAUUCUAUACCAUAUUAAGAUAUGAUAAUUGAGUCUAACUCAACCCCAAAAGCUAGCUCAGGAGGGGAAGAUCACCCAAGUUCAUAUAAGCAGACUAUCAAUCUAUUACCUAACCAUUACGGGACUUUAACCCACUCUAACACCCCUUCACACCCCAACCAAACUGGAGCGCAAACCAGGCGGCGCCCAAAUGGGGAUGAACUUGGUUCAGAAACCAUGUAAUCAGAUGGAAGAAGUUAUCUUAUUCCAAAAGGUUAGCAGUCAAUAAAUACGAUAGAUUGUUUGCUAACUUAGGAAAGAGAUAGAAGAUGAUUCCUACAAACCUGCUAUCUAAAUAUAGUUAUGUAUUUCACCGGAAUGAAGUCUAUACACAUUCUAUACCAUAUAAAGAUAUGAAAUACGAGUCUAACUCAACUCUCUAAAAGCUAGCUCAUGAGGAGAAAAUUGUCCAAGUUCAUAUAACCAAACAGUCAGUCCAUUCCACAACCAUUGCGAGACUUAACCCACUCUAACACCUCUUCACGCUCUCACCCAACUGGAGCAUGGACCAGGAUUCCAAACAAGGAAGAACUUGACUCUGCUACAAUGUAAUUGGAUGGAAGAACUAUCUUAUUCCAAAAGGUAAGCAAUGAAUAUAUACAAUAGAUUGUUUGCUAACUUAGGAAAGAUAUAGAAGAUGAUACCUACAAAUUAAUCUGCUAUCUAAGUAUGGCUAUUUACUUUACUAGAAAUGAAGUCUAUAUACAUUCUAUACCACGUAAAGAUAUAACACCUAGACCUAAUUCAACCCCAAAAGCUAGCUUAUGAGGAGAGGAUUGUCCAAGUAUAUAUAGGCAGACCGGCACUACAUCAGCCAACCAAUAUGGGACUUUAACCCACUCUAACAAACACUAAUGGAGCCCAAAAGAGUUCUUCCAAGCAGUUUUUAGGGAAGAAACAUUGAAUGCCCUAAAGUGGCCCAGUUUAGUUAUCCCUGCCCUUUGUAAAGAAGCAUUAAACAUUGGUCAUUCUUAUAGAUAGAAGAUGAAGAAGAAGAAGAAGACCAUGGUAAUAACACCACGGAUCGUAGAAUUAACUUAAUUAGUGUAGAAACUAAAAAAUUUAGCAACUAAAGAAUGAGGAUUUGUUGUUCUACUCCCUCCAUUUCAAAAAGAAUGGCCUAGUUUGACUUGGAACGGAGUUUAAGAAAAGAAGAAGACUUCUUAAUCUUGUGGUUUCAAAUUAAAGUUAUGUCAAAUGUACCAAAAUGCCCUUUAAUCUUGUGGCUUUAAACAUGCCAAGUGGAAAGUUGAAGUUAAAGUGUUGCCAAAAAAGGAAAUGGGUCAUUCUUUUUUAAACAAACUAAAAAGGAAACUAGGCCAUUCUUUUUUAAACGGAGGAAUUAAUUAUAAAAGGGCUAUCAUUUCGUCAAUUAAAAUUAUUUGUUUCCUCCUUCAACAAAAUGCAAAUGUAAUCCUUUAGCAGUAAAUAUUUGGAAACUAAAUAGUAGUGCCGUUAUGUAGUGGACAUAAAUAUACUGUAUACAAGCAUUAUGGAAUCAAUAGCAAAAAUGAAAGCAUAGAUAAUUUCUUACUUAAAAUAAUGUUAGGGAACACACACACAUGCACACAUGGUGUGUGCAUGCGCGCAUAUAUGUGUGUAGAACAUAAAAUAUAUGAAAAACGUAAUGUAAUUAGAUGCAUAGGAAAGGCAUGUGUUAUAGCUUUCACUCCCGCAAGAAAUCUGGUAGUGAAGUACCGACAAGAUGAGAUUUGGUUUCAUUAGGACAAUAAAACUAAAAAAUAGACUAACGUUGUAGUACUUAAUUAACAUGCAAGUUCUUAAAAUUUAGACAAUAUCCAAAUACUGCAUUAGAAUCAUCCAGAUAUUGCUACAUGAAUUACAAAUACUGGUAAUUCAGAUUCUAUAUUUCUUAGAUAUUAUAUGAUUGCGUUAUUAGACUGUUCUUUAUUUGAGUAUGUGUAGUGCUAUGAAAUACGGAUAUUCUGAUCGACCCCAAUUGGCGCUCUGAGUAAUCUAGUUACCAUUACUACUUCCUACUAAUACUGUAAACGACAAAAAGUGUGUUAUACCAAAAGAAAGGCAGUAGUUUGAAUAUAAAAUGUUGUUGACUUACUCAUAACUUACUAAGAGCAUGUGUUGGAUUGGUUUUUUACUUAUGACUUAUAAGUCACAAGCCAUUAGUUAUAAAUCCUAUUUUAUGGCUUUUGCUUAUUUUUAUGAUUUUGGCUUUAAACCAAGUGCUUUAGAGCACUUCUUUUUAAUCCAAACACUCUAAAAAGUUAUUUUAGCCUAAAAGCACUUAAAAUUAGCAUAUCCAAACGGUUUUAUAAAAAAGAAAAAAAAGGAUUGACCAUAUACAAACAUUAAAAUAAAGCAAUGAAUAGUGACUUGCAGACAACGAAAGAAUGUAAUAUUUACAUAAAAAAGAAGUUCUAAAUAUUUCUAGUAAUAUCUCGACUUCCUAUUAUUUAUAUUUAAGAUACAAUCAUUAAGAGAAUGAGGUUCUUUAGGUGUAAAAUUAUCCAACUUCCUGGUGUUUAAGCCAAGUAUUUUAUAGGACUACAAUAAACUACUCCCUCUUCAGAAAGGACUAUCAAAUUCCUUUUCUAUAAAGAAAUUGAACAAGAAGGGUUGGAAUGUAUCAAGAGGCAAUACAUGAAAAAGAUGUUAAUAAAUGUACCUGCACUUGCAAUUGCAGUGAUUUCAAAUACUCAAUUGCCUCAUCAAGCAUUGAAGCUUUGUCCGUCUGAAAUUCAACAAAAAACUAAGUUAAAUAUAUUAACAGGAGAGUAAACUAUAUGUUCUAUAUAUUGUAGAGAAUUCAACGAAGAGGCCAAAACCUUGUUACAGCGUGGUAUGAGUUCCUGCAGGGCCUUCAUCUUCUCAUUUAUUCUGUCUCUACGUCUCUGUGGUGAUUGGAGCAUCGGCAUGUUGAUUAACAGUCAAAUGAAAAAAAUAGUUAAAUUAUCAAAACCCUCAAAUCAACAACUGCACAACACAUACCCUUUCUGAAAGAUUAUGGACCUCCGCAGCACGAGAUCGCUUUGUGGAUGUUGAACCGCGUGCUUGCUUUUUUGUAUCAGGAGACUCAAAUUCAGCAUCCUAGGGAAAUUGAGACAUAAGUUAAUGAAGCAUUAAUAGUAAACUCAACAAAAAGGAAAGAAUGUGUUCUCAUUUCUCAACUUCCAGAAUUUCUUGUCUUUCUCCCACAUGACAAGACAUCAGGAAAGUUGAGUUUAACUAUCUUACAACAGAAAAGUUCACGUGAUCUCCCAAAGAGUAAGAUGGCGUAUACCUUUCUGGUGAGGAGGGAAGUUAAAAGUGGCCAGCAAUUGCCAGUGUCCCUUCACCACCACCACUUUGAAAUUUUCUUUCUGCCACCUUCUGGUAGUUCUUACACUUAUACAUCAAAAGACCAUGAGAUUUUCUAAGUGCUCCUGAGUUUUCGAUUAGUCCCACUUAUCGGUAACCUUAGAAAGUAUUUAGACUUAAUGUACCACACUUCCUUUCUUUACUUCAUUUAAUUUUCUUCUUUUCUUAGCGCAAAAAGAAUUCUGCUUGAAACAAAUUAUUGAUCCUCUCAGAGGAACAAAUUGAUUUAGAAGUAACUUGCAGGUUAACCCGGUGCAAUUUGGAAUGCUGUCUGCAAACUAGGGAGUCAAGAGAAGUAGCAAAGAACAAUGAGGUGGGUUUCAUCUGAUGUAAACAUUAUGGUACUGAGGUAUACAUACAGCUUGUUCAAACAGUUUUUCACUCAUAUUCAGGUCCUUAAUGGGAAUUCAAUGUUCUAAGAGUGUUGAGAAAAUGAGAUGCUUCUCGAUUGUUUUGAGAACACUCUCUUGGAAAAGAGAUUCUACUCUUUGUCCACUCAAAGUUGUCUCCUAAAAACUAAACUACCACUGCUCUGAUUUGUCAUGUGAAACUUGCAAGUAUCCAGUAUACAGUAGCAAAGACAGGAAUCAAAGCCAAAUAAGGUGUGUUUGGUAUGGAGGAAAACACUUUCGUUAAUCCAUGAGUUCAGUAUGGAACAAACACAGUUAUUCACAAGCCUCAUACCCUAACUACCACUCCCUUUGUAUUAAAACAAACCUUGAUAUUGAGUUGGCGUACACGCACCUAUUGUUGAGGGAACAUAUAUUUGGCUAACUCGGCAUCAAGAUACUUUUUACUAUUAUAGGAAAUGAUAGUUUCAAUAAAGUAGAGAUCAAUGAAUAGUUGAGUUAUGAAAGUGUGUGCAUUUACUUUUUAGUUUUUACCAUUAACUCAUUUUAUUUUAUAGGUGAAAAGGUCAACAAUGCCUAACUAGUAACUAGUAUUCGAAAGUUUGGCACAUCCAUGACCCUGCGUUAUAAAUAUAGGAAAAAGAAUUGAAACUCCUUAAACUAUUUAGUUUAAAUUUUUAAUUUAAUUAUUAAUAACAUAACUUCAUAUAUGCAUAGAAAUCACAUGACAAGUUUAAAGUUAGGAGUUCUAGGAUACUUUUAUUAACUUCUUAUUCACGACAUAAAAUGAAAUUAACAAAUGAGGUAGACAUUAUUUUUUUUUUAAAAUUAAUUUAUCCUCAUAUGACACUGUGAAUUUAAGACUGUCAGAAAAUUCAGCACAAUAUAAGAUAUGCUGAUUUCAGAAAACAUUCCCAAGGAGAUCACAUACAGCUCCCCUCUUCCUUAAGCUCUGUUACAUCACGAAUGGUUAACACGGACAAUGGGACAAAGUUAAAUAAGUCCAAACACUCCAGUGACCUUUGCUAUAAACAGGGGGCAAUAAAAGAAAAAAAAAAAUAAGUACUCCCUCCGUUUCACAAAGAAUGACCUAGUUUGACUUGGCAUGAAGUUUAAGUAAAUUUUAGAAGACUUUUGAAUCUUGUGGUUCUAAAUUAAAGUUAUGUCAAAUGUACAAAAUUGUCCUUAAUCUUGUGGUCUUAAACAUGCCACGUGGAAAGCAAAAAGUAAAAUGUUACCAAAAAAUGAAAGAGGUCAUUCUUUUUUAAAUUGACUAAAAAGGAAAGGAGGUCAUUAUUUGUGAAACGAAGAGAGUACUUUCUAAAGGUUCUAGAGUCUUCUUAUUAUUUUAACCACUAAUAAUAGAUGUUCCUUUUCUUUUUCACCUCAUAACUAAAAGCAGUAUAAAAACUUUAUUUUAUGGUUAGUGAUCUGCCACGUGUCCUGAACAACAGCCACAAAAUUGCCGGCUCGAAGCCACGUCACGGCACAGCACAAACCGGUGACGUAGCCAAGAAAAAUCCCUCCUAACGCUAAAAUGCACCGUAAGUUAGAUAUUCUUGCGAGCCACGAAAAACGACAGCGCCUGUGAAAGACAGGUGCGAGUAAUUGGGAAUUACAAGAGACGAAAUAACAAUUACUGCUCACCUCAUUCUGACCUUCGUCAUCCUUUUCUCUUCCUUUCCGUUUCCGGUCAUCCGCUGCUGCUGCUGUUGCCGUUGGCGCCGCCUUAUGCGACGGUGCUGGUGGUUCGGCACUGGCGCUUACACUAUUUCCUGAGCCACCCGGAGAUGACGUCAUUGAAAUGUCACAUGUAGUCGUCGGUUCUCUAAUUGCCGUUGACGUAGUCGCAGUUCCGGUGCUGCCGUUUAUAGUACUACAUCCUACAUUUCCGCUGGGAACUGGUACCACAUUAUCGGGUACGUGUGAAACUCUAGAUUCCUGCCCUGUAAUUGGAGUUACGUUUGAAUCCACGACCGCUGAAUCUCUCAGUGACUUGCUUAAAUUUGCCUGACCAGGUUCUAACCUGGCUUUAGGCAAUCGCGAGAAGUGUCCGAAGUUCUGGAACCGAUUUGAAUUUUCUGUGACGGAGCGUCUAGAAGGAGGUAUAGGCGGCCGAGGAGCCGUUCCGAUCGGCGCUGCUGGCGAUGGUUGUGGCGGAGGUGGACGGAUCUCCAACGUAGACGUACGGUUAUCUCGUGGCAGCGUGGCGGUGGUUAAGGUAGAAGUCGGUGUGGGAUAUAGGAGAUCGGAGUAGAGAUCACGUUCGAAGGAGGGGUCAUCAAGUGGGUAGUGAAGCCAUGAGGCCAUCUCAUCCUCCUGCAUAAACAGAUGAUGUGGAGUAGUUUCCUCUACAUGUCGGAUCUCUCUACCGACAGCUUGGUCAGAGGGAAUAACCGCAUCACCACCGCCUCCACUGCCGUUACCGAUGUGAGAUUUCUUAAGAGAUCUUUGAUUCUGACUCUGCAUAACCACUUGACCAUUUUGCCACAGUAGUUCCAUGAUUUCCUCCUCCGCCCUAUGAAACCAACAAACAAAAAUCUCUUCCACUUCAAAAUCACAAAUCAGAAAACUAAACCUUUCAUUCAAAUGAUUAAAAAAAAAAACAUAAAGUUUACAUUGCGGACUUCUUAGUUCUGGUAAGACCAGAAGAAGCAGGAAGAGAGUAGUCAUCAUCCAUAUCAAAAUCAGGAACAGAAUGAUUCAUCGUGACGUAGGCAGCUCAAAUCUCCCAAAUAAAAAAAUCAAAAUUGGUCAGGCACCGCCGCAACAAGCAGUCCCAAACUCACCAUAACACUGGAGCAGCUUAUUAACACCGCCCAUAAAUCUACGAAAUCAAAAGCUCACACAAAAGGCGGCUGCUUAAUGUUAAAAACGUCUUUAACAACCUCCAGAGUUAGCUGAAAGUACCUUUUUGAAACCCUUUUACUGUUGUGUGUAGUUUGAAAAUGGAGAGACGAGUGACGAUUGAUUGAGUAGCAGAGAGCAAGAAGGUGGGCGAUUUUGGGUAUGAAUACUUUCCUCUUUCUAUUCUUUCCUUCUUUCCUUUCUUGGUUUUUGCCUUUAUUGUUAAUGUCCUUUUGCAAGAGAGAUAAGGUCCGUUCUCUCCUCCCCUCUCUCUCUUUCCUCACCGUGCCUUUAAUCUUCGAAUAAAAAUUAAAGAAAAAGACGAAAUUGAUUUUUGACACUAUUGCAUCGGACAGUUAUUUCACUGUCAUUAUAAACACAUUUCCCCACCUGUUUCAAUCAAGCAGCUUAUCAUCAAUUACUACUAAACUACUACUAUUUCCUACUCAUCUCUCCCAACUUGAGUCUUUUACAUUUUUGCCCUAACAAAAUUUAAAAAUUUGUUAACGAAUAUUUUUUUCCGCCACCAACAUGAUUUGUGAUGUAGUAGCGAGACUACUUCAUUGUUAAUCAAUGAUCUAGAGUUUGAGUUUUGGAUAUGAAUUGUUUUUUAUUAAGAGUGUCAUCUCCUAAUAUAUCAUGCAGCGGGUCAGAUUUAAUUGGUGCUUCAAUACGGAUAUUGAAUGAGGACCAAUUAUUUUCCCCUAUCCAUAAUUAGCGAGGGUACAAAAGGUUUAAUAAAGCAGUAGUUUUUGAACUCGUCACUCCGAGUCUAAAUAAUAAAUUCUUGGUCAAUUAUUCGUUUAUACACAUAUACAUAAUUGUUUGAUUUGAGAAAAUGUGUAACACAUACAUAAUUAUAUUUGGGAAAAUGUGACACAGAACAUAAUAAUUUUGAAAAAUGUGAAUAGAACAUGGAAAGUUCUCAUUUUAUUAACUUUGUUGCGCGACUUCAAAUUAGGUCGUGAUGAUAAGGUGUUGAUACAAAAUUUCAUGUGCCGAUUGGUAUUAAAAUCAAACAAAAAAAAAUUAUUGAUUUGGAAAACAAUUUUUGAUGUGUUUGAGAGCCGACUUAAAUUGUAAAAUUUAAUAAUUCUUCUAAAGUGAUUAUCUAAGCAUAUUAGAACUGCUUAAUGACAUUAUUUGUUGCUUUGUCUGGUGGGGCCCUGCACAAAUUACCUUAUGUAUAUAUCUACAAAAACUAUUGGUUAAUAAGAGAAAGAUAGAGCCGAUAGAGACAUAUAGUAAUAUAUGAAUUCAUAUUUGGAUAACUUUGGAUUUCCAAUUAACACGUAGUAUUAUUUAUAAUAUAUGUACAAAUACUUUAAUGAUUCGAACAGAAGUCCAUCUAUCACCAAAAAGAAUAUGAUUAUCUAUGUUGUACAGUUGCAGUUUUAUGUAAUGAAUGUUAAAUAAAAUAAUUUGCUAAGUACAUGUUUAAGAUACACUUAUCAUUGUUUAUAUUACUUAAAUAAUAACACUUUAAUUAGUCGACAAAAGCUAAAAAGUAGUGAUUGUUCUGUAUAAUAUAUCAUUAUCCAUUGUGGAUCCUCUGCAUAUUAAAAGCUGAUUCGGGCGUGAGCGCUGAGCAGUCCACAAUUAUUUAUUUAACAAAAAAACGUAUAAAAAUCUUUUAUUACAUGAAAUUAAAAAAAAAUGUCUAGUUAAUAGUUUGGUCUAAUAAUAUUUAUAUUGCUAAUAAUUUGGUUCAAAGAUGCCUAUCUGUUGCUCAAAUGAGUCAAAAAUGUCAUUUUUUAAAGUAAUUUGUUUGCAUAGUUUAACUACCAAAUACCAAUCACUAAUUUUAUUCUAUUAUUUAACUUUUUCUUCAAAGCUUUCAUCAUUUUAUUCUCUUGAUAACUCAGACUUACAAUCUUAAGAUUAAAAAAAGAAAGUACUUAACUACUCAUCAUUCAAGUAACCUUAUUUUGUCAAACUAUGAUCCUAAUUAAGUUGAGUCCUUUCGUUAUCUUAAAAUAUAAAGUACUACCACUUCUUUUUUUUGUUAGUAAUAUUUUUUAUUGUCAUAGAUAAGAAUAAAAAUUGAUAUUUUUUUUUGAAUUCUUAACCUAGGUGGUCCUAAGAAUGUAAGGUACCCCUUGGUGGUGUUAAAGCAUAAUUCUUACUACAUGUCCAAGUAUAUCGAAUAUUAGAUGCACUGGAGAUAUUGAGAACGAUAGUGCUCUAAGAACAGAAUAUAUAUGUCUUUAAGUUGAAUCUGACAUGUCAAAAUGAUUAAUCUACUUGUGGCAUAACGCAAGAAAUGACCAUUUUUUUCUAAGAGGAAUGAUAUAGUAUAAUUAAAUUACACAUUAGGGAUAAUAAGAAACACAUUAUAGUAAGGCCUCGUUUUAAAAGGAUUUGAAGUUGAAGUUUUGUCUGAACAUGUAAUUGGAAUAUUUUGUCAGACUAUGAGUUGCAACCUGCUAUUCCAAAUUGUCAAAGAAUGUUAUAAUGAAGAAAUUGUAAGUCAAUAUAUAGCUAACUUUACAGUGUUUUUGCAACCAGAUAUUCUUUGCUCACUUGUUUUCUCACUUUCUAAGUGAUAAAGGUGAUGGCUCAGUUCCUGGGGUUGAUGUACACUUACUUGAGCAUAUCCAUAACCAAAAACAUUGGAUUAGAUUUUCAUCUGUAUUUAUAGACACUAUUAUUGCUCUGUACUAUUAGCAUAGAAUAAGAAAUGUGGAUAUGUGGGACAAGGUGGGAGUGGCUUUUUGUGGAGGAUAUGAUGUGAAAAGCGAGGGUGAGAUGAUUCGGACAUGUGAAGAUGAGAUACACAUAUGCCUCAGAGUAGAGGUGUGAGAGAUUGUUUAUGGAUGGUUUCAGAAUAAGUAGAGGUAGACUGAAGAAGUAGUGGAUCAUUGGACAGGGCAUGAAAUAGUUUCGGUUUAGCAAGGACAUGACUUUAGAUAGGAGGGUAUGAAAGACACAAAUUAGGUCAGAAAGUUAGUAUGUAGCCGUGUUUCAUCUUAUUGUCCCUUCAUAUUAGUAGUCGUAGUAUUGCUCUUAUAGUUUCAUUCCUUCAAAAAAAAUUACUAUAUGUUGUUCUUUAUAUCUCGAUUAUCAUUUUGUUGCAAUAUCUAUUGUGUUGCUAUCUAUUGUUUUUAUUAUUAUUUGAUGUUUCUUGUAUUUUCAUUACCUUUUUUUUGAGAUUAUUCUGGACUUUUUUUCUUAUGCCGGGGGUCUAUCAGAAACAAGAUAUCUACCUCUGAGGUACGAAUAAGGCCUAUAUAUACUCUACUGGCCUUUCCAAACUCCAUUUCGUGGAACUUACCCCUGAUAUGUUGUUGUACUAUCAGCAUAGAAUAAACUCAUUAGUGUGAAUCACUCAAUAGUAAAAGAUUUAUGGAAUCGGAAAGAGCAACUUUUUUAUAAUACCAACUUACACAUCUUUGUUUACAUUUGAAAUAGACGGUUGGUAGAUAUUGUAGGUAGUUAUAAAUAUAUUUUUCAACUUAUGAAUUUUUUGUUUACAAAAUAUAAAUUUAUUGGUCAAGUUUUACUUUAGUUUACAAAAUUUGUUGAAAUCAUGCUCUCAAAUCCUAUUACCAAAUGCUUACUAAAUCAAAUAAGGAGUAAACUACGAAGUUGCUCUCAUUUCAGAAAUUAUUCUAUAUAAAUAUAUAUCUUAAUAGGGUGAUAAUAUGUAGAUGAUGUGAACAUGUCGUGGAUGGUGCUCCAUGGUAAGUCUAGCCCCUUUUAUUCAAAAAAAAAAAUGAUUAAAAAUGUUUGAAUUGAAUACACAUUUGAAUAUAAAAACGUUACAGAUAUAUACAAUCCCAAUAAAUAGUUUGCACUUUGCUUAGCUCUUAAAAUAUAUGCACACCACAAUUCAAACUCAUAGUAAACAUUAACAAAUUUUUUCAUGACAUAGCGAUUUACACAAAUUGAGGAAUUCUUGAAGAUGAAAUCUUUCCUAAAUAAAUACGUCAACAUGAUUGAGCCAAACCCCUUUGCAAUUUCUUUGUAAAACAAAAUAGAGAAAAAUAUUCACCACAAAAAAAAAAUCUAGGGUUCUUCAUUUUAAAAAUAGAAAAGAGCAAAACUAAUUUCAAAAUUUAAGGAUUCAACUUUCAAUUUUAUUGGUUUAAAAUAGUUGUUCUGGUAGUUGUAAACAAGAAGAAAUUCAAAACUUAGAAAUAUUAGUACAUUAUAUACGUCAUAUACAUUAUUAUACAUAGUGAUACACAUAAUAUACAUAGUAUAUACAUUAUUAUACACAAUGUUAUAGGUUGUAUAUAUAUAUUUGUUAUACAUAACACAACUAUAAUAAAAGCAUUGUCCAACCACCCUGAAAAUGUAAUGUCGGUUGGUUUGGUCUCGGGUUGACUUUUUUUAUUUAAGACCAAACCAAUAUAAGUAUAGUUGGGAUUUUUUUUUCCAUUACCAAACUAAGUAAACCAAACCAUAAGUCGGAUUUUUUUUCUGAUUUUACUCAAUUUUAUAAUUUAGUUCAAUUUUCAAUUCGAUUUUGUACAUCCCUUAUCAUAAUGCAGAAGUUAGGAUUAUAAUGGUCAAUAUGACUGCAUCUAUUAAUUAAUUAAUUAAUACCUGGACUCACCCAUUAAUGACUUUAAAAGCUAAAACGUUUAUUGCCUAUAUUGAGAUAGGAUCUUGGGUAUCAGAACAUGUAAUUAGUCUUGCUAGACUACUGAGCCAUGCUUCUUCAUUAUGUUUAGUGGGCUCAUUUUGUUUACCUCUAACAUUUUAUAAUGAAUUUAUUCAUGUAAAAAACCAAAAAAAAUUGACGAAGCGGAUUCAGUUGAACCCUCUUAAACCAAUAUAGAUAUAAAAAGUGAGUCAAGUAAAAAUACAUAAAUUAAAAUAUUCGAAUAACCCAUAUUUGAUAUGCGAAUCAAAGAUGGGGUAGACCAACAGAUAUUAUGAAUGAAUCAUAUUAUCAAUUGUUUUCUUAUUAUGUAAAAGAAAUAAGUACUCCUAGAUUACAAGCAUUUUUUUUCUUAUUGUUUUUCUUUUAAGGUGUGUUUGGUAUGAAGCAAAAUAUUUCUGUUCUUCCCUAGAGAACACAUUUCAAAUAAGUACUUCCUCCGUCCCAUUUUAUGUGGCAACAUUUUGAUCGGGCACGGAGUUUAAGAAAUAAAUGAAGACUUUGAAAUGUUUACCAAAUUGCCCUUUUAAAAAGUAGGCUCACUUUUUACUCUCUCCUCAUAAAUGUAUUGGAGUAUUAUUUUAAGAUUAAGUGGGACCAAUAAGGGUAAAAGAGGAAUUGUACCUUUAAAUACUUACCAUAUAAGGAAAUGUGACAUUUUUUUUGGGACUGACCAAAAAGGAAAUGGUGCCACAUAAAAUGGGACGGAAGGAGUAAUAUUUUUCUUAUACUACACCCUUAAUAAGAGUAUGUUUUUUAAAGGUUUUUAUAUGUUACAUACUUUUAAGGGGAGUGCAAUUGGUGGUUAUAUUCAUGAAUUAUUCAUGUUUUAUGAUGGGUAAUAUGAAUUGAUCUAUGUUUGACUAUUUUUGAAUGAUUGGAUACCUAAUUCAUUUAACAUGAGCUAAUUCAAGCGGAUAAUUAUUUCACUCCUAGUUAUGAGUCAUUUAGGUAUUAUUUCAUGCAGAAAAAAGUUAAAAUAACUAAUACGUAAACUAGUAAUACAUGAAUAACUCUAAUCAGUCACCAAACAACCCUUUUAUGUGUUGUGAAUGUAUUAGAACACUAAAUAAUUGAAAGACGAAAAGAUAUAUAAGCAGAAGUAUCUACAACUUGAAGUAAAACACGUAAAAUUUUGAGAGAAUCAUCAUUCUAAUGCGAUUAAUUAAAAGAGAAAAAUGAAGGGAAGUGCAUCAUAUUCUUUGUGCUAUGCCCACAUAUUUCAUAUUAUUUAAUUCACUAGGAGUAAAAUCUAUAUCUAUAUCUAUAUAUAUAUAUACUAGUUAUUAGGUUCCCGCGCCAGCGCGGGCCCAAUGUAUAUUACUUCCUCCGUCUCAUUUUAUGUGAGGUAGUUUGAUUCACCACGGAGUUUAAAAAAGAAAUGAAGACUUUUAAAAUUUGUGGUCCAAAAUGAAUGAUAUAAAUUUGUAUGACUGUAAAUUAUUUCAUUAAGGGUAAAAUAAAUAUUUUAUAAUCAAAUUGUUACUUAAUAUAGAAAUGUGACAUUCUUUUGGGACUGACUAAAAAGGAAAGUAAAUAACAUAAAUUGGGAGUAGUUCUUUGUUUCAAUUUAUGUGACACCGAUGAAAUUUGGAGAGUUAUAUAAUUUUUUGUAUGUGAUUUUGUUAANNNNNNNNNNNNNNNNNNNNNNNNNNNNNNNNNNNNNNNNNNNNNNNNNNNNNNNNNNNNNNNNNNNNNNNNNNNNNNNNNNNNNNNNNNNNNNNNNNNNNNNNNNNNNNAAGUAGUACUAAUUCAUCCCAAAUCUCUUUUAUCAUAUGAUAAAACAAUUCUCUUUUUCAUCUUGUUUUUUCCCCAAUAAAAAGAACAUAGAAAAUAGAAGUAAUUUCCUUACCACAGAAAAUACCAUCAUUAAAUUUCUUAAGCUUGUUAUCUCCUGUAUUCAGAUUAGCAAACCAGAAAUAAUAAAAGAUGAAAAGAAAAACACAAAGAACUAUCCGAGUCCACAGAACCCACUGUGUGUCCUUAAGAAAUUUAAUCCCCUCAAGUACCCGAGGUUGCAGAUUAAUUCCUCCCAAGAUAAAACGGAUUAACCAUUAAAGAAGUAGCGGUACCUCAAACUUCGAUAAUUUCAACGAACUCAAAAUGACAGCAACGAAUCACACACAGAGACACGAUCGAUCGAUUUUGUUUUGUAAGAAAUGUAUGCAAAAGAAGGGAAGAAUUCGAUGCAGAAAAAUGAGAGAACAUCUCUCUAUUUAUAGUCAACAAAGGGUAAAGGUCACAACCCUUUGAAAAGAAGACAACCUUUCAGAAAGGUCACAACACUUUGGAAAAGGCACAACCUUUCAAAUGGUCACAACCCUUUAGAAAGGAUACAACCUUUCAUAAAGGUCACAACCCUUCAGGAGAGUCACAACUCUUCAUUUCCUGUUCACACCUUUAAAACCCAACAUGCUUCAAAGAGGAUUUUCGAAAAUAGGCAUAUAUACCUCAAUUACUUGCUAAGAAAGAUCUAAAUGUAUAUAAUCGAUUGAUGAUAUCUCUCUAAGAAUUCCAAGAUUGAUGAUACCUCAAUUACUACUAUUACAAAUUCAUCUUUUGUGUUAUCUGUUGAUAAAGCAAACUGUACCCAAAUUAUCAUGUUAACAAAAAAAAACAAGAUAAAAAGAUGAUCAUAUACAUCGAUCAAACCAAUAAGAGUCGGUCUUUACAAUUUCUUGGACUGAUUCAAUAUUUUUUUUAAUUUUUUUUUUGAGUUUUAAGUAAAAUCUCCACAACACAAAAUAUAAACUAAUGCUUCGAAAUAUGUUCUUGGUCCUACUAAGAUGCACUAAUUAUAUGACGCUUUUGAAGAUGACAAAAGAAAAAAUGAAUAAUUCAUGACAUUAUAAUGCUGAAGUAUAGUGUCACCAACAAUAAAGAUUGAAAAAAAUCCAUAAAACAAGUAUAUAUAUAUAAAAGGAGAAACAUAGAGAGGGUGAUGUGGCACCUCUCUAUGAUCUCCAUUCCAAUUUUUCCUUUUUCUCUUUUUUUGGCCCUUUUUUAUAUUUAAAAUAUUUAAUUUAUUGUGAAAGUAUUAUUUAAUUUAUUAUAAAUAAAUAUUAUAUUAAUGAAGAAACAUUUAUAUAUAUCAAAGACUCUUCACAUGUCAAAUAUUUUUUUAUAUUAUACAAAAAAGAAAAAUGAAAAUUACUACUCCUCCAUUUAUUUUAUUCUUUAAUGUACAAAAUUGAAUGUCUAAAAAUUUACUACUCCACUCAAUUUCAUAAUUUGAAAAAUUAAAAGUCUCAUCAGUUUGUUUUUCCCUUGUGGGUAUUUUCUUAUUAUAUAAAAAAGAAAAUGACAAUAUAUAUAUAUAUAUAUAUAUAUAUAUAUAUAUAAAGCUAAAUGUAGACAAGGUGAUGUGGCACUUAUCUAUGGCCUUCAUUCCUAUUUAUCUUUUUUCUCCUUUUUUUGGGCAUUUGUUAGUUUUUAUCCUCAUUUUUAAUGUAGUUAAUAUUUACAUAAUUGUUGAAUAACUAAUGUUUUGUUGUAAAUAUGUUAUAUUAAUGUAGAUGUCCAUAAUUUCAAGAUGUAAUUGCACCAUUAUGUGAAUAAACUCACACCUCCACCACCUCCUCUUUUAUCUUCCACACCCCUUAAUCUUCCCCACAUUCUCAAAAAUUAAUGUCAUGUUUAUUAUUAUCUCUUUAUAUGUCUUUAUGUAACAAUAUAAAUAGAGGUCUUGAGGAUUAUGUUAUGCACUUGAAGAUUUGAGAAACACUUGAAUAUACUCAGAAGAAUAAGAAAACUCUUCUAUCUUAUUUCUUUACAUUUUUUGUCUACUUUCUUACUUAUAUUAUUACUUCUUUAGAUUAAUUUGAAAUUUGUUUUGAUUCUUGAAUAGCCACAUCUAAUUGCAUUUACCUUCUAGACUAGAAAAAGAUGUAUUAAUACUUUGUAAUUGUUCAAUGUAAUUAUAUACGAUGAAAAUUCAUUGUCUCUCAAUAGAUAUGCGAUUUGUUACAAACGAAUUCAAAGAGACAAAAAUCUACAUGAAGACUUCUGCUAUUAAAUAUUAUUUUGGUUAUGAAGUUACAUUUUCAAGGUAAUAAUUUGCCCACUUCUUUCUUUUUUGGUUGUUUUAAAGUAGUAUAAAUAUGCAAUAGUGUGAAAAAUAUUUCGGAGUUUCGAAAAUAUAAUACUUUUCAAGUACUUUAUUUUUUAUUUCCUAUUUCAGUUUGUCUUUGAUUCAUUUAGUUGAAGAAAAAAUUGACAAUGGUUUAAAUUAUCUUUAUGUCCAAUGCGAUGGACAGGAAAAGUAAACCUACACUAAGUCACUAAAGUAUAAAAAACAUUUUAUUCUUUGCCUUUUUUUCUUUUAUUCAAUAUAAAUGCAUAAUUAUUUUAUACUUUUAAUUUAAAAUUUUGAUAUGUAUUUAUACUUUCGAAUGCAAUAACUUUGAGUAGGUGAUUAUUUCCUAUGUUGAAUUGAGACUUUGACGUGUGAGUUUUCAUCAUGCAAUAACUUUUGUAUGCUCUUCCUUUGCCUUUAUUUUUUUUCUUAAAUAAUUUCUUUGUAAUUUUCCAUGAUCUAUAAUUAUUUUUCAUCAAUUCUUUUGACUUUAUAAAUUUUCAUCAAAUGAUAUGAGUGAUAUAAAUUUAUAUUAUAUUAAUCUCAUAAUGUCUUUUUCUAUAAAAAAAAAUCUUGAUUUCUUUCCAUGUGUUUUUUAUAAUACUUAAAAACAUUAUUUUUUCAAUAAAAAAACUUAAUUUUUUCAUUCGAUUUUCAAAAAGAGGAAGAAAAAAACCUAACAAUUCAAAAAAAUAAAUAAUCAAAAAAUGAAUAAUUUCAAGAAGAAAAAAUAAUUGUCAAGACAAAAAUAAUGACAGCUCUACCACCAUCCAAAUCAUCAUGGUCUUAAAGCUUGCCUUGUAUUAGAAAGGUUAUGCCAACACAUUUUUAAUUAAUUAAUAAGGCAUUAGAAAGGCUAUGCCAACACAUUCUUAAUUAAUUAAUAAGGCNNNNNNNNNNNNNNNNNNNNNNNNNNNNNNNNNNNNNNNNNNNNNNNNNNNNNNNNNNNNNCAUACGCAUUGACAAUUUUUAGAUAUUUUUAAGUUAACACAUAAUUUUAUAUAGAUAGGAAUAGACAAGAUAAUAUAAUACCUCUUUAUGAAAUAAAAUAUUAUUUGCACCCUUUUUUCAUUUAACACUUUAAUUGUGAAAUAAAUUGGACACAUGAUAAAAAAAAAUUGAAGAUUGACAACAUGAUUUAAUAUUCAUUCAAAAAUAUUGGUACUUAAUAUUUAUAAUAGAAUGUUCAAUGUAAAUUUACGAGGAAUACGAAAAAAUGGAUGAGGUGAAAAGAUUGUAACUCAUAUGAACUUGCAAUGUUAAUUGAAAUUCAAUAAAUAUGUUAACAUAAAUUUAUGUUAAGAAAAUGUAAUAAAUGGUCUUUUGAAGUGGCUUUUGAAUUUUUAUAGUCUCUUUUUUCUCAUGUUUGUUUUGAUUUCUUUCAAUUCAAUUUAUUUUAUUAAUACGUCAUACAAUUCCUGUACUAAUUUGGAUUAUUAGCUUAUAUACCAAGUUGAUGAAGUAUAAUAUUUUUUUCAUUGUCUUUUCUAAAAAUUCUCAAAUAGAUUGAACAUAUUAUUUUCGUUAUAGUAUUACUUUGUGUGUUAUGAAUUUUAAGAAUUUUAAAAAUUUUAAAAACUUUAUAACUUAAUCAAAGAAUUUGAACAUCGCUAUAUUUACACCUACACUCAAAUGAAUAGCAACAUUUCAUGAAACAUCUUCAAUUCAUGAAUUCAAAAUAUUAGAGUGCUGAGUAUGAGUAGAAAACUGAUGAAAUUUUUUUUAGUUUAUAUUCUUUUUUGAGUGAUAUAAUAAAGUAUGUUUUUUUGAGUAAAUUUUUUAUAUCAUGUUUCAUUUAAUUAUUUCUUGAGUAGCAAAGACUAAAUAUAUAUAAAUAACAUGGGUGGACAAAUAUAUAAUCAAAGGUCUGUCAAAAAGUUAUUUUUAUACAUAAUUUUUUUUAAUAUUUGCUUAAAACAAAAUAUAAAUAAAGUUCAAUUCGAAUUUUCAUGGUCAAAUUAAUAUUCAAAUAAAGUAAAAAAAUUCAAAUUCUUAUGACCAAACAUGUGGUGUAAUUAUUUUUAUUUCGCGCAAAGCGUGAAUAAGUUCCCAAAAAUAAAAUGAAAGUGAUCAAGUAGUAAUAUUUUAUACUUAUAUAAUACAAACAUCCAAGAGAGAGAAAUUAUUGUAAUGUGUGCGGAAGUUAAGAAUCCUGCGUGCAAUGUUGGCUCCUUUAACCAACAGAUGAGAUUCCAUGAGAGCUUGGACCCACCCUGUCAAGCUUUUCCCUCUACUCUCACUCAAAUCAAUAUUCAUUCUUUACUCAUCUAGUUUUUUCAAACUUCAUCCUUCAAAAUUCUUAGCACUAAACUCGUAUUUCUAGGAAUUAUAUUAUUAUAGAAAGAUAUAGUACUAAUAGUUACAAAUCCAGAAUGAAUGGUUAGGAUCUGAAAUUCACCAAUGUCCAUAUUGUAGCCCUAUGAUUGAAAAAUAGUCAUUAUUAUAACAACUACUUUUCAGAGCAGGGCUGGAAGUGGCCAGUGGAGUUAUUUCUGAGUGAAAAGGCAUCUUACCAUAAGCCAAUUCUAAUUUCUGUCAUUUCUUUAGACCUCCCUCUGAAAUUUUUAUUCCUACCAAAGAUAAGGUAAUCAAAGCCCAAGUUGGAAUUAGUUAUUAUAAUCUUACAUAUUGUGGCAGGGAAAGUUCAUUACUGCUAACAUGUGACACACACAUCUUUACUGUGCAGACCAACUCUGCCUAAUCAAAAAGAUAAAGGAUAGUGCUAUCCCAAUUGAAAUCUGCAGACCUGCAGAGACAAGUUGGAUUUUGCUGAAUCACAGAUAACGCAUCUGUUCCUUCAUAUGAAGGAACAAAAUACCAAACCCCAACUGUAAGCCUGGCUCAGGUGUAUUUUCACUUCUUUCAACCAUCACAUAUGUACUUGUACAACAGUCAACAGAAAAUUAGAGAAUAUUAAAAUGCCUCACUUUCAUGUAACGGAAUGAAUAUAUCUGAAUUAGAUCGAAUAAUGAGAAGCAUAAAUCUAGUUCCAUACGACCAAAAUGCUACCAAAAGAAUCAUCGUUCAAUCCUUCUCCCUGUACUUUCUGUUACCAGUGGGAAUAUCGUACACAUUUAGGUGGAGCAAGUGGAUAAUCAGUUCAUUUACAUGUCUCUAGAAUUCAAGAAUAGAACAUGAAAGUGACGAGGAAUGCAAAAAAAUUGAUUGCUUUACUUCUCGAAAAGCAUAAACCGCCAGACCACCUUAACAACUGGAGAUGUAAUUCAUAAGAACCAAUUAAGGCUAAUCUUCCCAAGCCAAAAGAGAAGAGGAAAUUGAGCUAGGGCAAUAAACAAUAGGAGAUAAUGAUGGCUACUUGAAUCGUACGUCCUCACCUCUGCAAAGAGAACUCUCUUCAUCGUCUUCACCAAGAAUAUUCCCAUGCACAAACAUGUCCACGGCAUCAAAAAGUAGUAAGAAUAGUUCGAUAUAAUUGUUCCCAAAAGAGCUAUGGACAAUCCUGCAAAAGCAUAUCCUGCGUAUGAAACAAUGUCAAGGAGAGGAGCCUCUCCGCUACCCAAUGACAACAACGUCAUCUUCAGCAACGAAACUUGUAAAAACCAGCCAACCAAUCCCUUGAUAAACAGCCAACUGAGAGCUUCUGGGCUAAACCUGACAAGAUAUGACAAGAUUAAGAAUUAACACAAGCAAAAGGAAGAGGAUAUAGUGCAGGGAGGUAUUCCACACUACAAAAGAUAUUGCAAGAAAGUAAACUGUCACAAUUUGCAGUACACUGGGAACAUCAAAAAAGAGGCAUACACAUGGGUAGAAUAAGACUAAACAGACCAUAGCCAGAAAUCAAGGAAACAUCACCAAUUAUAUCUGACAUGACAUACCCGAAAACUACUCCUUUGUCCAUAACUAACUAUCCUAUUUUCUGUUGAGUUCUGCAAGAUUUGUUUACUUUCCUAAAUAAUAUUCUUUUAUAUACUCUUUGGCAGGAGUAUCUUCUUAUAAUUCAGUAUUUAGAAGAUAUCACAUGCCCUUUCUGUAAUGUUAAUUUUAAUCCAACCUUUUGGACCCACUUCUAUCUAAUAUACCAAAAUUUCAAUUGUUACCCAAGUCAUACUGUCCAACCAAAGAAGGAACCUAGAUCAGGAUUGAAGAGAUGACCUAAAGGAGAUUAGCACAAAACGAAAUCAUUUGGUGUAGCAGAUAGCUUCACGCAAAUAACUGAAUUAAGUACUGUUGCUGAAAACAUUUUAAAAUUCCAUACACUGCAUGUUCAAGUAUAAAUCUCAUGGCAUUUGGCACUUCAACAAAUAUGAGGUGAGCAACCAUUACCAAAUUCAACACAGAUAUUUGAUGGGUAAAAGAUCAUGUACUUAUUAUUACUAUUACUAACCACCACAUUCAAAGCCUAAAUGAAGCUCAAGGAAACAAUAAGCUUACCUCCCCUGCAGACCCAAUGAUAAGCCAGCAAGAACAACAUAAGUACCAAAGGCCAUAAACGGAAUGUAUAAAUCUGGAGCAUUUAUGUCAUAGAUAGGGGGCUUAUACGAUAGCCUGCCACCAACAGGCUCUGUGAUUCUUGUCCAAUGACCCUGCAGACAGUUGAGAAGAUUACUACUAGGGGAACAUAAUGCUAAGAGAUACUCCAAUGAGAUCAAGGCUAACAAAAUCUUACUCUGUGUAGGAAAGGGAAAAGGAUAACUUUCAGUUUGUUUCUCACGUACUGGUCAUUCACUUGGAAGUAGUACUGGGGAUCAGAAAAAUAUCUACUUACCUGUUUACAUAAAAAAGUUGCAAGUUAGACUUCAUUUCUACGAGCAAAGCUACACAAUCAGUGUCAUCCAAAAAAAAAAUAUAAUGGAUGGAAUGGUAGGUGUUUUUAUCUAAAAGAAGGUAAGUAUUAUGGAAUGGUAGAUGUUUUGGGCACUAAAAAUGUUGAAAUAAGGCAGUUAAUGGUACUAUCGUCGAAAAUAUCUUUAUUGUGUUGCACAACCUCAUUGUUCCAAAACAUCAAUACAGUCAAUGUGAUUCCAUGAAAUACAUAAAUAAUUUUUUCUUUAUUUGCAACAACGAUGAAGCAAAAUAGGAGGGAUAGCAGCGAUUUAAGUGCAAGGAACGGAAGCAAGUGAAUGCUCCACUAAGAAUGUAAUUACCAUUUAGAAUUAUUUAGGCGAGAGAAGUAUUUGCUGAACUCCUGACUAUUUCAGAAAUUAGCUUUUAAGCACUUCAAAGGCGAAAAGGCAUUUUUGCAGCUCAUGAUAAUACAGAAAAAUUACACUUGAGCCGAGGGUCUUUCGGAAAAAGCCUUUCUACCUCCACAAGGUAGUAGUAAGGUCUACAUACUUUCUACCCUCCCCAGACCUCACUCCACACUGGGUAUCAGGGUAUGUUGUUGUUGUUGUUGUUGUUGCUGUUGAUAAUACAGAAAAAAUCCUGAUGCACAUGAGACUUCUGUUUGCUAAAACACUUUGAAGUACAAGAGAGGAAAAACUAUAUUUUAGAAAAGAAAGUUCUAAAAUGUUGUUGCAUUAUCAAACCCUAAAAAGGAUGGCAAUUUACUUAAUUUCCACUGAUGGUUUGCUCAUUCUUUCUUUUAUUUAGUUUGCUAGUUUCUGCAUGAUGCUUCAGCCACAAAAGCAACUCUAAUUCAAUCACUCUUUGUGACAAAUACAUAUAUCAUUUAUGAAGAAAGCAUCUAUAUCACUUGCUGUGUGAGGGCAAAUCUUUUUCCCUGCCUUAGCAGUGUAUUUUAAUUAAUCCAACUGUUAGCAAGACAAAAUACCCUGUCCAAUCUCUUCCCCUUUUUGGGUCCCAAUUCCACUUCCCUCAGCAUUUUACCACCCUGUUCCCCUUCUCUAAUCACCUUCUCCUUCAUUGAUCAACCAUCAGGGUAAUUUCCUGGGUCAAUAUACAUGUCAUUUGCUAAAUAAACUAUAAUCACAGACUUCUGUAGUAAUGUUACUUUCUUUUAUAAUGGUGGUACCCAAGUCAUUUGCGUGCCUCCUUGACUAAUCCACAGGUACCUAAUUCAAAUCGGGUAACUCCACCCAGCAAGGCUUAGACAGAUUGGGAAAAAAAUGAAUAAGUAAACAGAUUGCAGAUUGGAAAAUCUUCACCAAGUGUCGCCUCUAUUAGGACUUGAAUCUUCAUUCCUCAUUUUUCCCCAACUCUUAGAGUGCUACAUCACGCCCUUAGGGAUCACAAAUAAUUAUGUCACAUAGAAGCGUCCACAAUUUCAAUAAUCGCCCUUGUUAACAAUCAUUCCAUCCAAUCUGGUACGCACACUUUACAUCAAGACAUUAUGAGUAUUCAAACAUCAACGGGGAGGCAAAUAUCUAUUUGUAAGAGUAGAAUCAGAAGAUGGUGCAAUAAUUUUCCAGUUUUAUUAUUAUUGGUUCCAUCUCCUUUAACCACCUAUUCCUCUUCUUCUAAGCAGAGGUCAUAUAGUUUUUUUGCUCUCAGGUAGAUGCCAAGUUGAGUGAUACUGACUCAUCAAUUGCAGUUAUUAAGGAGUGGAAUUUUCUUCACCUUGUUUCCAAAUUUCAAUCACUAUAUGAUGAUGGAUGGAAGAACCCCUUACAUCUGAAAUUCAGCUCAAAGUUCAAAUCACACUUACAUUACUGUAUUAGUAACAAUGCCUAUUGAAUGAUGUCAUUAAAGUAAAGACAAAGUGUGCUACUUGCCCUUGGGGAUUUCUCGGUUAUAAAAGAAAAAUCGAAGUACAACAAAACAAAUUGAAAUCUUACAAGAAAACUAUUAUUAUGGUGGAAUGACUCUAGAUAAAAAGAAGUAAAUAAAGAAAGAAAAAGAAAGCAUUAUUCCUUUGCCUAUUGAGAAACAACAUUCCUUUGCCUACUGUUAUGUCAUUAUAUAUUCCUAACAUAUGUUCCACCACCUAAUGAUUAAUGAACAACUAUUAACAUAAGAAUCAUUAUUUUCAAGAAACCUAUACAAAUAAAAUAAACUAUGGAAAACUUACAUUGCUUUGAACAUAAUGAGAACUUGAUCCAAGAAUUUUUUCUCCAUAAGCCCCUAAUCCACCUCUAAUGAACCCAGAGCUAGCACCAGAGAAUGCAUUUCCAAAAGGGUUCGCUUGUGUAUUAGCAGGUGGUCCUCCGGGCUGUGCUCCAAGGUUAUCAUACAUUUCUGCAAUAUGUGUGGUUUUUUCAACACAAGUGUGAGUAACUCAACAUAUGCAAAAUCCUUUGUUUCAUUAAUGGAUUGGAAGCCAUGAGCAGUAGCAGCUCUCUGUUUCCGAUUUCAGACAUUGAUAGGAUAGUGUUUAGAGAAAAUUUUGCAGCUACAAGAAGUAAAGAAGUCGAAAUUUCAAGCAGCAAGUGUAAAGAAGGUGAAGGUACAGCUGAAGUAGUUACUAAUCACUGCUUCAAGUCUUCACCAUACCUUCUAAACACCCCCAACUAAGGGUAAAGCUCAAGAGUAAUAGCUGGAUAGAAAAGGAAGUGAUGAAAGAAGGAAGCUUUGAACCCGUACCCCAUCUUUGCAUGCAGGUAACAGCAUCAAUUACACACAAACUUACGCCUAGGAUAUGACAGCUUGAAAUGUGAUAUUGACGCUUUACACAUCAAAUAGUGGAAUACAAGAAGGGCUGAUGGAAACAUAGAACCAAAGGAAUUACCUAAAGCCAUGCUUGGCGGGCAAGUUUGACCAGUUUAUAGGAGUUGGUGAAAGAUUAAGCCACGUCAAGAGUAAGGAUGUCUAUUGGGAGAGGCCUUGUUUGAACUGCUGUCAGAUGAUGAAGCACAUGGGAUUGGAAUGGGGGACGGAGCUGUUCCAUCUCGACUGAUGAUCUAUUUGAGAUUGGAGAAGGGAGUAAGAAGCAAAUUCCACAACACAGAAUCCAAAAUUCAAAGCAACUACGAGAAGAUUGCAGGGAUGGCUAGAGAGGAACUGUCAAUCUGCCACCAUGAAAAGAGACUCUGGGAAUGUGCAAUCAUUCAUGUCUAAUAUUUGCCUCCUGAGCAUAUUUCUGAUCGAGGGGAUGAUGAAGACAAAACCCAGUCCAGCUACUGGGAAGUAUCAAAGGUACAUGGUUUCCAUGAUGGUGUCAGAAUAGGAAGGGGAAAGACUGUUUGCUGGGUCUGAGAAAGCAGAGCUUUUGGAAGAUUCUCUAAAUAAAAUUGACAGUUUCGAGAAAGAGAAAUGACAACUGGCACAGAUUAAAAGGAAUAGAGAAGCACCCAAAAGAAAAAUGCUAAAAUCACAGGUAUCAACUUUCAUGAGAGUAGUAUAGGUUGGAACUUAAAAUAUUUAGAGUGCUCAGUCAUCUAUGAUGAGAGGAAGUGGAGAAAAGCUAUGGAGGUGUGAACAAGACGAGGGUAAGGAGAUGAUGCUUCCAUAACCCCGUGAAAAUUAAAAUGCUAUCAUGAAAUGUAACAAGUUUUAAAUAAUUACAACAAGAGAUGUGAAAAAGGCACGUUGAAAAGUUGAUGUCCUGAUGUGUUCUACAUUCAAGAGACAAAAGGGAACUGAUUACGGAGCCUAUAAUCCGAACUACGGAAUCAAUUAGGGGUGGGGGUAGAGGGGUUGCAUAUGUCUUCGGAGAGCAGCCUAGCAUACUUGGUGAUUCGGAAUAGCUGGAUUUUUUUCUUUAUUAGAGGCUAUAAUGAUGCCACAGUAAAUAUCAUAAACUUGCCAUGCACUAAUGAGGAUUUUUAAUGAGUCUAUUAAAGAAUGAAUAGAGAUUUCAGGUGUAACACUACAUGUAAAAUAAAGUGUAAUGCUAAAGAGUUUAAUGAACUUUUAUGUAUAGUGAUGGCAGGUGUCAUCACGAAGACACAAAUUAAGGUCAUCUAUCAUAUAGUUGUUAAGACAAUUGAGAUGCUAACCUUACUGAAAUAGUACUGUACAAAUUUAAAUGGGUGUGCCCGGUUGGCAAAAGGCAAAGCUUCACGUAAUUGUGCACUAGGGUUUUUCAAAUAUCUGCAAGCAAUAAGCACUUCUUAAAAUAAAGAUCUUCAAACACUAACCAAUUAAUAAAGGUUGCUUCUUUUCUUUAGACCAGGUAAAGUAAAAUAAAGUUUUAUUUUCACACGAGGGAAGCUAAAACAAUUGCCAUGCAAUUUCCACUUCAACCAGAUGAACCAAAUUUUAAAAUUCCCACAACAUACUGCAAUACAUAUAACAGCUGAAAGUCAGACUCUGUACAAAUUACAACACAUAAAUAACGAAGGAUGGUUUUGUGCUGUAUUAAGAAAUCGAUUUUAGUUUGUUGACUUUUAGAAUUCUCAGUUUUCUUUACUUCUUUCAAUAGGAGUUUCACACUUCCUUCCAAUUUCAGAAGAAUCUGUUUCAUGAAGAAAGUAGGCGUGUCCAAACACACUAUUUCUAAAUUCUCAGCAGGCCAUAUUACCUAAGUAAAUCAACAGUGUCUAAUAAUACAGACAAGGAACAAAUUUUAUCUUCCCAAGUGUAAAUUGCCAAGAAGAGCAAACCCUAUUUGCUAAACAUGGGAUAGAUUCCAUUCAUUGAGGAGACUUCAAAUUUUUGCAUUGCCAUCACCACAAAAUGUAAACAACAAGUGUCAUUUUCCAAGCUUCCUCUAUCUCUUUCUAGCAGUACUGAGAUGAAGAACUGCUAAAGUUAGUUACUUGAUCAAAUCCUAAAAACUUCAAAUCCCCCCUCCCCCCUACUUGAUCAAAUAUCAAAUCCUAAAAACAUCAAAAUCCCCCCUACUGAAAAGAACGAAAAAGUUGUUAGGAGACUUGGUGCUCAAAUAAGUAGCCACUACAUGGAUAACUGCAAUCCAAACAUAUAAUGAGAAAAGACAGGUGAUUAAUUUAGGUUCAAGAACUCUGUAGAACUAGACAACAACUGUGUGAGAUCACUUCCCACAAAGGUUAAUCGAUUUACUAUAGCUGGGGAGAAAACAUCCAUUGUUCCACGCCACCGAUUCAAAUUAAAUUACACCAGCAAAAUAUCUCAUAUCUUGUUACACAAAAGGGUGCAGGUUUUACAAGUUUCAAGAGCAGAAAGGGAACCCAUAAAAUCAAUAUUUUCAAAUUGCAUGUCAUUUCUGUCUUGUUUAUGUCUGGAAAAUGCCAUGGAUCCAUAACACCAGUACUCAAAUCUCUACAAUAAAUCAUUCCCCAACUCGAACUUACUAGUAUAGAGAGAAAAUAGAAAUCAAUUAAAAGAGAAAAAUCACAAUGCUAAACUUUUACGAGACAGGAUCAUAUAUAUAAUUCAUGCGUUAGUUACAAUAAUUAAUCCAAGAAUUUCUCAGUUAGGAAGAGAAAAUUUUACCUUUUCUGGAGAAAUAAUUGAAAUGUAGCAGUAAUGAAUAUCUCAAACAGCAAGUUUAAAACUUAACAAAUAAGGCAGAUCCAAACUUAGAAGCAAAGAUCAAAUGGGUGGGCAACCACCUUUUAUGACCCGACCCAUAUUCUAUAGCUUUUCACUAAAAUUAUUUCGGGAUGACCAAUAAGUUAAAUAACAGAGAAAUUUUUAAAAAAAAUACUUAUAACUUUUCAUAAAGGUGUUAAUUAUUCAAUGCAAUAAGGGGUCGUUUGGUAGGGAGUAUUACUAUGAGAAAUAGUUCAUGUAUUAUGUAUGGUAUUAUAUAGUACUGUGUUUGAUCAGAAUUUGAAUCUAUGUAUAACUAAUUCAUGGAUUAGUUAUAUACCUAACAUGGUAUUAGAAGAUGCAUUACUAAUAGGAUUUAAUAUCAUGGAUAAGUCUAUGUAAAGACAAAAAUAUCCCUCAAAUCAUUUUAAUCAUUUGUUUUUUUCUUGAUUAUAUGUUUUAUAUUUGUACUAGUAAAUUUAUUUAAAUAAAUUAGCUUACGAAUUAUUUAGAGAGAGUUGUUUAUUAACAUAACGUGACACCUCAAGUUGUCUUGAAUUUUCAAAAAAAAUACAUUAACUAUGCAGGCGCCCUAUUAUCCCCCUUAACAAUUUUAAAGUGAAAUUAUUACAUCAUUUUUCGGUCAAUCUCAUUUUUUUUUAAAACAAGUGUUAUCACACAACAAUCAUUAUGUGACAUGUGUUAAUUUAAUUUAAAAUAUAAUUUUUUUCAUUUUAAAUUUUUCUUUACCUUUUUUUCCUCUCUUACUUUUGCUUAUUUUAUUUCUAUUACUUUUAUUUUAAUUUCAUCUUACAUUUCACUUCACCUUCCAUCACACCCCAUCCACCCCCACUUUCAAGCUGACAUCUUUCGUCCACGUUUUCUUUCUUUCUUUCUUUCUUCUUUACCUUUCACUUUCAUCCUUCUCCACCCUCGUCAAGUUGUGUCCCUCCCUUCCCAUCCUCUUUUUUUUUUCUUUUUUUCUUCUUCUUCCGUCAAAUUUCAUCCUUCCAGUGAUUUUUUUCUUUAAAAAAUUACAUUAUUUUCUAAACUUUGUUGAGUUAGUGAUAACAAAAUUAAUUAUUUUUCUAAGAAAAUUUAAAAUUUUGAAAGUAUCAUCAAUUAAUUUAUCUUCUUUUCAUAUAAAUUCAAAAUUAAAAAUAAUAAUUUUGAAAGAAUAAAUGAAUUCCCCAAAAAUUGAAAGAGCUUGAUGAAAUCCGGAUAAUAAAGUUAAAUAAUACCUCCUAAUCAUUUUGUAAUCUAAUGGGUUCAUCAAAUUUUUCGAAAUUUUUUAAAAAAUAGAUAAAGGUUUAAAAUUGGAGAGACUUAAACUAAAAAUAGUAUAAAAAAAAAGCGGUGUAUUAAAAAUUGCGACAUUGAAAGUGGAGAGUUUUAAUGGAGAUGACAAUGAAUUUUUGAAGAAAAAAGAGAAAAAAUAGCAAAGAAAAAAAAGUUAAAAUAAUAAGAAAAACAAGAAAUUAUAUUUUAUAACAAAAUAACUAUAAAAAUAAAGUUAUAUUCAUUAUUUUGUGCUGUUUACGCUCUUUAAAGAGAGUGCAUACACUCUCUAUGCCAAGUGGACAAAAAUUUAUGUAAUAAUAUCAGUUCAAGAUUGUUUAGGGGGGUAAUAGGACGUCCGCAUAGUUAAGGUGUUUUUUUGAAAAUUCGGGAUAACUUCAGGUGUCACUUUAUGUUUUUUCUCUUAAAUAAUUCCAAUAGAAAUCAAUACAAUAUUUGAAGUGUGUGUGUGGUCGAUUUCGGUUUAAAAGUAGAUGGUUUAUCUUUUUUAAUAUGAAAAUUGACAUUUUGUGAGUGAUAUAUUUAUUAAGAUGACAAUUAUUUAUCCUCAAAUAAUUCAAGUGAAAAAAUAACAAACAUGACAACAAAAUUGUUCUUCUCCUAGUUAGUUAAAAAGUCAUAAAAAUAAUAUUGUCCGGCAAUUAUCUACCUUGACUCAAUUACAUAAUAAUAAUUCAAGGAUAUAAUUGAAAAGAAGAUUUUUAUAGAGUUUUAACUCUAACACAAGAUGAGGUGGGAAACAAUGAAUCAAACACUUGAUAAAAAUAAACCCUGCAUUACUAAUACAUGCACUACUAUUCUCUGCGUCACUAAUCCCUCCAUUAUUAAUCUUUGUACCAAAUGACCUCUAUAAAUACAUUGUAUUUGCCUCUAUACACAUUCUCGGACAAAUGUAUCUCGUCACUCUCCUCUCCCAUCUCACUACUUCUUUGUAUAUGUGUUUUCAUUAUGUAUUUAAAUAUUGAGUAUUUAAUAUGCACUUGUGGAUUUAGUGUAUCUAUGAAUAUUAAUAUCAUCCCGUGUAGAAGUGUGCAAAAAUCAAACCUAUCAGUCAAUCGAAUCGAAUAAAAUGUUAUCGAACAAUUGUUAUUGGGUUAAUAAAUUUUCAAUGGUCUUAUAAAAAUAAAAAAUUAGAUUAUUUGUUCGAUAUUGGUUUUGUAAUAUUGGGUAAAUUGAUUACCCAUUAAGACAGUUUAGGGUUGUUCACGGUCAGCUUGGAUCGAUUAUUGGUCAUAAUCAAAAUCAAACCAAUUUAAUCAGUUUUUAAAUUAUCAAAACUAACCAAACCAAAUACAAUAUAUAUCUACCGUUUUGGUUGUUAAUGAUUUCGGUUCGAUUUGGUUCGGUAAUUAACUAUACAUAAAAAAAAUUAAAAUGAUACAUUCAAAAGAGAGAGAAAAGACAACAAUUCUUUCAAAACGAAAAAUAGUUAGAACGACUAACAUUACAGAACUUUCGAUCACUAACUUUAUUGUGUAUAAAUCUUCAAAAUUCACCAUUUUGACCUAGAUGAAAGAGACGGUGACAUUUCUAGUCCCACCAAGAAUUGUAAAUAGACACUCAUGUACAUAAAAUCAAUAAGAUAAAUGUUUUCGUCUUGGACAUUUUUGCUUUCAUAAAUUAAUUAUAAAUAAAAUUUGUUGAAAAUAUAUAUAAGAUACUUAUAAUUAUUUUUAAAUAUAAUAUAUUAUGCAUGUAUAAUAAUAAAAUAUAAGUAUAUGAUUUAUCGGUUCUGUUAUUUCUUCGUUUUUAAAACAAAAUCAUAACCAAACCAUAUACUAUCGGUUUCUAAAAAUCUAAAACCAAAUCGAAAAAUCAAACCAAACCGAUUAAUUUACUACAUUUACACCUACAUAAAUAUUAAAUAUUAAUAUCAAUUGGUUACUACAUUUGUCCUUUUAGCCUUCAAUUCACAUUAUUGCACUAGUUCUUUUAUUUGUGUUGCACUUGUAAAGUUCUUUUCAUGUUAGUUACUACUGUUUAAUUCUAUUUUAUGAGCUUUCCGUAAAGUUACAUUAUUGUCUUGUUGCGCCAAAUUAUUAGACAAUUCAUAUAACUAUUGUAUGGUAAUUUUCUUACUGGUUACACAGAAAAUCGAACCGCUAAGGACCAAAAAUUGAUAAAUCGAAAAUCGAUAAAAAUAUCUUAUUAAUUUGAUUAUUAAUUUAGCAUAUUUAAAAAUUGAAUCAAUGAACUGAACUGACAAUGCAUAAAACUGAAUCAAACUGAGCGAUGCUAACCCCUUAUCCAAUGUGUCUGAUAUCAAAUAUCUAGUGUAUUCAAUAUCACUUUCAUGUAUCCAGUUUCAAAAAUACAUAAUUGCAUCUAGUGUAUCUUUGCAUAGUUAUAGAUUGUCUCUAAGAGGACAUUGUAGUAUCUAGUCUAUUUGUGAUAUAUAAAGCAUAUAUGUACAUAAGUACAUCUAUCUAGUAUCAAAGUUACAUGUGUCUGAUAUCAAAUUUGUGAUGUAUCCAAUGUAUAUGUGCAUUAUAUACUUAGAAGAAAACGACGACAAAGAAAAAGAUAUAAUUAUCUAGAUACACAUAUAGUGAGCCUCUACGACUAUCUAGUAUCAACUAUGUAGUCAUAAGUUCAUCCAAUAAAAAAAAGAUUUAAAAUCAUUGUAAGGAGAUCGAUCGAUGGAGGUGAAGUAGGUUUGGGUUAGGUUAAGUUAGUUGGGUUGGGUUAUAUUAGGAUGGUGGAUUUUAAUGGGAAAGUUGUAUAAAAUAGUAAACUAUAAAUUAAAAUUAAAUAUUAUAACCACAAUUUCAUUUAAUUCUAAUCUGUAGCAACACUUUGUCAUUCGCCACUCUCCAUUUCUUGCUCGUCAGUCUCUCUCUCGCAUCUCUCACUUUAUACAAACACAAAUGUAUAAAUUAUGUUUGUGUCUGUAUAAAGUGAGAAAAAAUUGUAUAUAUACAUAUCUUUUCGUUCGCCUCUCUCCCCAACGAAUCUCGCUUGCCACUCUCCCUCGCCUCUCUCACUUUAUACAAACACAAAUGUAUAAAUUGUGUUUGUGUUUGUAUAAUGCGAGAGAAAACUAUAUAUACAAAUACAAAUACAUAUAUUUUCGUCCUAUACACUUAUAAUUAUACAAAUACAGAUUUUUCCCCGCUCAGUUCUCUUUUGUCUUUCUCUCUUUCUCGCUUUAUACAAACACAGAUUAUACAAAUUACAAUGUAUAAUUUGUGUUGUAUAAAGCGAGAGAGAGGGAUUUGAUAUACAAAUGUUUUAUUUCGAUUAUAUUGUAUACAAAUUCAAAUUUUAUGCAGAUAUGCAAACACAAUCAUUGAUACAUAUACAUAGUAGUUACAUAUAUACAAUUAUCUAACCAAUAUACAUAUACAAUUGCUGCACUUUUAUACAAACGAGAGGCCUACCAACGAUUUUAUAGAUGCUCCUGCCAGCGAUUUAUACAAUCUGAUGUUCCAUAGCAAAUAUAAAGUUUGUUGUGGAGUGCAAUUAUGCAAAUUAUAGCUAUAGCAUACAAAUAUGAUUUUUAUGUUUGCUAAACCUAAAAUUUACUCUUAUUUUUUAAGAAAUCGGGUCAAUUUUGAUUGAUUGGGGAUUUCCGUCCAAGGAGGAGUACAAGUGAUAAAGUUUAUUAAUGAUAGAGAUAAGAAUAACUUCAUUUUAACGGUAAGAGUAAAGCCAACCAAUAAAUUUUUGAUCCUUUUCCUACUUUUAAUCUUUGAUAUUUUUGACUUACAUCACCAAGUUUUGAAUAUUUUAAUUGUAUUUUUGUGCAUUUAACAUAUUUAAAUUCGAGACUAUAUUGUUAUUACUUCUGCAUGUUUUCGUUAUACCUGGUAAUAAGAAGAAAAAAAAAGGCUACAACUGAAAUUGAUUAGCCUACUGAAUUGCAUAUAGAUAUCAUCACAACUUGGGGGAUAUUGGGUCAUGAAAAAUAACGAUCCAAUUAAAAAUUAUUUGCUUUUAUUUCAACUGAUAAUUGAAUAUUAUAUGACAAACUAAAAAGUGAUCAACCCAUGUCAUUUCUUCUCUAAAAUAUUACUUUUUCUGUCCAAUAAUAUUUGUUUAUUAUUAACUUUGCACAAUUUUUAAGAAAUUAUAAAUAAAAGUGUAAUUUUACUAUAUCACCCUUUGAAUAUACUUCCUAUGUCCCUAAUUACUUGUCCACUUUUCAUUUUAUAGUUGUCCCUAAUUACUUGUCCAUUUUGACAAAUCAAGAAGGGACAAAAUAACUUUAUCUAUUAUACCCUCAAUUAAUUACUUUGAAAAAGGUAGAAUUUCUUGAAAAUCUUAAAUUUUUAAUCCAUCCACUUCAUAAUUAAUAGGGGUAAAACGCUAAAUUCACUAUGUCAAUAAUUGCUUUCUUAGGCCUCAUUUGUUUGCACUUAAUGGAGGUCUGAAUCUUAAUCAUUCAAAUUCAGCCCAUUAAAUGCGUUUGGUUUUUAAGUCUGAAUCUGAAUCAUUCAAAUUCAACCCAUUAAGUCCAUUUGUUUCUUUUUUCAAAAACCCUCUUAAUGGACCUGAAAAGGUCUGAAUGGAUCAGAUCUACAUGCUUAUUUAAUAAGUUAUAAAAUAAUAUUGUAUCGCCUCUCUCGGUCUUUAUGUGACUUCUGCUCUCACAACUACAAACUUUCUUCCUCUCUUUUCUCAAUCAAACACCAAUUUUUUGCUUUUGAACUGGUAAGUUUUCAUAAUCUUUACAAAUAUUUUUUUAUAUUAAUAAUUUCUUAGGGUGUAUUGAUGUUUGUCAAGAACACAUGUUGCAAUAAUAUUUUUAGUUUAUUGAUGUUCAUCAAAGUUUUUGAGUGAAAAGAAUACUGUUCAUAAUUAAAAAUAAUAAUUAUGUAUACAUAUUUGAGGUCUCUUAUUAGAAUUUUGUCUUAGGCCAAUAAUUUUAUUGACUCUUUGAUCAUCAAACCUGUUUGUGAGAUAACCCUAAUAUAUUAUUGUUGUUGAACUAGUUGGUCAAAAAAAUAAUGGAGCUCCUAACAAUUCUCAUCCCAAUCUUUAGUUUUAGCUGGGAAAAAAAGUUUUGGGGAAGAAAAAAAACUUAUUUGUCUAAAUUAGAGAUUGAUGAGAAUAUGAUUAAUGCUUUGUAGUUAUUGAUUAAAAAAAUAGUGCACCUACAUUUGAAGAACAUAUGAAAAAAUUAGAUGGACUUGGAUGAGAAGAGUAGAAUUUUGUCUUAGGCCAAUAAUUUUAUUGAGACUCUUUGAUUACCAAAUUCGUUUCUGAGAUAACACUAAUAUAUUAUUGUUGUUGAACUAGUUUGUAACACCCCGUAUUCGAAACAGACCAAAAAUGCAUAUUAUUUUUUAGAAGUUGCAGGUGCGACUUACGGUCACCAUCCACGGACCGUAGGUCAGACCACGGCCCGUGCUGGUGGUCCGUGGUUCACCACUGCAACCCCUCCCCAAACUAGCUCAGAAAAUUGGCUAAGUCCCGACUCACGGACAGACCCACGGUCCGUAGAUCAGACCACGGUCNNNNNNNNNNNNNNNNNNNNNNNNNNNNNNNNNNNNNNNNNNNNNNNNNNNNNNNNNNNNNNNNNNNNNNNNNNNNNNNNNNNNNNNNNNNNNNNNNNNNNNNNNNNNNNNNNNNNNNNNNNNNNNNNNNNNNNNNNNNNNNNNNNNNNNNNNNNNNNNNNNNNNNNNNNNNNNNNNNNNNNNNNNNNNNNNNNNNNNNNNNNNNNNNNNNNNNNNNNNNNNNNNNNNNNNNNNNNNNNNNNNNNNNNNNNNNNNNNNNNNNNNNNNNNNNNNNNNNNNNNNNNNNNNNNNNNNNNNNNNNNNNNNNNNNNNNNNNNNNNNNNNNNNNNNNNNNNNNNNNNNNNNNNNNNNNNNNNNNNNNNNNNNNNNNNNNNNNNNNNNNNNNNNNNNNNNNNNNNNNNNNNNNNNNNNNNNNNNNNNNNNNNNNNNNNNNNNNNNNNNNNNNNNNNNNNNNNNNNNNNNNNNNNNNNNNNNNNNNNNNNNNNNNNNNNNNNNNNNNNNNNNNNNNNNNNNNNNNNNNNNNNNNNNNNNNNNNNNNNNNNNNNNNNNNNNNNNNNNNNNNNNNNNNNNNNNNNNNNNNNNNNNNNNNNNNNNNNNNNNNNNNNNNNNNNNNNNNNNNNNNNNNNNNNNNNNNNNNNNNNNNNNNNNNNNNNNNNNNNNNNNNNNNNNNNNNNNNNNNNNNNNNNNNNNNNNNNNNNNNNNNNNNNNNNNNNNNNNNNNNNNNNNNNNNNNNNNNNNNNNNNNNNNNNNNNNNNNNNNNNNNNNNNNNNNNNNNNNNNNNNNNNNNNNNNNNNNNNNNNNNNNNNNNNNNNNNNNNNNNNNNNNNNNNNNNNNNNNNNNNNNNNNNNNNNNNNNNNNNNNNNNNNNNNNNNNNNNNNNNNNNNNNNNNNNNNNNNNNNNNNNNNNNNNNNNNNNNNNNNNNNNNNNNNNNNNNNNNNNNNNNNNNNNNNNNNNNNNNNNNNNNNNNNNNNNNNNNNNNNNNNNNNNNNNNNNNNNNNNNNNNNNNNNNNNNNNNNNNNNNNNNNNNNNNNNNNNNNNNNNNNNNNNNNNNNNNNNNNNNNNNNNNNNNNNNNNNNNNNNNNNNNNNNNNNNNNNNNNNNNNNNNNNNNNNNNNNNNNNNNNNNNNNNNNNNNNNNNNNNNNNNNNNNNNNNNNNNNNNNNNNNNNNNNNNNNNNNNNNNNNNNNNNNNNNNNNNNNNNNNNNNNNNNNNNNNNNNNNNNNNNNNNNNNNNNNNNNNNNNNNNNNNNNNNNNNNNNNNNNNNNNNNNNNNNNNNNNNNNNNNNNNNNNNNNNNNNNNNNNNNNNNNNNNNNNNNNNNNNNNNNNNNNNNNNNNNNNNNNNNNNNNNNNNNNNNNNNNNNNNNNNNNNNNNNNNNNNNNNNNNNNNNNNNNNNNNNNNNNNNNNNNNNNNNNNNNNNNNNNNNNNNNNNNNNNNNNNNNNNNNNNNNNNNNNNNNNNNNNNNNNNNNNNNNNNNNNNNNNNNNNNNNNNNNNNNNNNNNNNNNNNNNNNNNNNNNNNNNNNNNNNNNNNNNNNUUUUAGUCUUUAGUUUCAGUUUUGCUAGAUCUAGUUGGGGCAUGUCCCAACAUUUCUAGUUAGUUUAGAGGCUUCUUUCAGACAUAGUUAGAUUCAGCUUAGUAUUGAGUUAAUAUCUUCAUUGUAUUAAACUCAUCAGUUAUCAUUUAUCUCAGUUAUAGUAUAUGGGUAUUCCCCAUCUUUUCAGAUUUAUUUAUGAUUUAGCUUCCGCACAGUUUCUAUUAAUCAGAUUAUAUUUAGUAUGCUCAUGAUCAUGCCAGCAGGGUUAGCUUGGGAUCACUUGUGGUCCUAGGUCCCGUGUCCGCGUCUCGGGGGUAGCUUGGGGCAUGACAUAGUUGGUGAAAAAAAUAAUGGAGCUCCUAACAAUUCUCCAUCCCAAUCUUUAGUUUUAGUUGGAAAAAAAAGUUUUGAGAAAGAAAAAAAAACUUAUGCGUCUGAAUUGGAAAUUGAUGAGAAGAUGAUUACUGCUCUGGAGUUAUUGAUUAAAAAAAAUAGUACACCUACAUUUGAAGAAUAUAUGGAAAAAUUAGAUGGACUUGGAUGGGAAGAACCAUUAUACAGUCUAUGUGUUAGUAUAUUUUGUGAAAGUGUCCGCUAUAAAAAAGCAUGAAUGACAUUAAAGGUUCACAAGUUAGAGAAUUGGAUUAAGGUUAUUGGAUAAAAGAUAAGAAUUCUUUAGUUUUUCUAAUUAGCAAAAAUAUAUGUUAGGCGCUAAUAAUGUGAAUACCUUAUUUAUUUAUUUUCUACUAGUAUCAUCAUACUUGUUGAACUUUUUGAUAUUAUAUUGUGCAUAUAAAAUAUUUUUUAUUCGUGAUUUUUUUAUGUUGUGCUUGAUGAUUAUGAUUAUUUUUUUAAUCAAAAAGUAAUAUUUUUUGUUGAAAUGAAUUUUUUAUAACAUUUUAUUAAUAUAAUGUUUGAUUUCAUAUGCAGAUUCAGAUAUUGAAAACAAACAAUAAUCAUUCAGAGUUUAGAUUUGGAGAUCACAUCUUAAUAUUCAGAUGUGUAUUCAGAUCUAGAUAUCUAACUCUUAAUGCAAAUCUUAAUAUUCAGACGUGCAUUCAGCUUCAGAGGUCUUAAUCUUAAUGAAAACAAAUGAGGCCUUAAUAGGUGUGUCAAUUUAAAAGUGGACAAGUAAUUAGGGACAGAGUGAGUAAUAAAUACAAUAUCUUGAAAAAUGAUUAUAAUUAAUUAUAAGAGUAAAUUAGAAACUAAGUGUAAAAUUAUUCAUUGAUUUCAUUAAGUGGACAAGUAUCGUUGGACAUCCUAAAAUAAUAUAGUGGACAACUAUUGUUAGACGGGGAGUAACAAAUAUUAAUGUGGCUGACAAGAUAAUGUACACAAAGUAUAGUGUGAUCCUAAAAGUACAAGAUUUCAUAUUUACUCAGUUUCGUCUAUGAUGUUUUGAUUAUCACAAAGUGAACUUGAAAAUUAGCCAAUCCUGUGAGCUAGCUUUUCAUUUGAUAACAAAGAGCAAUCGGCGCUAUGAAAGUCACAUUUUUGACAUUACACUAACUUUUGAGAGAGUUGUUUAAUCAAGUCAAGAGAAAUCGAUUUAGCAGUCCAUAUCAGAUAUAUGAGUGAAUUCACAAUAGCAAUAGCAAGGUGCGAAGCAGAUUCGACUUAACUUUACUUGAGUUAAAUCUUCCUUGAAAAUGAUGGAAUAAUUUAUUUUUUCCUUUUAGCGACUAUGAGCUCAUACAGAGCUAGAAUGAACUUGGUUAACUAGGACUAAGAAGAGAUAAGAUGAUUUGAUUAGCACGCUUUCUACAUGUCCUUACCAUACUCUAUCGAUGGUAUGCCUGGGAUGACAGUCUUUCUCCUUGGCUUAUACUCAAGAUCCGAUGUUCGAAUGACAGUCCAUCCUUGUACAAUAACCAUUCUGAGUGGGAGUUCAAAUCUAUGUUCAAAGGAGGGGGUCUAGCAACGAUAAUCAAGUUAUUACCUUGCAUUGAUUUUCUUUUCGCACUAUUUGGUCACUAGUUGGAGUGACCUUAAAAUUCUUAUUUACUUGUUGGACAGGUGUAAGUGAUCUUAUUGGCAGUAUUAUUAACUAGGAAACUUGUCCGCACUUCGCGCGAUAUAACAAUAAUUUAGAAUGAUUUUUUUAUAAAUUAAAUAGAAUUAAAGAGAUAAAAUUUAUUUUGAUUAUAGUUAAGACUUGUUUUUCCUCUUAAAUAAUUAUUUAUUUUUCUUUUAAUUUUAACAUUUAUCUCUUAUAGUUACAGAUAGUUACCUAUUGUUAAUAUACUGGACAUUAUUUUUUCCCUUAUCUUCUUCAAUAGUUUUUUAAUACAAUAAAUAAAUGGAAGGAAAGAUUAAAAAAAAAGUAAGAAAUAAAUAAAUAAAAAUACUGACCGUAAAAAGGUAUCACAUCAAUUUUUUUAUUCUUUAGCUGAUUUUUUCUUAUUAAUAAUGGAUAUUAGAUUUUUAAAAUAAUUAAAUGAAAAUAAUAGUGAAAGAUGUCAAUAGAAAAUACGAAUAAAAGUUAUGAAUUGUUGUUAUAGAAACGUAUCAUAUCGUCUUGUAUAUGCUUAAUUUUAUGUGUAUAUACGAUAUAGAUAAUCAAAAAAAUGUAAGAAAAUAAAAAUAAUUGAUGGAACAUCUAUUAAUAACUUACUUAGUGAAUAGUUUGACUCUUGCACUACUCAUAACAAUUAUUUCAAAUGCAUUAUACAUAUAUAAUGUAUAAUGCAUGCUAUUAAUUUUAUGAACAAAUGUAAAUGACUUAUUUUUAAUUGUAGACUUCUUAUUUUCCUUUUAACUUCUUGUGAAAGAAAUUAAUUUUUGCCUAUAUUUUUGAGUCAUAAACUUCAAAAUAGUUUUCAAACCUGCACCAAUAUCAAUCAUUAUGAUUAAUUGAACAAAGUUAAUCUAAGAAAAUUAUAUAUCAUAAAAGAAAUUGAAAUAAAAUAAGAGCAAAAUUUAUUUUUAUGAAUUUAAAAUUGAGUGCGUAAAAUCACAUUAGAAGAAAUAUGUUGUAUGUACCAAGUUUCUCAAUAUAGAUGACAUAGCAUGAAUCAUUAAAAUUUAACAAAUGUUGAGCAAAGAAUAGUAAUGAAGCAAAAAUAUAAAAAUUUCAACCAAUAAGAUGAGAAAUCUUAGCCUAUGAAGAAAUUUUACAGAAUAGAACACAUAUAGCAAGUGUAAUUAAGAUAAAUAUUCAUCAAUACAUGAUCUCAUCAGAUAAAUUGCUACUACUCCAAAAAAUAAAUUAAAAUACAUUGAAAAUUAUGUUGAAGCAUCCUAAGAACAACUAAAACUAAAAUAAAUUCAUGUAUGCAUAGUUUGGUAGUGAAAGGUAUAUAUAUAGGCUAAUUUUUGUCUUUUAAUCUCCCAUCUUUUAAUACAUUAUUACUCCACAUUAAUGAAAUUAAUUAAAAAAUAUAAAAUUAAAGGUGGAUGAAUCAUAUAAAAUCUCUAAUUAAGAAGGUAAUAGUGGGAGGUGAAAAGUUGAUUGAAUUGAAUAAAUAUUUUUUAAUUAUAAAAAAUAAAAUAAAUAGAUUUAUCUCCCUAUCUUUUAACAUGUUAUUACUCAACAUCAAUAAAAUUAAAUUAAGAAUUAUAAAAAAUUAAAUUGGAAGAAUACAUGAAUAUAUAUUAUAAAUUCUAAUAAAGAAGACAAUUACAAUGGGAGGUACAUAUACCUCAAAAAAAAAUCUAUUAAAAUGAUUUUAAGAUGUUACAAAUUUGUACAUUAAAGAAUUGAAAGUUAUGAAUAUGAAAAGUUUGAAAGUUAUGAUUUUAUUUAUUAAGGAAUUAUGAGUUAAGGGGAUGCUUUUACAAAAUAAAAUAAUUAAAUAUAUUUUUAAAAAAAGUCAAAAAAAUGAGAUAAAAGAUAAAUAAGAAUGGUUAUCAUAGAGAAGUGUCACAUCAUCUUGUCUAUGUUUCUCUUUAUAUAUUUAUAUAUAUAUAUAUAUGAAAAAAAUCGUGAUAUUGCAGAAAUGAGAUAAGACAAUGCAUUGAACAGUUUGUGUCCCGUAGGAAUUGGAAAGUGAAAGUCGGAACCCCAAAAUAGUUUUAAUUUGUUAUCUGGAACUAGUUUAGCCUGAGAAGCUAAAAGCAAAUUACGUCUAUGAAAAUUAUUUACAUAGCCUCAGAACAUGGUAAAAUGAGUUAUAUUUUGUUGCUAAAGGAAACCGAAUUAGCUUUAUGCUGGCAAAAGAUCUAAUGAAGCCCUCCUAAUAUGGAUUAUGUAGGAAAAACUGCAUAAAUGGACCAUAAAACAUAAAAUAAUUACAAAGUUUUAGCCAAGAAAACACUACUGCAUCAACGACUCCAAUGAUCACCAAAUGUAAAAAAAUUCUCAGCUCCUAAAGAAGUAACUCAAAACACUGUAGAUUUCAUUAAAAGCACAACAUUUACUGUUUACAAUUUCACCUUUGUCCCCACACGCACUCUCCAACUCCCAUGCGGGAGGAAAAAUAUGAACACACAGUUGAAUAAAAGAAUACAACUUUACCCACCUUCAAAAUGCACAUUCACACGAUAUACACGACACAUCAAAACAUUAAACUUCUCAUAAACAAACCUACAAGGAAAUCCUCAAAGAAACUAACUGCGGUUAGCAUCUAUGGGAGUCCCUGUUCUAGCCUGUGAUAUUCUAUUUGCAUAAAUAGUCACCAAUCUCAACUGUGUGCUGUUUAGCCCUUCCAAGUAUGGCAAAAAUGCUUUGCCCAGCAUGAUGUAUAUGUCAACUAAACAGAACACAACAGUCUGCCAGCCAAGAAAAUUAUACAUUUCAGAAAACAGCUUAAUUGAUAAAACCACAAAUAAGUAGAGAAUGUGAACUGUAUUUAUCUCUUCAUGCUUCAACAGUAUACAAGACACUAAUCUGAAUAUAAGCAAUCCAAUUUAGUUAUAUCACAGCCUCAAAACUUGUAUUACUAAGGUUUACUGCAUGAUUUAUUUCUUUUUCAUUUCUUUUGGGGAUAGGUACAAGGUUUUAUCUGAUGACCAUAUAUCAGUAAACACAGUGAAAUGAUGACGUCUGGGGCUCAAUGCAUCUAAUAAAGGAAUAGCUAUUAACACUGAAUGAUUAUAUUGCAUACCUAAUGCUACCAAUCCACUAUUACUGAUUACAUCCUUAAUACUAGAAGCUUUUCUGGGCUCUAAAGAGAGAAGAAAGAAAACAGAGGGAAAAGAUAAUUGGCACCUUGCGAACAUCUGCGCUCUGGUUUCCAAAAGCAUCAAACAGGGCAGGUAAGAAUGUAGAUAGCUGAGACAUCAAUUCUUCCUGGGUAAACCUCCCCACAAGCUGAAGAAAGAGGCACAAGUUCAAAUCACUAACCAAUCACACCAUAGCCUUUCCAAGUUUGACAUACUGUAGAGCAAUUACUACUAUUUUUCACCAAAAAAUAAACUAGACACAAGACUCUAACGAGUUCAGGAGUCAGAUCCAAUCAGCAAAUUACCUUUGUUAAACAGUUAAUACAGGUUACAAGAGUCUUCUCGUCUUCUGUGACAAGCAAAGGAACAACAACCUGUGACAGCAGCAACUUAUCAGAAAUAGGAAUAUCAAAAUGAGUAGGCCAUGAGAUCCGAGUGAAAAAGAAAAGAAAAAACCCAGAUAUCUUGCUAUGCAAAUUCAAACGGAACACCAAAACUCACACUUAAGCAUCUAAAUGAAUCAUACUGAGACAACACCAUAGUUAAACAAUGCUCAGCUUCAUUUGAAACCUGGACAAAUAUAACAACACAUUAGAAAGGAGGGAUGGAAAUUUUCAGCAUAAUAACUUCAUCUAAGUGAGAGUUUACUUUUGGAGAAACAUCCUUGGUUACGUUGAGCAAUUUCUCAAUUACAACCUCGACUGAAUCCUCCAUGGCAUCUCUCUGGAACAACAGAAAAUAGAUAACGUAAAAUGACAUUACACAAAAAGAUUAAAAAGAAGCAGACAACUCUUAUCUAUAGCUUAAAGGGAUGGAACAAAAAUAAAUUUGAAAAGCGACAAAAGACCUGAUUCUUCAGCAUUUCAACAAUCAGAGAUAGGGCAAGUUCUCUUAUUGAUGACGCAGAAUCAUCUAGCACCUCGAGUGCAGUAGUCAAUAUCUGAUUGAAGUACUGCAGUGAAUGAAAGAUGAUAAUUCAUGAAAAAAUCCAUAUUUUUUAAAUUAGCAAAAUCAAAAUUUGAUAUUUACAAGACCUUUCAAAUAAAAGGUAACAACUGAACUCUAACUAGUUGGAAUAUUAAAAAAGGAACUAAACUAAAUGUUAUUCACAAUGUUACAAGAGGACUUAAAAUCUACAUAAAGGGACAGCAAUAACAUACAGAUAAAUCUGUGACUAAUAUACCUUGCUCCAUAUGGAUUGAUCUUUGGUAACAGCUUCAACUAGUUGUUGAAGUGCACCAUGCUUGUUGGCAGGAGGGCUCUCAUCACUGCCAUUACAAAUCUGGAAAAGGUGCCAGAGAAAGCAGGGUAAGGAUUGUGAUAGUUUACAUCCUAAGUUUUUGCAUAAAAGAUUUGAGAGAUUUAUUAACCAAGGAAGAGGAGAAUCACAGAGAAUUUAACAAUAAAGUGUAACUCGACAGGCAUAGGUUGACCACGGAGAACUCACUGAAUGAAGAAUCUGAGGAAUGCUUGGUUCAGUUGCUGGAGUUAAGUUUAUCUUCAGAGCAGAAAGUUUCAGGUGAUUAAGUCCCAAAUCAGAUUCAUUAUCAGCUGCAGCUAGAUGCUCCAAGUCAAUUAACCCAUUAACCUCCAGACGGGUUGUGGAAGUGUGCUCCACGUUUAAGCUGUCGUCAUUGCUUUUCUGUGGAUUAGCCCAUAAUCCAUCACUCCCACUUGCGGUAAGGGCCAAAAGAUUUGAAUCCUUGGCUUUUGAAACAGGAAAAUCAGAGUUGGCACCAGUUUCAAUACCAUGAUAGAAGUCUUGAGUAUCAUCCGACAAUGAGUGACCUACAGAGCUAGUCAUAUAGGUCGAGUCUGGAACAGAAUUCCACUUUCUGGCACCAUCACUAUCAACUGAACCAGCAGAAUACCUUCCAAAUAAAUGAUUUUUCUUUGAAGCUCCUACAUAUCCCUCUUCAGAAGAUGUGCCAGUAACGUCAUAUGGAUCGUACUUGGAACGUUGUCUUUCUUUUUUAUUUUGCAGAAAAUUCAUCAAAUCCACUUCUAUACGAGGGGUAUACUGUUUCAGAGCUCGUCUCAAGGAAUUUUGUUCUUCAACUGAUAAGCUAAGAAUAAAAUUCAAAACCCCUGUUCCAUCAAAGUGUGUGUACACUGAUAUAAUGCAUGAAAUAGCCGCUUCUUUCAGUUUGGUAUUUUUAUCAUAGACCAAUGGUGUCAACUUAGCGAGCCAUAACUUGAGGAUGCCACUAUUUCCAGCACCUUCAGAAUUCGAAGGAUGCUUGUUAAAAGAGCCAAUUGCAAACUCAAUUACAGCAAGUUUGGCCUUAGGAGAACGUUGUUCAUCCAAUGAACGGAGCAAAGCUGGCAAAAGGGAGUCGAUACCAUAUGUUUUGCUUACAAUCUCUAAUGUAGUUGAGCAAGGCUGCCUCACCGAUUCCUUGGGAUCAAUUAGCCGUGAAAAAACAUGGGGCAAAAUCCUCUCCAUGUAACUUUCAAAAGGUUUUCUGCAAGCUGGAAUAAGAUCUGCAAGGGUUGACAGAGCAGCCUGUGCAACUUUAUGAUGGGGAUCAUCAAGGUGCUGGAAAAAUAAUUUCAUAACCUUCUCAAAGCUCUGAAUGAUUUCUGGAAAACCUCUAGGCCCCUGCUGUAGCAAAGACCUGACAUAACUAAAUGCAGCAACCCUAGCAUUCCAAUCUGAACUAGAACUGAGGCCCUCACUUAAUGCGUCACUUAGUGAGGCAGGUCCCUCCACACAACUUGACAUUUCUCCUAGUGGGAGCUGACUGUCAUCAAAGCUCCUUCUCUUGCUAGAAGACAUUCUUCCUGCUGUGUUCUUUCUUGAUAAAGGACGUUGAAAAUUUGGAACGUGAUUAUUCUGAGAAUCCCUAAAGUUAGCAUCUUUGUAUGGUGACUCUAUGUAUUGUCUGUGAACGUGUGAGUUCAUUAAUCGUCUGCCUUCCCUUAGUUCAGCAUUAUCUUCAACAAAACCUCUAUCUGGUAGUUUUUCAGAAGCCCUUCUUGCCGAAUAAGAAUUAAGCCCUGAAAAAGAUUCAUGAACCACACUGCCUCGAUAGGAUGAUUUAGUUGAAUCCUUUGAGGCCUGGAUCUGAGUAAUGAUAUCAGACAAACCCAACCCACCAUUGCGAUUCUUACCUUUAGAGAAACCAGAUGGUGCAUCUACCAAAGCGUUAGCAAGACUAUGUGACGCAGGAACUGCAAGAGGAAAUGGUGGAUCACGGGACGAUGGAGGGUCAACUCCUGCACUAGGGACAGGAAAAGAAAAAUUAAGUUCUUCAAAAAAUUUCAUACAUUAUGGCAAGUCUUCUAUUUUGAGAGAGAAUAUUAUAGCUACAGUCUUUUUAGUUUUCUUUCAGCAUCCUUUUUGCCAAAUAUUAGAAGCUGCAUGUGGAUGAACUUUUAAGGCUUUCACCUUGGCACUUAAAUACUACACACAAGAUUUUGAGAUGGGGAAGAAUAAAGGAAGAGGAAAGAAUUACCUAGAUCCAAACUAGAGGAUCGACUUCUCUCAGACAUAUCUAAACCUUUGAGCAGGCUUUCUAUAGCAGAAACUUUCUGUUUGCUGGCAUGAAGUACACUUUCUAAGCUACGUUCUGUGCCAGUACCCACAGGUUUAGUUUGUGACAGGAGUAGCCCAGUUGAGCGGGAUGUGCCUGAAGGUAAACUGGAACUUCUAUCCAUAGCAACUAUUGCAGAUGUUCCAUAACCAGAAAUUUGUGAAGAAGCAGAUGUUUGAGAACCAAGUGAAAAGUGUGAACUCCUCUCUCGAACAGAAGGUGAAGCAUGUCGUCUGUUAGUUCCACCAUCUUCCUCAUUUAUGAUCUGCAGAAGUGUUUCACCUUUAGUACAUCAUGCCAAAUCUAAAAGCAAUUUAAAGUAAUGCUAAUCAUCAGCACUGGAAGAGCAAAGAGAAAACAGCGCACCCUUUGGAUAACAGGAUCAAAGGACAUAAACAAACGCCUGGAUCGUUCUGGCCAAGUUCUUGCAAACAUUCUGUACAAAGUUCUUGCAGUUGAUCGUACCUGUUAAGUUUUCAACUGAGUAACAAUUGCAAAAAAAGGGGAAAAAAGAUGUAUUGCGAGUACAGAAUGAAACAGAGAAUCUAUGUGUCUGUGAAUAAGAGGGGAGAUUGAAUGAUGCGUGUGAUACAUAGAAUUCAAGGUGCAUACCUCACUCAUUGCAUCUCCUACACAACACUUUAUAAGGUCCUCAUAGAGUUCCGCUGAACGGUGUAUCUCAGAUGCAUCAGGCCAAUGUUCCAGGAUUAAAAGUGCAUACUCACAGCAUCUGUAAGUGUUGUAAAUGAGGAACAGCAUUCUCCAGAAAUAAAUCAGAAUAAACAUGAUAAUUGACAACAAAGAAACAAACCUUGCACGAAGAACUGCAUUUCGAUCGUUCUUUGCACAAUCAGCAAUUCGAGGAAGUGCACGAGCAACUUUGCAGUUGCGCAACAUCUGAAAAUAAAAGUAGCACCACAUGACUAACCAAUAUACCAAGGGAUGACAGAGAGAUGAUUAUAAUGGCACAUAAGGUGUUACCGUCUUUAUGCAUGUAUCAGCAGAUUCUGCAAUUACGAGAACAGUUAUCACAACAAGCUUGAAAAGAACCUGAAUUUCAAAAAAUCAGAAGUCAGAAACAACCUAUGCCAUUUAGCUUCAGAUCAUUAUUUUCCCUAAAUGAGAUGAGAGAAGUAAAUAUCUGCAGACAGUAGCUAGAAGAAGUUACUCACAGGAAUGAACAUCUCAGCACAUGCCUCAAAAUCUCCCAAAAGCUCUUUGGAUAAGAAGUUUAACAGAUGACAAGCCUAUCAACAAAUAAGAAGAAGAAACCAUAAAGCCAGUCCAUUGGAACACUUAAGUCUACUUAAAUUUCUCCGUGUUUAUGGAGUAUAUGCAUAUGAUACACUAGUGAACUUUUUCUCAUCAAUUUUUCAGGAAAAAAAUUAGCACGUGAAGUGCAAGCCGCCUGAUAAAUGUACUCGGACACUCCAGGUUCCUGUAUGAGCAGACAUUUUAACUGGUAAAAUCUAACAGAAAGGACAAGAGUCUAUAUGUGCAUACAUUCAGAUUAGGUGAUACUCUUUAACCUGAGAAUUAAUAAGCAAUGAUGCAAAAAAUAUCCUCAAAACAAUGGAGAAAUAAGUGCAAAUGUCGAGAUGCAGUCCUAGCUUGCAUAAAUGCAUUGUAAAAAGAGAGGGACACAAUUCUAUCUGACUAUUAAAAGGCCUCUAUGAAGAUGGCAACUGCAGUGAGGGGAGCAGACAGCAUUAGCAGGCUUUUUUGGAUCUACUGGGAUAUAAAAUGUUUGAUAUAAAUAUUCAAACUUCUAGUAGGUUUUCUGUAUAGAUCGAUCCAUAAGUAGGCACAUAACCCAUUUGACACAGCCCAGGUAACAAAGCAAGAGGCAGAAGCGAAUAAUUAGAGGACAAGUAAGUUUCCAAAAGACACACUAGCUGAGUUGCUACUAUUAUAUACUAAAUAACAGACCUGUUUGACAAUGGUGGAUCUCCGAUCAGAUAACUGUGUACUCAAAGGGACAACAAGUUGCUUUAGAAGUCCACGGAAACAAGGAAAAUCAGUUGCACCUGAUUAGAUGAAAUAGAAGAUGAGGCACAAUAUAAACUGGUCAAGACAUGAUAGGAAAAAAAUCACUUCAAUAAAAGAGGACAUUAUUAUACAGCAAAUGUCACUAUAGAAAACACACCUCCAAUAACAAGAGCUUCAAUUCUCUGCAUAGCAGAAAUACGGAUAGACCAGUCCUUCUCUGGCACAAGGGUAGAGGCAAUCUUCUCAAACUCCCUUACCAACUCCUUUUCUGAGUACACUUUAAUUGGCUCGACAGGUUUCUCCGCAAUAUCAGCAUCCCCUAUACAAGAGUAGAGACCAAGGGACAUUUGAUCAAGUAUACAAUCAUAGACUGUACUUAUACAUUACGUGAUCACAAAAGUUCUCUCUUUUUGUUCCCUUUUUUUGCUCAAACUACCCUUUAGACAUAGACUCAUAGUAGUUGUUUUACACAGAAAAAUACCCCUACACCACCAGAUGAUUUCUCUAUGUUCAUAGACCCAUUGCACAAUUCUGCUUUUCUCCCUCUCCCGCUUCAUCCUCAUUCAUUAAUAACCCUUGAACCAGGAAAAAACAUGCACAGAGGAUAUGUAAUAACCUACAAUUCUAGAUAGGUUAAAACCUUGAAAACUUUAUACCAUGUAACAUGACAAUAGGAUGCCCACAAAAGCUUAAUAAAAUAGAAGUUUCCAAGGCUUAUCGGGUGCAUGUUCUAACCUCCAAAAAGAGACACCUCUCUAGUUGAGUUUUUAGCCUUUGGGCUGCUUUUCUUGGGAUUAAGACCAGUGGAUCUCAACUCAGCAGCUGCAUAGUUUCUUGGAAUUCCAUCUGCUAAGGGAUUUUUGGGCUCAAUCUUCUCUAGUCUGGCAUUAAUAUCUUUUAGCUGCAGCCAAUUAUCAAGUCAAGACAGAGAUCGAAAAGAAAUUUUGCUUGCCCCAACACAAUUUAUGUCAACCAAGUUACAUAAAAUCUAGAACUGGAAAACUCAGGUUACUUCAUAUGCUAGGAAAAUAUUUGCUAGAAUGAAAACAUCUCAAGUUAUAUACAUACCAUCAUGGUAGGAAGAUGAUGGCGCUGAAGUUCAUCACGGAACUGAGGUCCAGCCUGUGAAUACAUCUCCUGCAAAGAAGAUAAAACAUGGAGAGAGGGACUGUUAAAAGGCAUAAUGCUUAAUCAUUGAACUAGAUAUUUGUUGGUGAAAGGCAGUAAAUCAACAUUACAUCAUAGAAUAAUAUAGAGCACGUAUUCAGUAAUGAUGCACAAAUAUUAACAAGCAGCAAUUUGGAUCAAACAGAAACCAAAUAUUUUCAAACAUUCAUCAACAUCCUCUCCUGCUGCAACUUUAACCAGCUACAGAGAAAUGAUUACCAAGUAAAACUAGUAACAACUAAUCAUUUCCACACAGCGUAUAAUGGUUUUAAAAUUGUAGCAUGUUGAUGAAAGACAAUGAAAAAGCUAGCAGAUAACUAGUGACACUGACAAUCACUUCCACUGCCAGCAUGAUAACUGCACUGGUUGGAAUGAGAGGUACACCACUAGCUUGCUGGAGCAAAAGGUCUUUGUUGAAGUGUGUAGCUAUCUCAUCUAAAAGCUUAAGCAAUUAGAGAGAGCACACUUUUAUUAUUAAAUUGUAUUCUCAAACACACUUUUAUUAUUUAAUUGUAUUCUCAACACACACCCUCACAUGCAGGCCUGAUUCUUUUCCAUGGCCAAGCACGUGGAAAUUCUUUUGAUAUGGGUGGUGGUGAGAUUCAAUCUCAGGACCUCUGCCUGCCCUGAUACCAUGUUGAAGUGUGUAACCAUCUCAAGUUGUUAGAGAGAGAGCACACUUAUAUUAUUUAAUUAUAUUCUCAACAGUCUUGAAAGAAACAUCAUAUAUUAGUAUCAUCUCAAGACCAGAUGUCUGGAACUCUACCAUCACACGUUUCAGCACAAACCCAAAUGACAAUUGUGGAUGAGAAAACCCGCAGAAGAAUCAUUUCUAUUACGCUCCAUUAAAUCCAAAAUCUAUAUAGCCACUGGGCACAUGAAUCAAGCUGAUCAACUUGGUUACACAGCUCAAAAAAGGGUAAAUUGAAUUCCGGGAAUAUACUCUUAUUUUUCAAUUGAAGAUUAUAGUUUCAUAUCUUUCCAGAUUGAAUAGGUAUUUAUAAUCAAACACCGUCCUGCAAUCUGGCUUUCAGAUUGAAUUGAUCAUAGGACUCAUUCAAACAAUCUUGAGCCUUUGCACUGUUAAUCAUAGAUAGGUAAGUUUAUUUUUAUUUUUUAUUGUUAGUAUAGAUGGGUAUGUUUGAUCAAUUAAUCAAUCACAGGAGACUUUCUUGAUAAACAGGCAUAGCCAUAACCAGACUGCGAGCUUGUAAGAGCAUCAAAACAAAGACAGUGAAAUUGGAGCAUCUUUAUAUUACCAAUUUAUCAUUGAAAGGAAAGAAAAGACACUGAACCUCAAAGUUAGAAACAUUCAAUGACUUCGAUUAGUGAGCCAAGUGUAGAAAUAUCAAUAAAGAAUAUAAGCAAAGUAAAGGUGUAUUUUGUGUUCUUUCAUUCCCCCACCUAGCCCCAUCCCUCAAACCUCUACUACUAGCCAGGAGGUCCCUUGGUGACUCGAACCCCAACCCUUAUAGGUUGGAGGUGGAGGGUCCUUACCACUAGAUUGUCCUCCCCUCGUGUUGCAUCUAUAAGUACCAUUAUAAACUUCUCCACAAUGUUGAUGUGGGACUAUCUUGUAACCAUCCUCUCAUAAUGUGGAGGAAGUAAAAGGCGUAAUAAAUUUCUUUUCACAAGUAUGUGGAAGCUUUAUCAUAGCUCUUCAAUUAAAUGUAAGACUAUUUUUUUUAUGACUGUGGUGUCCAGGCCAACUUUCGCGCACCUCGACUAAUUCCAAGGGAUACCUACCAUCUCCCACCAGCAACAGGUAACUCUGUCCACCAAGGCUAGGACAGAUGAGAAGAAUCAUCUAGUGUUUUUCGCCUCCGCUAAGUUUUGAACCUAAGACCUCAUGGUUUUCAACCACUUCAUUGACCGCUAGGCCACACCCUUGUGCGCUUUGUACGACUAUUUAAAUGCCUAUUUUAUCCUUUUUACUAAAUUUUACAAAAUAAUUGUAUUUCUACAUCAUAAAAGAGCUAAGCUUGAAUUAAGCCUCCUUCACUAUGUAACACUGAAACUGAAAUUAAACAUUCAAUUUUCAUAAAGAAAAUGUGUAAGUCUGAGCUAGUAGUCAAUUAAAUGGGUUGAGAACUAUGAAGUCUUAAGUUCUGAUCUCAAUAGAAGCAAAAACAACUAGGUGAUUUUUUCCUGUUUCCGUUGGUCUAUCGGAAACAACUUCUCUACCCAUGAGGCAGACAUAAGGUCAGGAUACACUCUACCCUCCCCAAAUUCCACUUUGUAGGAUUAUAUUGGGCAUGUUGUUGUUGUUGUUGUUGUUGUUGGUAUCCAAGUCUUGGUAGACAUGGUUACCUUGUACAAGGGGAGGUAGCAAAUACCCCAUGGAAUAGUCAAGGUCUGUGCAAGCUGGCACGAACACUACGAUUAUCGAUGUUACCAAUUUACCAUAUAGCUACAAUUAACACACUGUCAAAAUUAAAGGCAGCAAGUCAUCGGCAAAAUCACUAAUGCAGACACUAAUUACAUACAACUUUAACAAUUCAAAUGGAAGUAAAACUUAUCAACUUCCCUUUCUAGAGAAAACAAAAAUUAUUCAGUCUACACAGUACCACAAAUACAUGAAAUUGAGAUACGAAAACAGUUUCACUAACCUCAAUACAUGAUAUGGCUGCAUCUCUAACACCAGGAUUAGGAUCACUCAACAUUUGCAAAAUCUGACAAUAGCAGCAAAAAAGAAGGAUGUUUACAAAAUUGAAUUUAAAAAGGUUACUUAUUUUGUAUGACAACAUACAAAAGAGCUUCAUCAAGCAUUCAUGUUGAUUCACAUACUGGAGGAAGAAUAGUUCGUUGAAGGGGAAGCUCUGUUGAUGCAAAAAGACCAAUUGCUGAUGUAACAGUACGAGCAAAUUCUUCUCGAACCCUGAAACUUCUGUGCAUCCAAGCAUAAGACCCUGCCCUCUCAACGAUGAUAGUUGGUGAAGAAACCUGCAGAAUAUAUAUAUUAAUCAAUCAAAUAGAUUUCUAGUUUCUUCUCCUUGAGCACAAGUUGAAAUUAUCUCAUGCUGGUUCUAGUUGAGCAACUUGUUUUGCCCGUGAGUUGACCACCACGUCUGUAUAUUUGAUUGCAGGUCUAUGGGUAGUGGAUCACAGUGACUGAAAAUGUAACCAGUCUUCUGAACAUACACAAAAUUCUUCUUGUGCCAAUACUUUACAAGAGUAGGUUUACUAAAGUAAAAUACAAUGGUAUCAUUUCAGAUUUUAUUAAUAGGUGCAUUUGGAUUGAUUGUAUUACUGAGAACUGAGCAGUAUUCGGCAACUUAAAAAGGGAGGAUAAGCCAAUAGUAGCUGUCUCUUUUAUGUGGACAUGAUAGUCUUAGCUCUGUUGUAAUAUCUUACUUGUGUAACAAAUGAAUGCUUAAUGAGAGUUGGGAUUGGUGAUGGAUUACAUCACUGCACUCGGACUCCUAAUGUAUUUUGCAUAUUAAGCAUGAAGUAGCUAAAGGAAAGAAAACAUGUAGUCAUUUGAAAAAGAAUGAUUAGUAUAAAUUAAGUUGCAGCAUUUUUGUUUGCAGGUUGGGCUUUUGCUGACUCUGUACUGCAUAGAUUGGCACCUCUUUGGGAGGGUGCUCACAAGUGGUGUUUGGGGAAGGUAGGAUGCAUGCAAACAUUACCCCUACUUUUGGGGGGUAGAGAGAUUGUUUCUGAUAUGGUUGUAGCUGUGACAACUAACAACAUUCACAUCUGAAAGUUAAUAAAAUUACCGUUCGAAAAACCCACUUGCAAAACAAGUACUCAAUUUGAUAGGUGUCUUAUCUACAUCUUUGUGACAGUUGAAUCUGGUACAUGUUGUUGGUGGGAAGUGGCAAGUAUCCCAUGGAAUUAGUCGAGGCGCGCGCAAGCUGGCCCAAACACUGUGGUUAUCAAAAAAAUAGUGUUCUGCCUUGUGGAAAAAGAAAGAAUAUCCCAAUUAUAUUAUCUUCACACACUUGGUGGUAUAUGUGAGGUGGUUUGGCACUUCGCAGACAAUGUCAUGUACUGUGAAAAAGUUGAUGUUAGGUUGGAAGGAGAAGAAGAUGUAGGGCAUGGAAUGUGGUUACACUGCGUUAACGUGAGUGGUAUGGACAGAGAGAAAUAGGAGAGCUUUUGAAAGGGUAGAGUCGAGUUUUCCUAGUUGAGGAGUUCUCCGUCUCUCUGAUCCCUUUUAUAUUCUUUUGGUGCACCCAUGGAGCUCCCCAUAGAAGAUUUGGAGUUUGUAAAUUCAUUUUUCUGUACAUUCUUUAUCUUUUGGUAUACCCCUUGUGUAUGGUCAGUUUUUUUGCCAUGAAAAUACUUUUUUACCUGAUAAAAAAAGCCAUCUUCACAUGCUAAAUUAGUUUUAUAUUUAUUUAUUUAUCAUCAAGUAAACAUAUUUCGUAUCAUAAACAAGGCCAUAAACGAUUAUACACAAGUGGUACACCAAAAAACGUAAAGAAUCUACACAAUCAACUGGUUCUGUACAAACUCCACCCACAAUAGGGGACUAUCUGAGUGCACCAAAAUAAAAUAAGGGAACGGAGGCUACUUCAUAACCAAGGGAAACUCCACUCUACACCUUCAAAAACUCUUCUAUUCCUCUCGAGAGAGACAACCCACCAAAAAAUCCUCGAGGGGUGAUGGUAAAUGCUUUGAACGGGCCCACCCCUACCCUUCUCCAUUUAAAUACUAGGCUAAAUUAGUUUUACAUUAUAUGCAACAACCAUUAUAACUUCAUUGUUUUGUAUUGUUUUUCUCUUUAGAUGAUCAUAUAUUUGAUCAAAAUUAACAUGUCAUAGAACUUGAUCAUUAGUAACGUUCUACAUUCCAAAUAAUGAAUUUUCAGUAACAGAAUGGUGAACUUAAUCUUGCACUACUAUCACUCUUUUCAUCCCUGAAAGUGUGUCGGGGAUGGCUAGAAGGUAAAGCCACUACAGCAUUGGGUUUAGGCCUCAAAUUUUUGAAGGCCCUAAAUGAGUGGGCAGUUUCCUUAUGAUUAGUGCCCAUCACUCACUUCGUUGUGUCCUGUAUGAGGAGUUAUCCACUACACUAAUUACUACAAGUUCUUAUCUUUUAUUAAUUAGUGCAUUUAGCUUCCCAUUUGGGAAUGGUUUUUCCGUGUCCACAUACAUCCAUCCUUUCCUGUUUAUAACAAGUUCACUUUUCAAUUUCAGUUCAACUUUUCUUAAUCAAACUAAUUAUCUUUGUCACAAUUGAUUGAUUCAUAAAUCAAAGAGCACGUCUUUUAAGAUUAAAUCAAGAUACUUGUAUUUUUAAUAUCAAGAAUUGGAAGAGUUGUAAUAUAGCAGUGAAACUCCAUAGCGCUUUCCUCCUCUUUUGAAUUUAAUGUUUUUUUAGCAUAAGGUGAUUCAAAUAAUUCUAGAGCUAAUUAUUGUUACAUAAUAUCAAUCACGUCUCAACAAAUAUAUAUUAAAUGGAUUGGAUAUGUUUGUUAUUAAUUAAAUAGAAAUAAUUUCUUUUUGAGAAGCUAACAAUUAAAAAGAAAUAAUUAAAAUAAAUAAUCAAUUAUAGCUCAAAAGGCUAGAAAUAUAGCUUCAAAAAAAACUAUACCUGAAUUUUUUAAAAUGAACUAGUGUUUGACCAUAGAUUUUGAUCAAAUUUUGAAAAUUUAUCUUCAAAUAUUUGUUUGACCGUGAAAUUUGAUCAUUUUAAAAAUUAUUUCCUCAAAGAUUGUCAAGUUCCCACAGAAAAUAUUAAAAAAUUUCCAAGUACUCCCUCCAUUUACUUUUACUUGGGACUUGGCACACCCAUUAAAAAAACACAUUGUUAUUUUACCACGUUACCCCUAUUAAUUAGUGUUUAGUAUUAGGUCUUGAAAAUGAUUUGUAGAAUAAGUAAUUAAUAUUAAGGAUAAAAUAUGGGAAAAAAUAAUUAUUUUUUCUUAAUAUGUUAAAAGUGAAUCCAUUUUAGAAAAAGUGGACAAGUAAAAGUGAAUAGAGGGAGUAAAAUGCAUAUCUAGAGACAACUUCAAGUUUCAAAAAUCACAACUUCAAGAACUCAAAUUGUCAUCAACUUCAAAAUAUAUGGCCAAACGGGUUCUAAUAUUAAAGCCUCACAUUAAAACUUAGAUUUAUGUCACAAAUUUUAUUGAGCCGCAUCUCACUAAUUUUGGAUCCUUCUGAAAAUACUAGGCAUACCCCAAUCAACUGGACUUCAUAAAUAUUACGUAUUUGUAACCAGAGUACAAUUGGGUCAUAUAAUUUCUUUAAUCUCCACCUGUUCCAAUCAAACUUCAAUCAUUUCCACCACCUCCAACCACCCUUAACCCCUACACAAUAAAAAAAUUAAAAAGACAAGAAAGAAAUCUUCAACCAUUAUUUAGCAUUUGAACCAAUCCUACAACUAUGCAACAAUCCAGGGUUGGCUAUAUGAAUCCUCUAUACCGAUACCACUUCAUCAUGAAACAAAAUAAAGGGUUCUUCAGAAAUCUCACACUUAUCUCUGCACUGUCAUACAAAUCUCAACCAAUCCAAUUAAUUCAAAAUUUGAAGAAAUUUUUUUUUAUGUUCGUGUGAAGUAGACAACCAAAUUAAAUUAUAAAAAUCACCUCAAUAAAUGUACAUGAAUAAAAGCAAAAAAAGAAAGAAACAUAAUCCAAUUAGGGUAGAGUUACAGUAAAACGAAGAGUAAGCGCGUUCAUGCAUGAGUACCUGCAUCAAAGUAAGCAACAAUCGCCUAGCAGCAUCUCUAACCGGCUGUUUAGCAUCGCCCAAUCUUUCUACAACGGCAGGCACAAGAGCAUUGAAGUGAAGCUUAAAAUGUUCACCGGAUAGAACAGCAGCGGAAUCAAGUGAUUGUAAAGCACCCUGACAGACCCUGAAGUUGUUGUCUUUGAGAAGAUCUAUGCAGACAUCAACAAGCGAAGUGACCUCAGAAGAAGAGAGACUCUUUCUAGAAGCUUCGAGAAGUUCGUGAAGUCUCUCAACACCCGCCAUUCUCUCCUUCGUAUCCUUGGCUCGCGCCAAUUCCAGUGCCUCCUCCAUCGCCGGGGUAAGUAGGGUUCCGAUCUGGUGCUAUGAGGGUCAGAUCUGCGGUGGAUUUGGGAGGAAAAUGGUGGAAAAAGUGACAGAGGAGAGUGAACUGUGAGGAAAGAGAAAGGAGGGAUUUUAGAAUUAGUACAAAAUAUUGAGGGGCUAUUUGCUAUAUUAACGGAAGAGAGGAUUUAGCAUAUGAAAAAAAAGAAAGGGGUAUUUGCUACAUCUGUGUGGUUGGAACAGUUGAUAAGUGGCUUGGGAGUUGUGACAAAAACUUAUUACACUGUUCCGUUCGAUAAUUAAAGACGAUUUGAAUAAACUUCUAAAAUUAGUUUCAAAUUCAGAGUAAUUUAUUUUGAAUAUAUGAUCUUGGUGAGAACAGUUGAUUUGAAGAAACACUUUUGUAUGAUAAUUUAUAUUUGGUUGAACUUUUACAUUACAAAUAAGGACAUAAUAAAUCUACUUAAUGUCUAAUGUUAUUAAUAAGUUCAAAUAUUGAUUAAGUAUUACUUCUUACAAAUUCUUUGAAUGUGAAUGUCCAUUUAUAAUUUUUUUGACUAUACAUGUACCAAUUAUUAAUAAUUCAUAUAUUAGUAAAAUGAAGUGUCCAAUUCUUAUAUUUAAGAAGUUGUUAUAAAUUUGUUGAACUAAGUGGAUUGUUCAUUGAGUUUAUUCAUAAACUUAUGUACUUAUCAUCUAUAUGUAUCUCCUAGGUUCUAUGAACCUUUUUGGAUAAGAAUGUAUCUAUUGUACUUAAUAUGGUGACUUUUGGAGUGAUUUCUCAACCUAUAAAUAGGGUUGUUCAUUCACCGUUGUGAGACACAGAUGAAACAUGAAGACGUUUGAAUAAGAUGAUCUCUACAUUCUACUUCCCAUAUAUUUUUUGUUUAUAUUUCUUGUAGUAUAUUAUUCAUAUUUUAUAAUAUGUUAUCAGCACGAGACUCUAGCCAAUUGAGGUUGAGUUUUAGUUUUUCUUUAGUUCAUGUUUUGGUUGAUCUCGUUAUGAGAAUCAAGAAGAAAAAAAUGAUAAUUGAUGCAAUCAAGGUAUUAUAUGCAUAAAAUCAGGCAUAUACUACUGGCUGAAUAUUCUCUACUCUACAAAAUUCCUUAAAUGGGAAAAGGUAUAAAGUUUUGGUAGCAUGAGUUUGAAUAUUAUUUUGAUUAUAUUUAAUGAAUUUUAUUUCAAUAUUUUGAAAGAGUCAAAGGGUGAUUCAUGUUGUACUUCGGUCUAUUAUAUCGUUGGUUGAGGGUAAGACGAUGGAUUCAAGUCUCAUCGCACCAUAAGGGUAAGACAUCAAGUUAAAGUCCGGAUGCACCAUAAUGAAAAAGGCUUGAGGGUAAGACGAUAGAUUCAUGUUCUAUCACACCAACAGGGUAAGACAUCAAUUUGAGUUUUGAUGCACCUUAAUGAUAAGAAUUGGGUUUGAGUCUCAUGGAAUUAUGGCCUAAUACGCCUUAUAUGGGUAAGACAUUGAGUUUGAGUCUCAAUGCACCAUAGUGAUGAUAUAAUAAUGACUUAAGACUUUGAUGAAAAGUCAUGAAAUCCGUCCCAUUGAAUUUGCUCCAUUCCCUAAAGCGAAUGUGGUAGCAGUACUGAUAAGUUUGGAAUCUGCCCAAUUACUCCAUUCUAUCAUAUGAACGUGGUAGCAGUGAAUCAUAAGUCUGAAAGAUGACUAGUAAUUGAAUAUAUGAAUAAGGGCAUUGAUGGACAGAAGGAUAAUAGUCAUCAUUGUGAUAAUUAUAAUAGGAAGAACACUAUGGGUUCUCCAAAUAGUCCUUCAAAAUAUGAAGGUAAUUUUUAUCAUCUUAAUGGUAUGAAAAGUCAUUGGACCCGUGGUCGUUGUGCGACCUAAUAAUUUGAUAAAUUUAUAAAAAUCCUCCAUCAAAAGAAAGGAAGACAAAGUAGUGGUACACUUGACCUUUCAAAAUGAUAUUGAGGUGGGUCAUGCAAAGGCAUGACAAUGUGCUUAUAAUGCAAAUUUAUGAAGCACAUAUAAAUGAUUAUUUCAUUCCUUGAAGAGAAUGUGACUUGUGAUAAGCAUCGUAAAUGCUCGAUCAUUUUGAAACAGAAUGGAUCAAGAUGUGAUAAAUCAUUAUGAGUUGGAUAUAUGCCACCACUCACUUCUAUGAUAGGUUUGAGAAAAAUGAUAUAUGUCAUAACUCACCUCUACAGGAGGUUUGAGAAAAAUAAAGAUCAGUUGGCAUGACUGGUUUGCCAUCCCGGUCCAAUGUGAUGCAAAAGUAAUUGAGAAUUUACGUGCUAAUAUGAUGAAGAAAUAAAAUAUUCUUCAAGAAUUCUCUUGUGUUGUUUGUUCUCGUGAUAAAAUGAUAAUUGUAUCAUUAUAACAGCUAAGGUUAGGAUUGUAUUCCCUUGAGGUUCUUAGAACAUAUAAAAAGGUGAGUAUGGAAUCGUUCACCUGCCAUGUGGACCGUUUGCAACUAUAUGAUAAUUGCAUUUAUGGGAUGGUCACAUGUGCUUUGUUGUCAACUUACAAAUUGGUUUUUGUAAGGUUGUUUGCUCAAAUUGUUAAAUUAAGAGCACAGUUCCAAACAAUGAAAUUAUAUUUAUAAUUUUGUUUGGUUUAGCAGAAAUUGUAUGCCUUCGAUUAUAGCUAAAUCAUGGAUAUGAGAACAAAACUCUCAAAUGAGAUCUGGUAUGAGAUGAGUUUAUUUAACAUGUAGCAACACAUGUAUUCAUCAAUCCAACAAGGUUUCCCCAUCAUAAUUGGUUCAGAGUCAGGAACUAAAUAAUUUGCAUCUAAAGUUUGAAUGUGCGGUAUCUGAUUUAAUUGCUCCACCACGCACAAGAUGGAUCUCCAAAUGAGGCUGGGGUGAAUGUUAGUUUUUCUAACAUUAGGGGGAGAGAUGAUUGACAGCUUAAAAUUAUGAGAUGAAUUAUCUAGAUCCUCACUUUUUAAAAAAUAAUAUGAACUUGAAGUUCAAGAGAUAAUUCAAUUGCAUAAUGUUGCAAAUUAAUUGCUAGAUGAAUUUGUUGGCCUUGUGUUAUAAUUCAACUGCAAAUACUCCGAUGAGAAGUCCUUAAAUGACAGAGUCUAUGGUACGUCUGAAGCGUGAUAGACCAAUCGAUUCCAAAUGAAAAACUUCUUAAGAAAGGAGAGGAGCAAAUGAUUAAGAUGGUCAUGAUAAUGAGGCAAGUGCUUGCACGAUGACAUAACAUUUCAUAAAACAAUGGCAAAAGUUUAGGUACCUGAAAUGAUGAAAUAUGAAGAGAUCUCGAUAAGUUAUGUCGUAUUGGAAUCGAGUCAAAAGAACAUCGACGGUAUCUGUCAUAUAAAGUAGCGCUUAAUGCUAUAGAUGAUGAAGAGGAUCUUGAAUUCAAUUUGUCAUAUGGUGUUGACAGAUAAAUGAUUGGCUAAAUAAAUACAGAAUUCAAGUAUAUUAUGUUUCACUUUGAAAAGUGAUGUUUGGACUUAUAGUCCAUGGAUCAAGAUAUAAUGUCAGUAGGGUACAAUGAAUCAUUGUGCGAAAGUAUAACCAUAAGAUAUAAAGUACAAUAUGUGUCUUAUGGCAUAAAAGGAUUUUCGCAAAAGUCCUGACAUUAUUAAAUGGAGAUAUAUUCUCUUGUGGUGGAUGCAAUGAUGUCACGACCCGAGGGUGUAUACACCCUGGACGUGGCCGACACUCAAGAACCAUUGUUGAUCCCCAAGCGAACCCUCAUCCUGGCUUACUACAAGCGAAAGACUAACUUGAGCAUAUAUAAGCAUCAAAUUGAAAGAAACGUUUAAAAACAGUUUACUGAAUCUCUAAACUCUCGGAAUAUACUGAGUAUGAAACAUAAGUUUUAAAUAAAAUAUCUGCAACUAAAAGACUCUCCAAAACUUUCUAUCUAUGAAGCCUCUAUUAUACAAAGGUGAGUGUUGGGACAAGACCCACGACUUCUCAAAAGAGCUACUACUAACAACUCAUAAACCUGGAGUCCUCCGGAAGCAAGGAAACCUCACUCGAAAGCUGACGAGCGGAUGAAGUAAUCUCAACAGACUCUUGUUCAGGAUCCUAAGAACUUGUAUCUGCAUCAUUAAAAAAUGCAGGUCAUCAGUACAUUGAAUGUACGAGUAUGUAAUAUAGCUGAAUAAUAAAUAACAAAAUGAAAGGACUGCAAAAGAUAUAUAUAUAUAUAUAUAUANNNNNNNNNNNNNNNNNNNNNNNNNNNNNNNNNNNNNNNNNNNNNNNNNNNNNNNNNNNNNNNNNNNNNNNNNNNNNNNNNNNNNNNNNNNNNNNNNNNNNNNNNNNNNNNNNNNNNNNNNNNNNNNNNNNNNNNNNNNNNNNNNNNNNNNNNNNNNNNNNNNNNNNNNNNNNNNNNNNNNNNNNNNNNNNNNNNNNNNNNNNNNNNNNNNNNNNNNNNNNNNNNNNNNNNNNNNNNNNNNNNNNNNNNNNNNNNNNNNNNNNNNNNNNNNNNNNNNNNNNNNNNNNNNNNNNNNNNNNNNNNNNNNNNNNNNNNNNNNNNNNNNNNNNNNNNNNNNNNNNNNNNNNNNNNNNNNNNNNNNNNNNNNNNNNNNNNNNNNNNNNNNNNNNNNNNNNNNNNNNNNNNNNNNNNNNNNNNNNNNNNNNNNNNNNNNNNNNNNNNNNNNNNNNNNNNNNNNNNNNNNNNNNNNNNNNNNNNNNNNNNNNNNNNNNNNNNNNNNNNNNNNNNNNNNNNNNNNNNNNNNNNNNNNNNNNNNNNNNNNNNNNNNNNNNNNNNNNNNNNNNNNNNNNNNNNNNNNNNNNNNNNNNNNNNNNNNNNNNNNNNNNNNNNNNNNNNNNNNNNNNNNNNNNNNNNNNNNNNNNNNNNNNNNNNNNNNNNNNNNNNNNNNNNNNNNNNNNNNNNNNNNNNNNNNNNNNNNNNNNNNNNNNNNNNNNNNNNNNNNNNNNNNNNNNNNNNNNNNNNNNNNNNNNNNNNNNNNNNNNNNNNNNNNNNNNNNNNNNNNNNNNNNNNNNNNNNNNNNNNNNNNNNNNNNNNNNNNNNNNNNNNNNNNNNNNNNNNNNNNNNNNNNNNNNNNNNNNNNNNNNNNNNNNNNNNNNNNNNNNNNNNNNNNNNNNNNNNNNNNNNNNNNNNNNNNNNNNNNNNNNNNNNNNNNNNNNNNNNNNNNNNNNNNUUUAAAUAGUGAAGGAUUUAUGCCUUUUAAACUUGAGGAAAUAAUUUGGAUUAUCAGGGUUGAGCAUAAUCGACUGGUGGUUGUUGCUCAAGUUUCUAAAAUCGUUAUUGGGUGUAGUUUGAAUUCUUCAUCGAACAAUAAUAGAGAUUAGAGAUAAGAUCUGAAAGUUGGUGAAUUUUAUUAGAGUGAAGAGAUUAAAGACGAUUUAAUUUUAUUCACUAUAUGAGUAAUAAUUUUAAUGCUUAUUUGGUGAUUUCAAUGGUGAUUUACAAUGUUAAGAAUUGUGAGUAAAUAGUGAGACAAAUAAUGAGAAAGUAUUAAAAGAUGGGGGAAGAGAUGGGCUGCUAUGGUAGUGGACUAGAGGUAGUUCAACAAUGGUGAUGAAGAACAUGUACAGGUGGGGUGAUUUUUUUUUUGAGUAAUAAGAGAGAUGAGGGGGUGGGGUGGGGGGGAGUAGAGAAAAUUAAAUGAAAGUCAAAAGUAAAAAAAUUAUAUUUAAAAAAAAGUCAUAAAUAUUUUUAAAUAUACUUUUAUCAGUUUUUUCAAUUUUCACAUGCCUUCAAGAGAGUGAACACACUCUCUGUGCCAUGUCAGCACUUAAGGGUGCAUUUAUACCACUUUAAAAUAGUUCAAGGGGGUAAUAGGACCCCUGUAAAAUAUAAGUGUGUAGUUGAGAAUUCGGUUAUAGAUUGAGGGUGUAUUUGACCAUUUUCUCAAAUAUCUUUUAAACUCAUAAAUCAUUUAGAAUCUCAAUUUCUCUUUUAUCAAUGUAAAAAUUAAUACAUCUGGGAAUACAUAGUCCCCUUAUACUCUUAUUCAACUCAUACUUGAAAACUCUUUCUCAAUACAUAUCAAAAUCAUAUUAUAGUAUGAUCAUUGAUGACUCGGGAAGUCAUACUGCAUAAAUUUUAAUGGUAUAUCUAGAUACCAUACUGCUCAUACAUUGAUGACAUACUCGAUUGUCAUACUAAUCAUACUUUAGAAAACUCUUUUCUCAAAAUUCAUCUUUAUAUUCACAAAACUCAGUUAAGAACUCAAGUGUUGGCUUUAAAAAACUUCUCAAAAUUUAUGAUUCAAUAUAGGGUUCAUGCUGAAUUAUAGACAUGAACAAAUCAACUCAAGGAUGUCAACAAAAAUAUAGAAACUCAAUACUCAUAACUCAAGGACUCAAGAACUCAAAACUCAUAACUCAACAAUACUUCUCAUCUCACGAAUACUCAAAUCUAGGGAUAAAAUCCUAAAUUACUCUUUUACUGAUUUGAAAGUAGAUGUAGGGUGUGAGGACAAACUAGUCCAACACUAUGAUAGCUUUACAUACCUAGAAGAACAAGGUUCUUGUAGAAUCUUGAAGAGGAACUUGAUUAGAAGCGUUGAAACUCUAGCUUGAAGGAGAAAAAAUAAGAAAGCCUUUCUUGAGAUUUCUUGAAACUCUAUGGCCAAGAAUUAUGAUUUUCAUUAGUGAUUCAUAACUGUAUGGAGGAAUUUGAGUUGGAAAGAAUGGAAUUCUUGGAGAAAGACUUACCUUGAAGAAGAAUCUUGAAAAAGAUGGAAAAAAUCUUGAAUGGAGUUCUCUACUUUGAUUUUUCCUUAGGUUUUUGCCUUAGCGGUUAAGAGAGAAGAGAAUGAUGGAUUAAGAGAUGAAAAUCUGAUUGUUUUUUGUCUUUAAUUAGUCAAAAAAAUCGUUUAGGGUUUUCUUAGAGGUAAAAAAAGACAAAAAGGGCCCUUUUUAAUGUUUUCCCGUCGUCUAAUUUGUCACUGCACUAUAUCAGGUUACUGAAAUGGGCAUAACUUUUUACUAAAACUUGGAUUAACGUGAAAUUGGUGGCAUUGGAAAGAGGAUUCAACGAUAUUUCAUUUGAUAUCUUAUGGGCCACCUAACUCAUCAUGUACUGAAAGUUAUGGUCGUUUGAAGUUGACCCAAAACUUAGAAGAACUUACGAAUGCCUUGAAUGAAUUAUCUUUAGUUCUUUUUGGAACUCAAGGUGCUACAUCUAGUGACCUUAACACUUAAGAAAAUUUAAAUUCCUCGAUAAAAAUCUUACUCACAACGAAGUAUGACUCGAGUAUUAGCUCAAUUUUUUCUAGGAUGUUACAUUAUAUCCCCCUUGGGAUCAUUCGUCCUUGAAUGACGGCUAAACUGGGUAUGGAACGAGGUUACUCUUACCAUCUCCUCUGACUCAUGAACUUGCCUACUAACAUAGGUUGAACUGAUUCAUACCAAGAGUUAGGACCUAUAGCACCUAAAUCAAGAACGAUGAUGUUGUGAACAUAGUCACGCUCUCUCUGAAGUUACCUUAUCUGAAACAAAGGAAGUCUAGGCAUAAAGUAGGAAUAGGAAUACCAGGGGUAAUAUGACUACUAGCUGUUAAGCUUAGUAUGGAUCCGAUGAGACACCUGUUGAGAAUGUAACAAGCAGUACUUACAGCUUCUGCCCAAAAAUAGUCAGGGAGAUUUCGAUCUAGUAGCAUAGUUCUUGUUGUAUAUUGUAAUGAAUGAAUUUUCCUUUUGUAGCGACCCUAAAAAUUGAUAGGUGAAACUAGAGCCUAACGUAUGAAUUUUAAAAGUUUAAGCAUAAAUUGGAGUUAUGAAAUUUUCCAAAAAAAAUUGGACUUUGCCUUAGUUUUAUUUGGUAAGUCCAUGUGGGCAAGGGGUGUUUUCGUAAAUAUUAAUUUUAGUUAAAUUAACAAGUGGGUAUAUUUUAUAUUAUUUCUAAUAACUAUAUGGUAUUAUAAAACUUUUAAAAAGGUUUGUUUUAAUUCAUUCUUCAAAAAAAGAAGGGGUUCUCUCUAGAACACCAUUGAAGGCAAAGGUCAAGUUGGAGCUAGGGUUUCGAAUUGAAGAUUUCUUGCAUCAAAUUUUCGUGGGUUUUCUCAAUACUAAGGUAUGGUGGCUCUUUAUCUAAAGCUAAUUUUUGCUUUAGAGCCAAUUUCAAAGGGUUUUCAAAUUCUCAAAAGUUAUGAAAAACUUCUAUUUGUUACUCUACUCAAGGGUUCUUGCAUUAAGUGGUUUUAAAUGAUGGAUUGUGAUAUUGUUGAUAUUAAAUCGAUGUUUUCAAGUGAAAAAUCUCAUGAACCCUUGAUUUCACAAAUUUCUAUAUUUGACUUACGAAAUGGGUUUGUUGAUAAUGAUUGGGUAUUGAUGAAUUUAUGCUUAGAAUAGAUUGUAUUGUUGAUGUUUAUGAUUUUCUAUAUCUAUUGAUUAAUGUUGAGGAUGGCUUUGGAGGAUGGUAAGUUAGCUUAAUCUCAUAUUAUUGAUAUAAUUGUUCUUGCUUGGUUUGAUCCACUUAUAGUGGAGGUGUUUAAUUAUGGAUUGUAUUAUGAAUAUGGCCUUGAAGGCAUUAUCUAUUGAAUUAAAGUGUUAUCAAGUUAUGAAGUGUUAUAGUACUAUGUGAAGGUAUUCUUAUGGUUAUAAGGUGAUCUUGUACAAAGUGUUAUUGUAGUGUGAUUGAAAGUAUGUUUAUAAAGUGAUCUUGUACAAAGUGUUAUGGUAGUGUAAUUGAAAAUAUGUUCUCUUUCAAUGUUCAUAUGUGACGAUGUUGGAGUAUGAAGAGUCCCUAUAUGGUAAUGUCAUGACUUGCUUGGUAGACUUAGACGCCCCUUCUUGUUACUUGAAAGCUCGAAUGAAUGUCUAUAAUCGGUAGACCUAAGUAUGGUGCCCUUUCUAUGAAUGAUAAAAAAGGACUUCUAGAUUAUAUCUUGAAUAAGCUAGACCUAGCAUGGUACCCUUUUCAUGAGUAAGUCUAGACUCCUAAAUGUGAAUGUUAAACCUUGAAGUGGUGAACCCUAGGGGUAAUGACCUUCUUCUUGUGUGAAAUGAUGGACUUAGAGAUGGUGGACCGGAAUGGUAACAAACUCUCUCUAAGAAAGUCAAUGAGCUAUCCUUAAAUGAACCUUGAUCGGGUAGAACUAAGAAAUGGAACCCUUCUUGGUAGAAGUAUUAUGAGUUGGCCGAACUUAGAAAUAGGGUCCACUCUAGUGCAUACAUGUGAAUGGAAUUACUCUAUGGGAACUAAGGCUAAGCACCGAGUGGAUGUGGUUAGGAUGGUGACCUUACUUAAGUAUGAGACUAGGGCACAAUGGACAUCCCCUAAACCAUAUGCCUACAUGGGUUGCUUAUUAGUUCUACCUUUGGCAAGUAGAACACCUUCCACGGAGUAGGGUAGACUCCGGAUUCCAUGCCUAGCUAGUAUGGUCUAUGUCGGUUAAUGUCUAUUCCCAUCAUGUGGGAUGUGCACUCUAGUUAUUGGAUAGAUUCUACAAAGUGUAGGUGGUAGUAUGGGAUGCUAUCUACACAUGGCACGAGUAGGCCUAGAAGAUGCUAAAGUGAGUUCCCUAAGUCUAAAUGGCUAUUAUGUGAAAGUCCCCUAAAUGCUUAAAUGUCUCCUAAAGUGGUUCAUUAAAGAAUAUUGACUUAGCAUGUUAUAUUGUAAUGGUACAUUCCUUAUCUAUGGUAACCCUUGGGAACACUUAGGUGUAUAUAAAGAGAUUGUAUGGGCGGUCACUUCAUGUUUCACUUAAGUGUGGCUUUGGGUAACUUGAGAUAGGGGUCAUUAAAUGAUUAAAAGACUUACUUGUCGCUUAUGUUCAUGUAUUGUACAUUGGUACUAGUUGAGUAUGUUUAUUAUGUGGGUAUUGUCUUAUAUGUGGAUGAUGACGUGAAAUGUGUCUCUUAUAAUUGUGAUAUGAAGGUUUUAUAAAAAAAAAAUGGCAUGAAAGUAUAUAUCUCAAAUAAAUGUCUGUUUUAGCAUGUUUUUGCAUGGUCAUCAUACUUAGUACUUAAUUGUGCUAAUUCCAUAUUUGCUCUAUUUUCUACAAGUGUAGGUUCCGGCAAGUGAGCGGGUUCUAUAGUAAGCUUGGGAUUUGAAGUUCUUCCUAGAUCUUGUGGUAUGUCCUCAUAUGUCGAGGACAAGACUUUUCUAUUAUAGUUUUAUGAUAAGGUUCAUGUAAUAGACUUAGUAGACUUCUUUUGAUUGUAAAGGGCCGUGCCCCUAGUAUGUUUUCAGGUUUAUGUCUAAGAUGGCUAAGAGACUUAGUAUUCCUCUUGUGUACCUUUGAAAGCUAUUAAAAAAAUAAUAAUAUGACAUUUGAGUCUUAUGGAUUUUGUUUUAAAGAGUUCUUAAUUCCGCACUAUUUUACAUAUCUAAUGUGAUGAAUGCUAAGGGCUUGUAUAAAACCUCCGAGAGGUUGAAUACGCAUGUUACGACUUGGGGGUGCUCUCGGGUUGUGACACCUUUCUACCACUCCGUUUUGCUGAGGUGAUCUGGGUGAAGAGAAAUUUUGGGUGAACCCAUUUUGAGCACAAAAAUCUUCAAAGGCUUUGUUCUCAAAUUCUCCACCAUGAUCGAUGUGGAUAGUUGUGAUGAAAUAACCUGCCUCUCUUUGAACUUUUCUACAAAAUACUUCAAAGUUAGCAAAGGUUUCAUUUUUGUGAGUGAGAAAGAUUACCUAUGUAAACCUUGAGAAGUCAUCAACAAUUAUGAAAACAUAUCUUUUAGCUCUAAUGUUGGCAGUUCGAGUAGGACCAAAAAGAUCCAUAUGAAGAAGCUAAAGGGGUUUAUAUGUACUUACAAUAUCAUUUCCUUUAAAGGAUGAGAGAGUUUGCUUACCCAAUUGACAUGCAUCACAUAUAUGAUUUUUCUCAAAAUUUAAUUUUGGUAGACUAAAUGACUAGUUCAAGUUUAGAUAAUUUCUCAAAAGCAUGUAUACUUGCGUGUCCAAGCUUUCGAUGCCAUAGCUAAGGAUCACUUGAGAUUGCAGUAAAACAAGUAAGAGAGGGAAAAUCAACAUUAUUUAAAAUAUAUAUACUGUUAACUCAAUCUCCAAUGAGGGUGAGCCUUUUCUCAGGAUGUUUGAUAAUGCAGCUUGUUGUAUUGAAAGUGACUUGAAAUUCGGCAUCCCAUAGUUGACUAAUGUUGAGGAGGUUGUGUUUGGGUCCUUCAAUCAAAUACACUUCAACUAGAUUGCAUGAUGAGCUGAGAGUGAUAUUUCCAACUCCGGAUACUUCUCCUUUAGCAUAGUCUCCAAAUCUUACAAAUCAUCCAUCGAUAUUUUUGAUGGUUUUGAAAUUUUCUUUUUUACCGCACAUAUGUCUGAAGCAUCCACUAUCAAGUACCCACAUCCCCUUUUUGUAGGUUUUCUUAGACACUCCUGCAGAAUAAUAAGUUUAGAUUCUUUUAGGUACCCAAGUAUUUUUGGAUUCUUGAUGAUAGUAAAUUUUGGUCUCCAAAUUCACUUUUCAAAAGAAUAUUUUCUAUAGUUAAACGAUUUGUGACCAAGAUCACCACAAAUAUAACAAGUAAUUUUAACAGAAGUUUCAGGAGAGUGAUAAGGAGAGUUAGAUAUAGAUCUGAUUAGGAGAUCUUCUCCUGUUAAAUGUAGAUCUGUUAGAUCUGACAGAGCUAUGGCUAGGAGAUUUUCAGAUAUUGUACAACUACAUUUUUACUUCCUCCAGUUCUUCUGCAAGUAAAUCGACUUCAAUCUGGCUUGCUUCGAGAAGAAUUUGUCAAUCUUUCUUUUCUUGAGCAAUUUUAUUGUAUUCAUCAAUGAAUUUCUGUAAUUCAUCAGUUACCAUAUCCAAAGAGUUUUGUAAGUCAUUACAGUUAGGGUAAUUAAAAGGCCUUACUUCACUUGUUUCACCUAGUGCCAUGAAGCAUAUGUUGGUGGUUUCAUCAUGAUCAUCUUUAGAUGUUUCUCCUUGAUCCCAAGCUCUGAGACUUUUUGAAUCUUCAUUUCUUCGAUUGUUUCUCCUUUUUCGUUCUGGGCAAUUUUGUUUGAUAUGUCCUGGUUUUCCACAAUAGUAGCAGUGAUCAUCAUUUCUUUUGAAUUCAUAGUUCUUGAAUUCUUGUUGAGGUCUUUGUCUUCUUUGUCUAAACAUUUGUCAGACUCCUCGAUUUAUGAGAGUCAUUCCUUUGUUUUGAUAUUCGUCAACUUCUUCCUCGACUUCGAAUGUUUCGGCUGUAAAGGCCACAAUUUUCUUUUUAUCAUCUUUGUUGUACCUGUUAAUAUGAUUUUGUUCAUAGGCCAUCAGGUUUCCACGAAGUUUAUCGUAGGUCAUUUUCUGCAGAUCUCCAUCUUAAAAAAUAACAGCUUUAGUCUCCAAGCCUUGGGAAGACUUCUGAUGAGUUUUCUAACUUGUAAUCCAUUUGAGUAGACCAUUCCAAGAGAUUUGAGUUCGCAAACAAUUUUGCUAAAUCUCGAAAACAUGUCUUCUACGUUUUCAUUUUCUGUCAUCUUGAAUAAUUCAUAUUCGUUAAUCAGUGAACUGAUCCGAGCUUCUUUUUCCUUGCUAGUUCCUUCAUAAGUUACUUCUAGCUUGUUCCACAUUUUUUUUGCAGUUUCACAUGUUGAGAUCUUGUCGUAUUCAGCUCCACUCACUGCACCGUAUAACAAACUUAUAGUUCUAGCAUUAGUUUGAACCACCUCUUGUUGCUCAUUUGUGAUAUCAAAGGACUCGGGAUCAAAUGGCAUAUUAGUGCCAUCUUUUCCCGUAAAUCCGGGAAUAGGCUUUGGACCUUUCUUGAUCACAAUCCAUGCUUGUAUGUCAUUUGAAGAAACAAAGAUUCUGAAUCUAUCUUUCCAAUGGGAGUAAUGUUGGCCAUUGAAAUAUGGUGGUCGAGUUGAGGAAUGUCCAUCUUGAAGUAGAGCACCAGGAAUUUAAUAGUGUUCCAUUGGAUCUUUGCUUACGUGUGGUUAAACACUUUACUAGUGAGACCUGCUCUGAUACCAAUUGAAAGUAAAGAGGGGGGGCUGAAUUAAAAUUUCUGUAGUUGACUUCCUGUAGUUGUCAGCCGACUCACCUGCAAGAUAGUAACACAAUUAUAAAAUAAUAGUAAGAGCAAUAAGUAAACAACGCAAAGAGUUUUAUAUUGGUUCGAAACACCGAUGUGGUGCCUACUUCCAGUCCCCUUAGGUUUCAAGGGUUUCCUUAAGAGCUUGAAGAGAACUCGGGUGGUACAAGAUAUUUCAACUGUAAAUCUUGUCUGAUAUGCAAAUCAGAACUUCUACUUUGACACAACCUCAACUCGUAUCACCUAUACUCAGUUUCUUCUUUCUCUUUUCUUUUUCAUUUGUAUACUCAUGAGAAUACAAUGCUUUUAUGAAAAACAACAUAAGACAAUAGUACAAGCUCAACUAAAGUGCGUACUUCACACUAAUGUAAAGGCAUGUUUAUGUAGGUAGGUGUAUGCUCUUUGAAAGGAAAAUACAAGGGGUAUUUCAAUCAAGGAUAUUGAUGGAUUCCUUAAUUGAGGCGAUUUGUUGAUAUGUGUCCAUAUUGAAUAUGUGCAUGGUAAAAUUGCUUUUCUUCAUUGGAGUGAUUUGCUGAUCCAUGUCCAUAUUGGAUAUGUGCAUGGUAAAAUCACUUCUGCUUUCUUCUUGUGAUGAUCUUCUCUAUUCUUGACUUAAUUGUCUCUUGUGAUUGUUGAUCUUCAGAUUUCAUUCAAGAUAGCCUUGGACCUAUUCUUCUUUCUUCAGGCAGUUUUGCUUGAGUCGUGGAUUAGAUUGCUGAUCUUCAGAUUUGAUUAUAAAUCAAGAUGGACUUGAUUUAACCGUUGCAAGGUUGUGCAAAUCUGUAUCCCUUUGAUUUAGGGAUCAUGUUUCUUUUCCUUCUUAGUGUUGCGUGCUUGGUUCCUUUCUUUUUGGAUUUCUUUACCUGCGAAGAGCAUAAAUAAUUAUCAAGUGUCGUUUAUCAAAAUCAACUUAUUCUAUGGAGUUAACACUUGAGUCAUGUCUACAAAUUUAAUUAUACUGAUUUAAGAAUAAACACUUGUAAAAAACGAUAUAGGACUAAAAACAAGUUUUUAAAGAAGUACAAAAUCAACUAAUCUCUACUUUAUCCAUGUGAAUCUGAUGGUUCAAUACUACCCUAAUCUUCUUUUAAAUCAUGAAUGUUACUUGUUAACCAAGUCAUGUUCCUCAUAUUCUCUCUUUUCGUUUGGAGAUAGAUGUGGAUUCAGACCACAAACGAAUUUUCAGUCCAAUUGAACUAUUAGAGCAGAUUAUGUGUGUUCUUUGAAUCUUUCCUACUUUAGCUACGAAGCAUGUCACUAUGCUUAACAAACAAAUUAGAAUUAGCAACCUUCGUUUGGUAACGGAACAAAUUAUCUCAGAACUAAUAAUCUCGGUAUUGUUGUUCCAUUUUCAACGUGAGAUAAAAAUAACAUUACAAUUACGUUGUCUCAAUCAAACAUAGAAUAAACUCAUCCUAAAGUUAAUUACCACUUAUCCAUUAUACCAAAUGAGCCAUUAGUUUAAUUCUCAUUCUCAUGCAUGCUCAUCUUUCUAGUAUACUCCCUCCGUCCCAUAUUAGUUGAUCAUUUUUGUUUUACACGCAUAGUAAGAUAUCAUAAAUAAGAAGAUAAUUUACUAAUUCACCCCUUGAAAUUUUUCUUGGAAAUUUUAUAAACUAAACACUUUCAAAAAGAAUUAAUUACAGAGAUAAUAUAAGAAAAAACUAAUUAAAAUUUUCUCAACUUAGUUAGGUGGACAACUAAUAUGAAAGAACUAUUUUUAGUAAGAUGGUCAACUAAGGAUCCGACUCCUCUCCAUUUUCCCCAAGUUCUAACUUGAAUUGGAGACACAUGUCAUAGUUUAGAAUUAAUGGUUGAGAUCUAAUUAAUUAAAGCAAAAUCCUAACCAUAGUUAUUUACUUUCAUAUAUUUGCUUCUUAAAUAUUUAUGCAAUCCAACAAUUCUAGAUUUAUAUUAUAUUUUUCCUAAAUAUAUUUUAAAGAAUUUCUUUUCUUAAUUGUAAUUUUUUGCUGAUUUUUUUACUUUUUUCCCUAACGUUUGCCAUUUCUCAAAUAAUAAUGUCAAAUUAAAAAUUAAAAAUUAAAAAUUGUGACCUGACAUUUUUUUUUUUAAUUUUAGGAGUAAAAUAAAUUUUAUUACUCAACUUUAAAUUCUUUUUUACUCCCUAAAUGGAGUUCAUAUUGCUCUAUAGACACUGUAGCUCUUAACACUCGAUUAGAAUAAUAAAAAUGUUUAACUGUAUUAUAAUUUUUUUCAAAAAAGUAAAAAUAUUUAGUAAAAGUUUUAAAUAUGUAUGCAGGGCAAGUAAAGAAAAGUUUUUAAUAUAUUUAGGGAAAAUAUAAUGGAUUGCAAAAAUAUUUAAGAAGUAAAUAUGUGAAAGUAAAUAAAUAAUUAUAGUUAGGACUUUGUUUUAAUCAAUUAGAUCUCAAUCAUUAAUUUUAAACUAUGACAUGUGUCUUUAAUCUAAGCUAGAACUUGGAAAAAAUGGAGAGGAGCCGAAUCCAUCAACUAAUAUGAGACGAAGUGAGUAUCUAAUAUUCUCCUAAACUAUCUAUGUAUAUAAUAAUAAAGACUAAAAUCCUCAAGGAUAUUAGGUACGUAACAUCAUAUCCAUAUAAUUCAGAUAGUAGUUGUAUGUGGAUAAGACGAAUGUCACAAUAAUAUAUGACACCAACAGUCUAACCGCAACAUUGAUUAGUAGCUUUACCAAUAACUAAUUAUCAAUAUUUUCUGCAGAUUAAUUAGUGGCUGUUACAUUAGGACAAUCACAAGCAAGGGCAAAAAUAUAAUGGCAGACCCACUUUCUUGACAUUGCCAAAUCACCAACUUCUUUAAGACAAAAAAAUAUAGAUAUUUGAAAAAAAUAUUUAUAGAUUGUUUUCUUUUGGGGAAGGUUAAUUAAUUAAAGAAAGCAAUAAAGUAGUCCACUUUAAUUAGAAUCAUGAAGGGUUCCUCCACUUUCCAAUGUAGGACUUCAAUAAAUUGCAUAAUUAACGAGGCUGACCUUUACAGGUUGGCAAAUUGAGUUAGGCUUAAGCAUCAAUCAGCACAAAUGACAAUGCUUCAAGCUUCUCUUAUCACAGUAAGGGUCGUUUCGUAGAGUGUAUUAGGAAAAAUACUAUAAGCAUUAGCUUUGUGUUUACUAGUACUUUAUUUGGUAUUCAUUUCUAAUUUAUGUAUAAUUAAUGCACUCUAUUGUGCAUUAAAAUAUGUAUUACUAAUACCAUAAAUUUCUAGGUAUUAACAAUGCAAUGGUUUUAAUGCAUGCAUUUGCUCAAUUAAAGACUCAUUUGCCCCUCAAAUCCCUUUUUACAUCUUUUCCAUCAUAAUAGUGGAGGGUAUCUUUGUAAAUUAUUUUUUAUGCAAUGCAUGUAUUCUUAAUGCAUCAAACUAAGCAUAACUAAUAUUCCCUUUGUCCCUAAUUACUUGUCCACUUUUUCUUUUUUAGUUAUCCCUAAUUACUUGUCCAUUUUGACAAAUCAAGAAGGGAUAAAAAAUUUUUUACCUAUUAUUAUCUCAACUAAUACACUCUAUUUAGCAUUAUUCUUAUAUACUCUACCAAACGACUCCUAAUAGUGUAAUUGUAACCGCUUAUAAUUAUAAAAUAAAAUAUAAUAAAAAUUGAACCUGGUGUUUGGUAUGAUCAAUGAUAAAAAUUAUUUACUAAAAAUUGAUCCUAGCUCUAGCAAAUCUUAUUAUAGUUUUAGUGCUCUAAUGAAUUUUUUUUAGAUUUAAUAAGGAUUUUGAUAGUGAUAUUAAUGUUUCAGUGUUGGUCGGGGACGUAUUCAAAGUUAAAGAGUCGAGAUAGUUUGAAAGAAAAAUAACUUCUUCGAGAGUAAAGUAAAUUAUAUUCAUCCGUUUAACAAUAGUUGUCCACUAUAUUAUUUUGGAAUGUUCAAUAAUAAUUGUCUAGUUUAUGAAAUUAAUUGAUAAUUUUACACUUAGUUCCUAAUUUGUCCUUAUCAUUAAUUAUAGUCAUUUCUCGAUUAUAUUUUUCUAGACAUUGUUUUAUUAUAUUCAAAAUGAUGAUAUAGUAAAAUUACCCUUCUAUUUAGAAUUUCUUAAGAAAUGUAUGAAGCCAAUAGUGGACAAGUAUUGUGGAUUGAGAAAAUAUUUCCUUAUUUGGUGAGAAAUACUUUUUGAAAAUCAAACACUAAAUUUUUUUUUAAAAUUCUUAAGAAAUUUUCUGGAAGAUGUUUAUGGUAAUACAAACACAAGUUAAGUUAAUACUAACUUAUAAUUGUGUGAAAUUUUUGUAACAUUAAAGAUGUAAUGAUUCUAAUACCAUCAUGAUGAAGUACUUCACCUGGUCAACCAAUCAAAAAGGUUGAAGGAAUCACCUUUUUACUUAGCAAGGUGUGUUAGGGGAUUCUUCUAGUAACUUAAAAAUGACCUUUUAUAGGGGGAGGUCUAAAAUCUUGUUUAAUUUCAACUUCUUUAAAAAAAAACAGAGAGUUUAACAACUAAUAAAAUAUAGGAAGAACCUUAUCGCUAGAGAGAAACAAGAUUGAUUUAAUUGAGUAGGACCAUUCACACAAAUCAGUUUCAUUCAUGUACCAGCUCUUUUUUAAAAAUAAAUAAAUAAAUGAAUGUCUCUUUUUUUUUCUUUUUAAUGAAUUUGUUACGAUCCGAGCCUACAUCCCGGAGGUGGCCGACACUCGAGAACCAUUGUUGGUCCCUAAUCGAACCCUCAUCUUGGUUGACUACAAGCGGAAGACUAACUCAAGCAUACAAAGCUUAAAAACUAAAUAAAGUUCAUUUAACUCAAUUACAAAUCUUUAACUCAAAUGAAUAACUUUGAAUAAAAAUAAUAUAUUCAACUCACCAUAAAAUAGGCAACUUAAGUCUUUAAAACAUUUAACAAGAUAAAUGAAACAGACUUCUCAAACUCUAUUGUUUAUCUAUGAAGCCUCUAAAUAACAAAGAUGGAAGUCGGGACAAGACCCACGACAUCCUGACGAAACUGAAAAGUAAAAUGAAAAUCCUCCGGAAGUAAGGAAGGCUCACCAUAGCUAACUCCAACUCCAUGUGGUAUCACAAAGCUCCCGUUGAUGACUCUGAAUACCCGUAUCUGCAUCAUGAAACGAUGCAGGCCAAAUGACUCAGUACGUGGAAUGUACGAGCAUGUAAGGGGAAUUCUAAAGCAUAAACAUAAGCUUGAACUUUUUAAAAAGGAAACAUACUUACCUCUUCUCAACUCACUCAAUUCAACUCAACUCAACUCAAGAAUAAGAUACUCAACUCAAAGAUAUGAUACUCAACUCAAGAUACUCAACUCAAGAUAAAGCAACAAUAAAAAUGUAAUAUAUGGAAAACUUUUAAAACAGUAAGCAACUCAAUGUAUUGAAAAAUACAAUAACAACUCAGUUUGUAUUUAAAAAUACAAUAUAACUCUGUGUAUAUAAGAAUACAAAAUAUCUCUGUGGGAGUUUCUCUAACCGACAACCAUCACUAUGAGCUAUGUGAUGAUACAUCGUCUCUCCCAUGCUACCAGAAUUGUCUUAUACCUUGCCAGGGUAUAGAUACUCCUCAACUAAGUGGAUUCACUAGUCUAUGCUAAAAAGCAUUAAAGAAUCAUCUAAAAAGUAUGACAUUUUCUACCCACGUUGGCAACAUGGUUUAUGGAGAUGAGUUAUCUGAACUCGUCCCCAUAUCGGAGCUCAAUACUACUCCCAAAAAUAUACUCAACUCAUAUGUUUAAAAACAUAACUCUUUCUCUGGUUUGGGAUAAUUGUUCAAACUACCCUCUUAAAAGAGGUAACUACUCUUGAAAUAACUUUUCAACUCAUAACUUAUUUAGAAAUCUCAGUUUCUCUUUUAUCAAUGUAAAAAUUGAUGCAUCUGGGCAUACAUAGUCCCCUUAUACUCAUACUUGAAAAUUCUUUCUCAAAAACAUUUCAAAAUCAUAUUAUUAUAUGAUCAUUGAUGACUCGGGAAGUCAUCUGCAUAAACAUUGAUGAUAUAUCUAAUACCAUACUGCUCAUACAUUAAUGGCAUACUCAAUUGUCAUACUAACCAUGCUUUAGAAACUCUUUUCUCAAAACUCAUCUUUACUUUCUCAAAACUCAGUUUAAGAACGGAACUGUUGGCUUUAAAAAGGUUUUAAAAAUUUAUAACUCAAAUCAUAGGGUUCAUGCGGAACUAUGGACAUGAACGACUCAACUCGAGAAUGUUAAUGAUACCCCUCAUCUCAAGACUACUCGACUCAUAGGGUUCAUGCAGAAUUAUGGGCAUGAACUACUCAACUCAAGGACCUUCAUUGGUAACAUGUAGUAGCCCCAUGAUUAAGAAUAUAAUCCCAAAAUUAUUAGGAACUCAAUACUCAAAACUUAGAACUUGAAGAUACUACUCCUCUCAAAGAUACUCAACUGAUGGAGUUCAUGCGAAAUUUAUGGGCAUGAACGACUCGACUCAAGGGUCUAAAUAGCAAUAUGGAACUCAUGUAUACGACUCUUCUCAUUCUCAAACUUACUUCCUCAAAACUCAGUUUAAAACUCAAGUGUUGCAUUGGCUUUGAAAAACUUCUCAAGAUUUAUACUCAAACUAGAGUUGAUUUAUAGACAUGAACAAAUCAACUCAAAGAUCUCAAUAAAAAUAUAGAAACUCAAUAAUUAGGAANNNNNNNNNNNNNNNNNNNNNNNNNNNNNNNNNNNNNNNNNNNNNNNNNNNNNNNNNNNNNNNNNNNNNNNNNNNNNNNNNNNNNNNNNNNNNNNNNNNNNNNNNNNNNNNNNNNNNNNNNNNNNNNNNNNNNNNNNNNNNNNNNNNNNNNNNNNNNNNNNNNNNNNNNNNNNNNNNNNNNNNNNNNNNNNNNNNNNNNNNNNNNNNNNNNNNNNNNNNNNNNNNNNNNNNNNNNNNNNNNNNNNNNNNNNNNNNNNNNNNNNNNNNNNNNNNNNNNNNNNNNNNNNNNNNNNNNNNNNNNNNNNNNNNNNNNNNNNNNNNNNNNNNNNNNNNNNNNNNNNNNNNNNNNNNNNNNNNNNNNNNNNNNNNNNNNNNNNNNNNNNNNNNNNNNNNNNNNNNNNNNNNNNNNNNNNNNNNNNNNNNNNNNNNNNNNNNNNNNNNNNNNNNNNNNNNNNNNNNNNNNNNNNNNNNNNNNNNNNNNNNNNNNNNNCAUGAAAUCUUUAUGGCCAAGAAUUAUGAUUUUCAUUAGUGAAGAUGAAAAUCUGAUUGUUUUGAGCCUUUUAUUAGUCAAGAAAUUCGUUUAAGGUUUUUUUGGAGGUAAAAAAACAAAAACGACAUUUUUUAAUGUUUUCCCGUCGGCUAAUUCGUAACAACACUGUAUCAUGUUACUAAAAUAGUCAUAACUUUUUACUCAGAAAUUGGAUUGACGCGAAAUUGGCGGCGUUGGAAAGUAGAUUCAAAUACCUUUAAUUGGAUAGGUUAUGUCUCACGUAACUAUUUAUAUUCUAAGAGAUAUGGUCGUUUGAAGUUGACCCAAGUAGAAUCUUAUAUCAAAACAUAAUCGAUAAGGAAACUUCAAGAACUCAUCAAAAAAUUAAAUUGCUCAAUAUUUAUGGAUAGAUUCGCAAAAGAAACUCAUGAUUGACGUGUGAGUGAACAAACCCAAUACUAUAGAAGCUUAUAUACCUCUUAUGGAUUAAACCCAUGGCGAAAAUCCGCAACAAAACUCAAGAACGUCGACGAACGCCUUGAUCCUUUCCUCUUUUCUCUUCUCUUCUCUUCUUGAACUCUCAACUAAAACCCUAGGCGUAUAUUAGGAUUAUAAAACUGAACCUAAUAGGAUUAGACCCUUAAAACCUUACCAAAAAUGAAUUAAAUCAGAUUGGGUAACGAAAAGACCAAAAUAUCCCUUACUAUUUUCGGGCAACUUUUCUUAAUUGGACAACUUGACUUCAAAAGGGCAUAUGUCACUCCUUCAACCUCGAAACUUAGCAAACUCAAUAGCGUUGGAAAGAUAAUUCAAAGAACUUCUAUUAGCUAUCUUGUAGACCACCUAACUCAUCUUGUACUGAGAGUUAUGGUCGUUUUAAGUUAACCCAAAAUUCAUAACUUAAGUAUAACUUGCAAAAUUUCAGAUUUUGCUAUUUCCAAUUUAGCUCUUUUUGGAACUCAAGGUGCUACAUCUAGUGACCUUAACACUGAAGAAAUUUUAAAUUUCUCGGAAAAACUUACUCACUACGAAGGAUGGUUCAAGUCUUAGCUCAAAGGUUUUUUCUGGGGUGUUACCGAAUUUUUGGCCAAAGUUAUUAUAUUUGAGAAUUGAGGGUAGGUCUAGCUUUGUCCUAUGUUAUCAAGUGUUAGUGUAACAUUUUAAUAUUAAUAAAAAUAUAUCAGAUGUCACAUUAUGUAUCAUGUUAUGUUUAUUGAUGUACAUUCUCAUUUAGUUGGUGAUAAAAUGUGGUAAUAAGUUUCUAUGAAACUCCUAUAACCACUAACUCAUUAUUCUUGUAACUAAUGUAACAUCUAGGUCAUUCACCUACCCCAUUAUCUUCCUAUUCACUGGAAGGAAAAUUUCUUCUCUUAUACAUAGUGGUUUUCCUUUGGGUUUGAGAAGUUCAAGAGUUGUACAAGAAAAUAUAGAGUGAAAAAGAUGAGUAGUAUUUUUAUUUCGUUUUUAUAUUGAGAUUAGUGUAGUGAAAGAGAGAGUUGAGACAUAGAAAAAUAUUCUAAGUCUUCAACUAUAUUCACUAUACAAAAGAGAGUAAUUAUAUGUUGAAGAAGUGUUCUUUUAUGGAGCUUUGGACUCUUAAAUUAAUCCGGAGUUGUUUGAGUUGUAUGAUGUUGUUGGGUUGUUAUAUCCUGGAGGGGAUAAGUCAAGAGUAAUAAUAUUGAAUUGGUGUAGAUUAUGCCAUAGUGGAUUUGAAUCUCCUUAAAAAGAGAAAGAUAUUGGCGUCUCAGCCUAAAAAUUUGUUUAUUCAUUUUUGUUUUUUUAUUUUCAACUAUAAACUAUUGUAUUUGUGGUAUAUUAUCCCAACACUAUGUAUGUAAAACUUGAGCAUUUUUAGUCUUUAUAACAGAACAUGUACACAUUUGUUUGAAAACUAACAGAUAUUUGACACAUGAGACUUGAAUAAAAGACAACUCAACUAUGUUUCUCCCCAAAUCAAUUGAUUUCCCUGUACCUUCAAGAAUCCUCCUUCAUACGAAUCUCUCACGUACUGAUUCCUUUCCCCCCCUUAUUUAAUUUAGAGAUAAAUAUUAUAAACACCUUUUAAUCAGUGUAAAUUAUUAGUUUUAUUUCUAAAUUAUUGAAAUAGUUAAAGACAUUCAUUUACUUGGCUAAUUAAAUAUAAAUAUUCUUUCGAUCUUGUAAUAUGAGUAAAAUACACUCCGCAAUUUUCGUCAAGUUUAGCAGUGUGCUACACUUCUCUCGGUUUUCAUGUUUCUACAAAAGUUUGAGACUAUUUGCUAUAUAAUGUGACAGAUUAGGGGUUUGUCAAUAGUUUCAGGACGAAACUAAGUUUUGACCCGCUAAAAUUUUAUGCAUUAUUUUUUUUAAAGAAAAGUUUGUCCUAUUUGGUCCCGCUCUACCCCAUAUUCUUCUAUACAAAAUGUUGAUAUGGAUCAAAAAAGGAUAAUCCAAAUGAGGGUAUAAUUGUAAGGUUUCUUUUAUCGAAUAGAUCACUAGCACAAGUAAAGAAAAGAUUGAGUAAUUUAUUAGUUUAAUCAAGGAGCAGAAGAUGCCUAAAAGAAUGUGGCCAAAAAUAGUUGCUUUGAGCAGUUCAAAAUGCAUGUGUACUUAUAUUAUAUAUACAAGUCGUGGAACUUUGUGUUAAGAGAGCUCAACAUCUCUUCCACUAUUCCUUUGAAGAACAAUCCCACAACAACUCACGUCACUUCAAGUCUUAAAUCUUGUUGGAUGCAUCCCAAAUGAAAACAAUUUGAGAACAGCUCAUAUAUAUACCAAGGAAAUUAUGGAUUGCCACUCUCAAAACAUUGAUAAUCGUGAACACUCAACGCUAACUAACAUAACCACAUAUAUUAUGAAAUCUGUCUAUAUGAUCAUUUUGUAAGUUGUGAUAACUAAAGAUUACAACUUUAACACGUACGAGAGUCGCACACUUUAUAAGAAUAAAAAAAUACAUAAGAUCUCAUGGUAAUCAAAAGAACGCAUGCAUACAAUAACUCAUCUGUUAUAAUAUAAUAAAGAACACGAGUACUGAUAGCUAGCUAGCACUGUUUAGACUUGUGUUAUGAAUAAACGAAAUGGAUAUAGAAAAACCGCGUUGGAAGAAGGCAUACAUGUCUUUAGGAUCGGUUCAUCAUUUAAAGCCUUUACAGGUUGAUAUGAUCUCUCUGCAAAGAACAUUUAUUGGAAUAAAACAUAACAUUUCUAAAAGGAAAUUUAAUGUACGAAAGAAUUCAAAGAAGCAUACCUCAACCAUAGAAGUAUACCUCAAGCUUGUUUUCUCCGGUCAUUUCUUCAACAUAUUCCUUAAUAUUGAAGAUCGACUCUUUAAGCUGAGGGUUGUACGAUACAUUGAUAAACUUUAAUGACGCAAUAUCUCCAAAACUGUCUGGGAUGUCCAUAAGCUCAUAACAUCUACUUAUAUCUAGUUUCUCAAGCACGGGAAAGCAUUUCUCUGCAUCAACCUGCCAUUCAGAAAAUUGCAUACUAGCCAAUUUUAGAUAUUUGAGAUUCUGGAAGGUGACAUCUUCCAUGUUCCAUUCUUUCCCCUCCUCAAUGAUUGUAUCUUCUAGAAUUAGUUCUUCAAGGUUGGGUAGUCUAGCAAUUCAAAGGGAAGCCGUAUGUAUAUUCAUCGAAUGAAUCCCAAGAAGAAGAUAAACGGAGUUCUUCAAGUUCGUUAAGGACAUCCAACCUUGGAAAAAAAAUCUUCUCUCCUGAACAUUCUCGUAUGAUAGAGACACUAAGGAUUUGAAGAUUAGGAAACCUUUUGAAAAUAUCCUCUGUGUCUUCUGAACUGAAAAGGCAGAGCUCAUAUAAUGUUGUCAAAUUUUCUAACCUUGAGUCCUUGUCUAACACUGUUGGUUCGUUGAUGUACAGAUCAAAGAGAGCACAAAACUUUAUCCGCACAUCUCGUAGCUUUACAAGGCUCCAAAAACAAGGCGAUAGUACCAUGCAUGAUCUCUCCAGGUUAUUCACCGCCAGAAUUUCUAGACUACAGAGGUUUGAAAAUGACGGAGUGAGAGCUUUUGCCUUCGUCUGAAUGAUUAAGUACUUCAAAUGAACGAGCAUACCGAUUUCAUUCAGCAAAGAAUCUGGAAAUGUUAUGCCCUGCAAAUCCAAACUUUUAAGAAGCCUCAAGUGUUUUAGGUGACUGUUGGAGGAAAGACAAUGCUCAUCAACCUUCAGAGAGAGGAGGUGUUUAACAUAAGGAUUCUUCAUUUUUGGAUCAAACACGACAAAAUUUUCAUCGAAAUGACAUAGAUAUUCAUUAAAACGAAAGAUAAUUCCACGUGGCAUAAGAUCCGAAGAAGAAGAAGAACAGGAAGACAGAGCUUUUGAACCUCCUAUGAAGUGAAGCAACUUUUCCUUUCUAGAUUUUAUAUAACAAAAGUCAUGCACAAGAUCAUGAAUUUUGCAAUUAGAAUUAUCCAAAAGGUAUUACCAAGCUACUGUAAAUUAACUCAUCCAUUACUUCUUCUGCACUUUUCAUCUCAAUCUGCUCCACAAGUCCUAGAUCAAUCCAUAAAUCUUUCAACACAGAGAUCCUUAUAUCUUCGUCCUUUGGAUAACUUGCAAGGUAAACCAAACACGGCUUUACGUGAUCUGACAAAUGGUCAUAACUUAAUUGUAUAACCUUCACCACUUCCUCUUCAUCCUUAAAAAUAAAGGAACUCAAAUUAUUCAGAACUUCAAGCCACAAAGCCUCUUUCUUUUCCUUUCUUGAAAUGACUCCACCAAUUAGAUCAAGUACUAAAGGAAGCCCAUUAAACUUUCGAGCUAUCUUUUCCCCAACAUCCUUUAGUUCAUCAGGGCAACGUUCUUCUCCGAAUACCCUUUUCUCUAAUAACUCCCAACUUUCUUCUGAUCUUAGGAAUCGAAGAUACAAAGGAUCACUUUGGCAUUUUCCAUGCAAAGCAACUUCCUUUUUCCGACUUGUUAAAAUCACUCUGCUUNNNNNNNNNNNNNNNNNNNNNNNNNNNNNNNNNNNNNNNNNNNNNNNAUAUCCCACAUGUCAUCCAAGACAAUAAGGUACCGCUGUCCACAUAGUUUUUUUCGCAGCUUAUCAGCAACGUCAUCAUCUAUGUUAUUCUCACUGAAUCUUUCUUUCAAACCAAUAACUUGAUUGAAAAUUUUCUGCAACAACUUUUUCUCAUUACGUUCCUGGUCGACUGUGCACCAAGCACAAACAUCGAAAUGAUCAACAAUGGACUUAUCAUUAUACACUCUGUAAGCCAAAGUAGUUUUUCCAAGCCCUGGCAUGCCAACAAUGGAAAUGACAUCUAUCUCAGCUGGUCCGCUGGUGAGCUUCCUAAUUAUCCACUAUGUGUCUCCUCCUCAAAACCUACAAUUAUUUUACCAACUGUAUUCGAUGAGUUUAUUUCAACCAGGUUGUUGGGAGCGUUUGCAACAAUAAUAUCGCUGCUCUUGGGGAUCUUCUCUUGUACCUCUUUUUUGACAAGCUUGAUCUUUUCUACGGUAUCAGGAAGUAUGAAGAUAAGCUGCAAUAGACCAUGAUCUCGGGCAAGAAUUGACAUAAUGACAUGUUCCGCCUCAUAUGCCACAUCUAGAACACGCGUCCAAAGAUCUCUAUGAAACUCUUGCUCAACAUACCCGAAGAACGAUCUUAUAAUUUCCAGGUCUUCUUUCACCUGCUUAAUUUCUUCUUUUAUCAAAGCAACUGAAGAACCAUUAGAAUUGACCAAGUCGUUUAAGUUUGAGAGUAGAAGAGUCAUGAAGAGCGGUCCAUUACUCAUGGGGAAGCGGAGCCGAGAUGAGUCUGCACAGGCUUUCAAGAAAACAUUCUUCAGAUCUUCCUUGAGGAGUUCAAUAUUUUCCAGCAAGUUUAGACCUGGACCGCUUGUUGCGUUCAUAUUCUCUUCUAAGUUGCGAUCAAGAACGAAUACCUCCUUGGUAAGUUCUCUAACACGUUCCAAGAGAACAAACAAUUUGUCAUGACGAUGUUACAUAUAGAAGCGCUAGGAGUAACAGUAUUAACCAUGUGCUCUUGUAGAUGAAUCAGAGAUUCACUAAGAAUGUCUGGAGAGGCUUCUACGAGCUGCUUGAUGAAACGUCCAACUUCUUCUGACUUUGAACCUUUCAAAUUUGUACAACAUAUGUGCAUAACCUCCAGUUCAACAGGAAUAACCUGCACAAGUAGAUUAGCUAGCUUGGAGUUAACUCGAGAGACAUCUGAUUCAUCAAAUUCGCCAAGUUGACAGUAGAAAAGAGUAAAACAGAAGUUUACAACUCUCUGAGCCAUAAGUUGAAGAUGAGGUAUGACAUAUUCGAUUGUCUCAUACUCAACGCAACCAUUUACUUUCAACCUAUGGAAAUCUCGUAAAUUGCCAAAUACAUUAUGCAGAAGCUCAUAUUGAGUCAUUGAUGUAAAAAUAAGCUCAGAACACAACUUGGGUAGAUAUUGGAGAUAGACGAGGAUGGCAUCCAAAAGUUCAACCAAACGAUCCUCAAUCGUGGUUACAUGACUUGGUUCAGCAUAGGUCAUAUAACUUUUGAUAUUUUCAAAGAGAUCAUGAUAAUUCAUAUUAACGAGCAUGUCUUCGCCAUGUCGAUGCAAAAGUGACUGAACCAGAUCAUGAAUCUCAUUUGAUAUGCAAGACAUUUUGUCAUUACAACCUUCUGAAAAGAAAGAGUAAUAAAGAUGAAAAAAUCCGGACACAAACAUCAGCUCCAAUGUCAAAUCUUCAAUUUGAUCUAUGUCAAGGGAAGUUAGAACACACCCAUUCCUUAGCCUCUCUAUGAAAUCUAGAAGAUUGACAAUAUCCUUGUGAAGUACAACGGAUGACACCUGCCAAAACACCAAUGUUGUUUCAAAUUAUGUUAAUACAUAGAUGGUGAUAGUUUAGAUAGAAAAAGGGAACACCUGAUAGUUACGUGUGAAACUCACUGUAAAGUACAGAGCCAAUGAAUCAAUUUCAUUGUUCUAUUAUUCCAAGAAUAAGAACUAUUUAUAGGUGUACAAGUAAAUCUAUCUAAGGAAAUAAAAUCAGAAAAUAUCCCUAAAUAUCUCUAAGAUCCCUAAAGAUCUCUACCUAUGAUUAUGCUAUGAAUAUUAUGAUUAGAUAUGAUUAUGUACAUUUUGUAACACUCCCCCUCAAGUUGGAGCAUAGAUAUUAAUCAUGCCCAACUUGUUACAAAGAUAUUCCACCCGAGUUCCAUUCAAAGCCUUCGUGAAUAUAUCACCCAAUUGCUCUCCUGUCUUCACAUAGCCAGUAGAAAUCACGUUCUCUUGAAUCUUCUCACGGACAAAAUGACAAUCAACCUCAAUAUGUUUUGUCCGUUCAUAAUACACUGGAUUUGAGGCAAUAUGUAGAGCAGCUUGAUUAUCACACCAAAGUUUUGCUGGAAAAGAAGGAUUCAAACCAACCUCAGCUAAAAGGUGUUGUAUCCAUAGUAUUUCACAUGUGAACUGAGCCAUAGCUCUAUAUUCAGCCUCUGCACUAGAUCGAGAUACAACAUUUUGUUUCUUACUCCUCCAAGAUACUAGAUUUCCACCAACAAAGACACAAUAGCCAGUAGUCGAUCUUCUAUCAAUUCUUGAUCCUGCCCAAUCUGCAUCUGCAAAGCAUUCAAUACGAGUAUGUCUAUGGUCGCUAUACAAUAUGCCAAGGCCAGGGGCUCCUUUCAAAUAACACAGAAUUUGUUCCAAGGCAGCCCAAUGUUUGACAGUUGGUACACACAUGAAUUGACUGACAAUACUGACUGCAUAGGCAAUAUCUGGCCGAGUCACAGUAAGGUAGUUCAGUUUCCCAACCAACCUUCUGUAUCUUUCUGGAUCAUCAAAAGGGUCUGCAUCAUCUUUAGUAAGAUGUGCAUUAGGAACCAUUGGUGUGCCACACGGUUUUGCUCCCAACUUACCAGUUUCUGCAAGUAGGUCAAGUACAUACUUCCUUUGAGAUAAGAAAAUCCCUUUCUUGCUUCUAGCUACUUCUACACCCAAGAAGUAUUUCAACUGUCCCAAGUCUUUGGUAUGAAACUUGGCAUGUAAAAACUGCUUGAGAGAAGAAAUUCCAGUACAAUCAUCUCCUGUAAUAACAAUAUCGUCAACAUAGACAACUAGAAGAAUAAUACCAGCCAUUGAUUGUCUAUAAAAGACUGAAUGAUCACACUUGCUCAUUUUCAACCCAAAUUCUUGAACUACAUCUCUAAAUUUUCCAAACCAGGCACGAGGACUCUGCUUUAGACCAUAUAGAGAUUUUCUUAGAUGACAAACUUUUCCAUACUCCCCCUGAGCAACAAACCCAGGUGGUUGCUCCAUAUACACCUUUUCAUGGAGAUCACCAUGAAGGAAAGCAUUCUUGAUAUCCAGUUGAUGCAAAGGCCAAUGUUGAGAAGCAGCCAAGGAAAUAAACAAACGAACAGAGGUGAGCUUAGCUACGGGGGAGAAAGUGUCCGAAUAAUCUACCCCAUAAGUCUGAGCAUAGCCUUUAGCCACAAGUCUAGCCUUAAGUCUUGCAAUAGAACCAUCAGGAUUGACUUUGACUGUAAAAACCCAUUUGCAUCAUACUGCUUUCUUUCCUUUGGGUAAAUCCACCAAAUCCCAAGUAUGAUUUUCAUCUAGAGCAUGUAUCUCUUCAAGCAUUGCAUCACGCCAUCCAGAAUUAGUCAAGGCUUCUUUCACUGUUUUAGGAAUAGAGACAGAGUCUAGAGAGCUAAUCAAACAACUAGAUGCAGGAGAUAAGUGGUCAUAAGAAACAAUGUUAGCAAUGGAAUAUGUGGAUUUACACUGACAUGUACCUUUCCGAAGAGCAAUAGGAAGGUCAAAAUUUUCUGAAGAAUCAAGUGGAGAAGGAACUAAUGAAGAAGGAGAUGUAGGACUAACAAAAUAUUUAUGCCCAGUUUUAGAAACAACGGGACAUGGUCCCCAAACAUCUGAAUGUACUAACUCAAAAGCAGACUCAACUCGAUUAUUAACCCUUGGACCUAGUGAGAUGCGAUGGUGCUUUGCAAAUUUACAUGACUCACAUUCCAAUGAGGAAAUAUGCUGAAACUGAGGACAAAGCUUUUUCAACAAAGGUAGAGAAGGAUGUCCUAAUCGACAAUGUGCUUCAAAUGGAGAUACGANNNNNNNNNNNNNNNNNNNNNNNNNNNNNNNNNNAGAUUCCCAUUCAUCAAGGAUAUAUAGAUCAUCAGAUACAUGUCUUUUACCAAUAACCUGAUUUGUAGUAAGAUCACGAAACAAACAAUAAUCGGGAAAGAAAGUGAUAUAACAAUGAAGGUCUCUAGUAACUUUACUAACAGAAAUCAGAUUAAAGGCCAAUUUUGGUAGACUUAAUACAGAUGACAAGGUAAUAGACGGGACAUGGUCCCGAAACAUCUGAAUGUACUAACUCAAAAGCAGACUCAACUCGAUUAUUAACCCUUGGUGUGGUUGAUCCAUCAGCUACUGUACCUAGAGAGGGUACUUUGUGUGGCUGAAAACUAGAAAAAAUAUUAGGAUUACUUGUCAUAUGAUUGGUGGCACCUGAAUCAAUCACCCAUUUAUUUGAAGAGGUGAUAAGACAUGCUUUAUCGGACUUGGGAAAAGCUUUAACCGAAGUGGAUUCCUUCAAUAAUUUCUUAUAUUGAGAGAAUUUAGAGAACUCCUCAACCGAAAUCAAAACCAUUUUGUCAGAAAAUGGACUAGAAGCAGCAACCACCUCACUUUGAUCAGUCAUUUUUUUUCCAACUAAAAUGCUCACUGUAUCAGAUCAAAUUGAUGUUGAAACCAAUAGAACAUCCCAAGUAGGCUGUAUCUGAAAGUCACACUAUACCCAAAAGGAAAGACAAACAGUAGCUAACGGGCAGACAAAAUCUUAAGGUUGACAACCAAACUUGAAAUUGCACUUCAAAACAAUUUUCCAAAUGAGCAGCAGAUAGCCUCCAAAACAAUAUCAAGUUCACAAAUUGUGGAGCAAUCAUUCAACUUACUGUUGCACUUUGCAAACAGUCUCCAAUCGUAUAUCAGAAUGAAAGACUAAAUACCAAUAAACAGAGAAGUGUCAAACCUGACCAAUGAGAGUGCACAAAUUCUAUUUCAAGGAUUUUCUUCUCCAACAUAUGGUCCGAUGAUUAGAGGACCACCACAAAUCGUCCAGAAAUGUCAAGCCGAAAUCGUAACAGAAUACCAGACCAAGAUAGAUCCACCACGUACGCACCUUCACGUGCUUCAAGAUCUGCAAUGUCUCCAACAACUUUCUUGGCGCGUGAGUCUCACGCUCUUCUCCUCUGACCACCGGAGUCUGGUGUUUGUAUAUCAGAGGAGUUCUAAUCUAACUCAAACAAAGCAGUAUUACCCGCUAUGAUACCAUGUAAAGUACAGAGCCAAUGAAUCAAUUUCAUUGUUCUAUUAUUCCAAGAAUAAGAGCUAUUUAUAGGUGUACAAGUAAAUCUAUCUAAGGAAAUAACAUCAGAAAAUAUCCCUAAAUAUCUCUAAGAUCCCUAAAGAUCUCUACCUAUGAUUAUGCUAUGAAUAUUAUGAUUAGAUAUGAUUAUGUACAUUUUGUAACACUCACAAAAACGUGAUAGUUCAUAUCCAAAAAGGGAACAACUGAUAGUUGAGAUGUGAAACUCAUGAAAACGUGAUAGUUCAAAUUGGAAAAGGGAACAACGGAUAGUUGAGUUGUGAUCAAACUCGCGAAAACGUGAUAGUUUAUGUAUGUUUUGAUUAUUAACUCUAAUUUUCAGUCUUAAAUUACAACAGGCAACUAUCACAAGUGCAGAAGACUUUCUCCAGACUAGCCUAAUAGAGAAGCCAAAUGUUUGUCCUGUUACACCUCAAUUCUUAAAACAAAAAAUGACAGUCUGGUGCACUAAGCUCUCUCAUUGUUUACGCGCUAUCUCUCUAAACAAAAGCUCUUACUUUCCUAGUUCUUAAGCCAUUCCGAAUAUGUUGUACUUAGGCCACCAAGGCCUGAUUCUCAGGAUCUAAUACAAGGUUUGAUUAUAUUCUUGCCCUUAUAUUCAUCUUUUUUAUGGCCAUGGUGUUAAGGCCAAAUUUCACGCACCUCGACUAAUUCCACGAGAUAUCUGCCACCUCCCACUAGCAACAAGUACCAGGCAACUCUGCCCAUCAAGGCUAGAACCUUAUAUUCACUUUACCUUGCUAUUUUUGUGAUUUAUGUCAUUUCAUUUACGAGAUCAAUCUAACUCGCCUGUCCUUAAAUCAAUUUGAUAGAUUCAACAAUAGCAGAUGAUUUAGUGCAUAGUUUAACUUAUAUCAGGAAGAUUGAAUCAUUGAUUCUUAUAAGUUAUAAAGAUUAUAUUCACCAUCUAAGUUACAUAAAGCAACAAACAUACUUACAAGAAUAUAUUAAUUAUGUGAAGGAAAAAAAUAAGUAAAUAUUAUAUGCAACAUACCAAUGAUUUGUUUUCCCCUUUUGUUUGUCCUUCAUUUUCUUUUCCUCUUUCCAUUCUCACUAAUCGAGCCAAAAUAGUUAAUUUUUUUCUUCCUUCCGUUCAACUUCUCUUUUUCAAUAGAAACAAUUUACAUCAAACUAAGAAUGUAAGGAAAAUUGAAGAUAAAGCCUAUUGAUAAUGUCUCACUAUGUGGUUUCCUAUUUGGUCCUUGCACUUUUAGAAUAUAUUUUUCGGAAAAGGGUCAAAAAUGUCUUAAACUGUGUGAAAUGAAAAAAAAUAUUUUCCGUUUAUAGUUUGACUCAAAAAUAUUUUGGUUGUCAAGACUUUGGUUCAAAAAUGUCCUUGUAGUCAAUAUUUUGGUCCAGAAAUGUCCCUAUAGUAGUUAAAUUGGUCAAAAAUGUCCUUUUUCAAAUAAAUAUAUUAUUUCUUUUCUUUUUAAACACAUCUUCUUCCGAAUUAAAAUAUAUUUAAAGAACCAUAUUCUUGUUUUCUUUCUUUUAAAAUCACUUUAACAAAUAAAAAUAUAUGAAACAAAUUUCUUCUUAAUCUUAUUUUAUCAAUUAAAAUAGAAUAACUUCACGUACCCUUUCGACGGAUAAUAUAUGUCAUAUAUAUAAGAUCAUAGUAUAUUCAUCAUUAACUUUUAUUUAUAUAACGAUAAAAAAUAAUUAUAAUAAAAUAAGAAAUAUUUGUAUUUUUAAUUUUUUUCUGAAUAUAAGUAGGAUAAACAUUUACUAAUUUUAAAGAAUAAUAUUAGAAAAAGAAUGUCAAAAAGAAAAUAAAUAAUAUAUUUAUUGAAAAUGGGCAUUUUUUACCUUGACACCAAAUUUUGUUCUUCAUUUCUUCUAAUUUAUUUCGUUGAGCUUCUAAAUUGCUAAUAAGUCGAAUACUUUAUAAUUCACUAUUAUUUUCCAUUUAUCACUAUUGCUAUCAUAAUUAUCUAUAUUACUGUAACUUUUAUUAUUUUUAUGAUUAUCAUCUUUUUAGUAUCAUUUAAAAUUAUAUUUUUAUUAUCAAUAUUACUAUUAUUACUUUAAUGUCGUCUUGUUUAAAAUAGUAUGUCGUUACUUUAUUUCAAGUUUCUUACUUACUAAAACUUUAUAUAAUAUAUUAUUGUAUUGAUUAAAAACUAGAAUCUCAAAGAUUUAAUUUAAGAAAGAAAAAGGUAAGACCAUAAAAUUGGGCCUAAUUGAAUUUCAAUUGGACCAAAUAUUCAGCCCAUUUUUGAUGUCUAAAAUAGGCCCAAAUCCGUCAGCCCUCUUCAUAACAAAAUAAAUAGGGGAACUUUCACAAAUAACCACUAUAAUAAACUUAAUUAUGAUUCAUAGUUAUAGUUUGCAUAUUUACGGGUUGUAACUACAAUUUAAGUUGUCUCGUUUGUAUAAUAUGCAGGUACAUUUGUAUAAUUUAGUUAUUUUUGUAUAAACUCGAAAUAACGAGUUUAGACAAUAACAAACAUCAGAAGUGUAAGCAGUUAUACAAAUUAUAUUAUACAAGUUUCGAAUUAUACAAAAGUUAUACAAAUUAUAUUAUGCAAAUUUUGAAUUAUACAAAAGUUAUACAAAUUAUAUUAUACAAAUUUUGAAUUAUACAAACGUGUAAAUUAUACAAAAUAAAAAAGUUGAGUCACAUAAUUAUAGCUAAAAGUAGGUCGCAAAUUGUAAUUAAAAUAAACUAUAGUUAUAACUAUACAUAUAGGCUAUAUUAUAUUAACUAAUUAGCUAGUAUAUAUUUGCUUGUAGGCGUAAUUUUCCCAAAUUAUUAUCAGAAAUAAGUUCAGCCCAAUCUAUUCUAUCAUUAAGACUCAUAGUGUCACAGACUGAGUUUUCGCUAAAGCUCCGUGCGGCGCUUGACAACUUACUCACUACUCUUGCAAGAUCUUGUACGCUCAAGCAAGCCUUUAAGACUAAGAUCGCUAAGACAAUGCAAAGAAAGACUUAGAAAGAAUAAGAGAGCUUUUGGAGGAAGGCUUUUGUAUUGCUUGUGGAAUGCUUUACAACUUGAGUGAUGCCUUGCAAAUGAAUGGCACCUCUAUUUAUACUUCAACCUAGGGGCUAAAGUGUAAUUUAAAAUUACUUUACAAGUCCCUAAGGUAUUGACACUUUGGUCCCUCUCUAGAAUUCUCUACAUAUUCUAGGGUGUUCCAAAGCCUUCUUGAAAUAUCUAAGGGCUUCUAGAGUUCUCCAUAAGCCUCUCCACAACUCUAGAUUCUUCCGCCCCUAUUCGGAUGUAAAAUUCGGCUGCCAUAAGGUGCCUUCGACGGAUGAAUGUGACCGGCCUCGAGGAGCUCCUUCAACUGAUUCCUCAGCUCCUCUAAUUCGGGUGGAGCCAUGUGAUAGGGUGCAUGUGCAGGUGGCUUGGCUCCAACUUCCAACUCGAUUUUGUGGUCUACCUCACCCCUAGGAGGUAGAGUUCUUAGCAGCUCAUCUGGCAUCACGUCCUUGCUUUCUGCAAGGACCUUUUCUACGAUCGGUGGCAAAGGUUCCUUAGCACCAUUGUCUUCUCCCGAACUUGCAAUGGUGGCUAUGAACGUCGACUCCCCUUUCUUUAAGCCCUUCAUGAUCUGCAUGGCAGACAAGUGGGCAUGUCCUUCCUUCUUCGGCACCUUGACUAGAGGUACCAUACAUGAACCGUCCCACUCCAUGAUCAUGAGUCGUUGGAGGUAGGGGUCGAUCAUUGUAUGGCAUCUCUGGAAGAACUUUUUCCCAAGAAUAAUGUCAAAGAUAUCCAAGGGAGCUACGGUAAAGUUGGUCUUACCUUGACACUUUGCUAACGUGAUGCUUACUCCUUAGGAAACUACACACACGGGAGUUGGGGGUGCGUUGACCGUCUUGAGGCGAGUGUUACUUGGAGUGUAGCUUAGCCCAAACCUUGUUGCCGCCGUCUUGGGCAUGAUGUUCGGUUCGGCCCCGGAGUCUACCAUGGCACGAGCUGGUCGUCCAUUAAUGGAGAUGUCCACAUACUGCGUGCUAAAGUCUCGCGACCUCUCCGUCUUCUUGGCAAUAGCACCACAUAGUCCCACCAUGCCCAACUACAUCGAGCCCGCGUCCUACCCUUGCUCUUGUGCGUCCUUCUCAUUUCGCUUGCGUAGGAUGGCACCAAAGUUCUUCAUCUCAGGGCACCUGGCAUAGCCAUGCGGUCCACCACAUAUGUAGCAACCAUCUCCCUUGGUGGUUUGCGCCUUUUUCUCCGCGUAGUUCUAGCGCCCAAACCGCUUGCCGUCCGACUUGAAAGAGUCAUGAUGCUUAGGAUAUGUCUGCUGCUUCUUGCCUCGGCCACUAUUUCCCUCAUCUUUGGCAUGACUACUCCUUGCAUCUUUUCCUUUCGCCUUGUCAUGCCAGUCAUGCUUAAAGCCGGUCAAGGAUUCGACUUGUGUAAUGGCCUCAUCUAUGGUCUUGACUUGUCGCCGCUCCAACUCCGUCUUGUCCCAAUUCUGCAGUCCGUCCAUGAAGUGGAACAACAUGUCUUUGUCCGUAAUGUUGGGAAUCUAAAGCGUUAGAGUUGUGAACUCUUUCACGUACGCCCGAAUUCUCCCCGUUUGCUUCAAUUCCCUAAACUUUCGCUUAACUUCAUAUACUACGUUGUUAGGGAAGAAGGUUUUCUUGAACUCCUCGCAGAAUUGCUCAGAAGUGUUGAUGGUGCACGUCCCCUUUCCUAUCUCGACCUCAUUGCACCUCCACUAUAGCUUGGCCAUCUCCGAAAGAUACAACACGGCAGUGUUGAUCUUGUUCUCGUCGCUCCUUACCCGACUACACUUAAAGUAAUUCUCCAAGUGCCACAAGAAGUUCUCCACCUCUUGAGCGUCACGUACGCCUUUGAAUAUAGGUGGCUUGGGAGCCUCGACCCUGACCUCCCUAUCACGGUCGAACGACUUAGAUCCUCCAGCUUCCACGCCUUCCUUAAGUGCCUUCAUCUCGGCCUUCAUGGUCUCAAUCGUGCUCAACGCCUCCAUGAGCCGACAUUUCAAGGAAGUGAUGGCCUCCUUCAUCUUGAACUCGGCCCGCUGGCGUCCCUCCAACUCUUUGCAGAUGUUUUCGGUCUUUUUAAGGGUGAAGUCUUCAAGAGUUUUGAACUUGCCGUCGGCUACAUUCAUGUGCCGGCCUAAUAUCUCCACAGCCUGCCUCGCCACUUCAACCCUUGCGACCCAUUCCUCUCCGGCGGUGACGUCAAUGGCCUCCUCGCCAAGUUCAUCGUCACUUGUUUCGGUGGUCGAAGGUGGAUAAGAUUUUAGCGCCUCGCUUGGUGUGGGGUCGAGAAACAUUUCCUUAUUACUCUUUUGGUGGUUCUUUCCCUUGCGAUUCUUCAUUCCACCAUCAGGACGGACAUUGGUGGUGCUAGAGGCGUUUACGUCUCCUUCAUUGGCUAGGUGAGACAUUCGGUUCACGUCCUUCUUCUGUCAUCGGGGAUGGGAACCUUGGUAGGAAUGUUGGAGGGUUCUCGGCAGGUAGGUUUGAUGCUAGCCUUGUUGCCUUGGCAUUGGCUAAUUCAAGCAAACCUCGCUCUGAUACCACGUUGUCGCGGACUUAGAGUUUUCGCUAAAGCUCCAUACGGCGCUUGACAACUUACUCACUACUCUUGCAAGAUCUUGUAAUCUCAAGCAAGCCUUUAAGACUAAGAUCGCUAAGAAAAUGCAAAGAAAGACUUAGAAAGAAUAAGAGAGCUUUUGGAAGAAGACUUUUGUAUUGCUUGUAGAAUGCUUUACAACUUGAGUGAUGCCUUGCAAAUGAAUGACACCUCUAUUUAUACUACAACCUAAGGGCUAAAGUGCAAUUUAAAAUUACUUUACAAGUCCCUAAGGUAUUUACACUUUGGUCCCUCUCUAGAAUUCUCUACAUAUUCUAGAGUGUUCCAAAGCCUUCUUGAAAUAUCUUCUAGAGUUCUUCAUAAGCCUCUUCACAACUCAAGAUUCUUCUGCCCCUAUUUGGAUGUAAAAUUCUACUGGCAAAGUUGCAGGACUGGACAUGACACAUAGCCUCUCUUCCUUUCCUUUCUUAGGCAUAAUUUCAACUUGUUUUCAGAUGGGUUUCACCAUUUUCAACUAAGUCUUUCCUCUCUCCCUUGCACAUUAAAGCUCCUUCUUGAAAAGUGGAAUUUUUUUUGUUGACCAAAAUCGCUGCAACCAUGGAGAAAAAGGAUGAUUUUGUUGAUCUCUCCUCUGUCACACAUUUUGGACUGAUCUCAAUGUGCCUUUUCUUUCAAAAUUGAAAUAACUUUUUCGUUCUUCAAUUCCUGCUUAAAGUCUCGGCUAUAAAGAUUCACAUACAUCUUCAGUUCGAGGACGAGUUUUUGUCUUGAAUAAUAAAUCACGAACACCACCACUCUUUUACAUUUUAAUAUCUUCUGUUUUGCUUGAUUUUGUUGAAGGAACGAGCAUAGAUCCUUGAUCGAAGACGACUGGUGAUUACCAUUCUCUUUUGAUUUUUAUCUAUUCAAAGUGACAUUCAUAUUUCAUUUUGCUUUCCUUUUAAUCUCGUGUUUAAAUGCUAUGAAAUAGCUAGUGCUUCUGAUUUUUUCACAUGAACAUUGGAUCAUAUGGAGUUUCGUGGGAGACUCCCGUCUCGGUCGAUAACCCGAUGCAUACUUCCCCAUUUCAAUGUUCCUUUUAUAGAAAUGCCUUGAUAUUGGAGGCAUUUGAUUUUCUUUGAGCUCACUUGUUUGGAAUGUUUGAAUUGUUUACUCUGCUCUAGUCAUCCCAUACAUUUUAUAUGCUACUUGAUUUAAUUUGUUAUUGGUAGUAUUUCAAUAUAAUAUAUGUUUCACUAAGGCAUGAAAAUACAAUUGGCUUUUAUUUAUUUAGUAGUCACCAUUUUAUUUAAGUCUUUAAAUAUCUUUGUAUGUUUAAGAUAAAUGUUCCCUUUUUUGGUUAUACCCAUUUCAAGAUUAGUUUAUUAAGUUUUUCAAGAUAUAGUUCAAUUUGCUAAAACAAUCCAGUAAGUGAGACCUUUGCCUAUUUCUAAAAUUUAUCUUUUUAUUUAUUUCGUGAACACUAAUCACCUAGUUUUUGACUAGCCUUAGCCUAAUUAAUUAUUUAUGUUCGGUCGUUUAACCAUUUUUAAUGGAUCUUAAAGGAUGUCUCACCCUUUAAUUUCCUUUAGAUUAAUUGAACCCUUACCUAAAAUCUUAUGUUUAGUAGACCUUAAAAUGAAGUUAACUUUAGACAAUAACUUUAAUCAUUUUAGGUGUCCUAAUUCACCGUAAUAAUUAGGUGGCGACUUUCUUAACUUAGUUAAUUACUUUAGGAAUCACCAGAAGUUGUACACUAUUUUGACCCGGUUAAAAUGGGGCAGAACACCCAUUAAAUAACAAUAAGAGCUUUUUUGACUAACAUUUUAAAGAAAAUGGUGUAAAGCCCUCCUCACCUAUCCCUGAAAUCCCAACUACACACUCUCCAACUUCACGGGUGUCCUAUCACCCGCUAAACUAUUUAAAACUAAUAUAAUUUACUCUCUAAGGGGCUGUUUGGUUGCUGGUUAGAGUUAUGCAGGGUUUAGUAAUGCAGGAUUUAGUUAUGCAUGGUUUAAUUAUACAGAGUUUAGUUAUGCAGAGUUUAAUAAUUUUUUUGGGUGUUGGUUUGUUAUAUUAAAAAUUAAUAAACAUUAUAUACUUGUUAAAAAUAAAUUAUUUGUUAUUGUUAUAUCUUAGACCUUUCUUACCGUUGUAUUUUUAUUUAUUUUUUGUGUUUUGCUUAGGCAAAAUUUUGGACAGAAACUUAAAUGCCACAUUUUUCAACUUCCUCAUGUAGUUGAACCGAUGCAUAUAUAUGACACGUGUUAACACGGGAUCAAUAUUGUAAUAGUUGAAACUUAUUGAUAUGCUAGUACAUAUAAUUAUGUGUGCAUAUAACAAAAAUAGAUACAUAUAUGUUAACAUCUGAGCAACACCGCGUACUAAUGCUAGAUAUUAUAUUUGGAGCCUUUACUUCAAUAAUCUAUAAUAUAGAAAUGAGGAAGUUUGUUUUUUUCUAUUUGAUGAAGGAGAUCAUAUUUACAAAAGUCUUGGCAAGAACUAGUGGAAGCUCUAGAGCUUACUUCAAGCAAAGCCAUUGAUAUGCACAUUGAUAGAUAUGGCUUACUUCCAAUGGCAAGAACCAUUGAUAGAGGAUGCUUACUUCCAACAGAACAAUCUAUUGUUGGACACUAUCCUCAACAAUUAUCGACAUUGUCCUCACCCAUAGACAAUAUCCUCAUCAAUUUGAAUGUCUACUUAAUUUUCAAAAUAAUAAUGGAGUACAUUAAAUCUAAAUUUCAGUUUCGUCAUACUAAAUAAUUCAUUCAGUUACAAUUUUCACAUACUGCCAUAUCCUAAAAUUGAGAGUCCAUUUUUCAAGCAACAAAAUAGUGACAAAAUAAAUUUAAUAAAAUGAAGAAUACAACAAAUCUAAUAUAUACCAUUGUUACAAACUUGAAAUUCUAGUACCGUGGCCUCACGGAAUCAAACUAGACCCACCUUCAUUAAAUGUGAAAGAAACUUACAUAAUUCACUGUUAAAUUAUAUAAACUGGGACAUAAAACAUAGGCAAAAUAAAACUUAACUAGGCCAUGGUUAUACCUAACAAAGUAGCUACACCAAAAACCAUUCAAAGGUUUAAAGUUUAUCAUCAAUAAUCAUUCAUACCAUAGUGUAACGAUCAAGCUCAUUGAUGUUUAAAAAGCACUCGUUCAUUGAUAAUUAUAUAAACUGGCACAUAAAACAUAGGCAAAAUAAAACUUCACUAGGCCAUGGUUAUACCUUACAAAGUAGCUACACCAAAAACCAUUCAAAUGUUUAAAGUUUAUCAUUAAUAAUCAUUCAUACCAUAGUGUAACGAUCAAGUUCAUUGAUGCUUAAAAAGCACUCCAUGAACUUUGUGUUGCUCCAGCUGAUACACUAGGUUCCCCUUGAGCAAUUUGAUCUUCUUUUUAGCUGGAGCAUCAUCUUCAUCGACAACAAUAAUAGGAAAUUCAAAAGGCAUGUCAUUAGCAACUUCUUGAGCUUCAAUUCUUUCUAUUUCUUGAACACCAACUUCUGGCCCCUCGACAGAUUGUUCAGUAGCUCCAUCCUUGUGAAAUAUCUCUUCCCAAUCAGCAAAUAAUGGCCAUUUCUUAAAUGUCAUUGACUUGGCAUAUGGAUCAACCUAAGAAAAAAAAAGAAAACAAGUAUAUGAAGUAACUGAUAAUAUUCCAAAGACAGAGAUUAUAUUCACCAAGAGAAAAUAUAACUAACUAGCUUUAGUUUACUAAUAAUUUAAACAAUUGUAAAUCACCUUUAUGAAGUCAUCCCAACCUUUUGGAUCUUCAACCAAGAUAGUUCCAUCGUUGUAUCGAAAUCCUAAGCCACUUCGACUUUUUACCAACGAUAGGGUCAUAUAAUGCUUUUUCCACCCUCUUAUUUUUGAAAAAAUAUGUGGUAGAGCUUGCAAUCCGCAAUUAGGAUGACAAACAUUCAGGUGUUGUUCAAGUUCCAUCAAAUAUUCAUGUUUAAAGGUUCCAUCAUCUUCUUUCCAAUCAUUAGCACAUAACUUUUUUAAUCCAUCAACCAGAGUGAGUUCCUCUUCUUGAGUCCACACCCUUGCCCAUUUUUGAGACAUGUUAGACCUUCUUUUAGUGGGACUAUCUGUAAGAAUGUAAAAAAUCAUAAUUUAUACUAACUUAUGAUUCACUACAAAAGUAUACUAACUUAUUUUCACAUAUAUUGCAUUUGUCUAUCACCAGAAUUACAAGAGAAAAAAAAACAAUAUGAUAAGAAGAAGACGAAAGCAUAAGAAAAGGUUAAGAUUUCAAAAGUUUCUAACCUCAAAGAAAGAAUUUAGAUUGAGCAUUCUUUAAGAUUUGCCUCUUAGAAGAUAAUGAAAUUUUAGAUCUAUAAAAAGGCAUAUAAUGUAUCUGAUUGUAUUUAAUUAGAAGUGAAGAAGGGUCACAGUUAUCUAUCUACCAUACACAAUUGAAAUGGUCAGCAUUGGAGGUAAUAAAUCCAUCCGUCCUUUGGUUAGUAAUGGAAGAUUAAUGCAAUUCUAAGAAGUGAAUGACAAUUGAAUGGUAAUCCUGUUAUGGAUUUUGAAGUUUGACUUUGAGAAAAUAAUGACACAAAUAGGCUUGCCAGAUUUUAGAACGGUUGGAAAACCAUAUGGACUAAAUUUCCAAGUUAAAACGCCUAAUUGCACAAACUCAAAACGAAAGCCUCGAUACUCGAACCAACCAUCCUAAUAGACUAAAUAUGACCUUCCGGAUCUAACCGUGCUGACGGAAUUCUCAUCCGAUCAGUUUUUACUAAGAAUACUGACUGAAGUCGAUAUUUGAGUAAAUUUCCAAGCUAAAACGCCUAAUUGCACAAACUCAAAACGAAAGCCUCGAUACUCGAACCAACCAUCCUAAUAGACUAAAUAUGACCUUCCGGAUCUAACCGUGCUGACGGAAUUCUCAUCCGAUCAGGUUUUACUAAGAAUACUGACUGAAGUCGAUAUUUGAGUAAAUUUCCAAGUUAAAACGCCUAAUUGCACAAACUCAAAACGAAAGCCUCGAAACUCAAACCAGCCAUCCUACUAGACUAAAAAUGACCUUCCGGAUCUAACCGCGCUGAUAGAAUUCUCAUCCGAUCACUUUUUAUUAAGAAUAUUGACUGAAGUCGAACUUUGAGUAAAUUUCCAAGUUAAAACGCCUAAUUGCACAAACUCAAAACGAAAGCCUCGAUACUCGAACCAACCAUCCUAAUAGACUAAAUAUGACCUUCCGGAUAUAACCGCACUGAUGGAAUUCUCAUCCGAUCACUUUUUACUAAGAAUAUUGACUGAAGUAGAACUUUGACUAAAUUUCCAAGUUAAAACGCCUAAUUGCACAAACUCAAAAUGGAAGGCUCGAAGCCCAAACCAACCAUCCUACUAGACCAAAAAUGACCUUCCGGAUCUAACCACGCUAAUGGAAUUCUCAUCCGAUCAUGUUUUACUAAGAAUAUUGACUGAAGUAGAACUUUGACUAAAUUUCCAAGUUAAAACGCCUAAUUGCACAAACUCAAAAUGGAAGGCUCGAAGCCCAAACCAACCAUCCUACUAGACCAAAAAUGACCUUCCGGACCUAACCGCGUUGACAGAAUUCUCAUCCAAUCACGUUUUACCAAGAAUAUUGAAUGUAGUCGAACUUUGACUAAAUUUCCAAGUUAAAACGCCUAAUUGCACAAACUCAAAAUGGGAGCCUCGAAACACAAACCAACCAUCCUACUAGACUAAAAAUGACCUUACAGAUCUAACCGCGCUAACAAAAUUCUUAUCCGAUCACUUUUUACUAAGAAUAUUGACUGAAGUCGAACUUUGACUAAAUUUCCAAGUUAAAAUGCAUAAUUGCACAAACUCAAAAUGGGAACCUUGAAACCCAAACCAACCAUCCUGCUAGAUUUAAAAUGACCUUCUGGAGCUAACCGCGCUGACAUAAUUCUCAUCUGAUCACGUUAUACCAAGAAUAUUAACAGAAGUCAAACUUUAACUAAAUUUCAAAUAUAUUGGUAAAAUGUGACCAGAUGAGAAUUACAUCAUCUCGGUUAGCUCCAGAAGGUCAUUUUUAGUCUAGUAGGAUGGUUGGUUUGGGUUUCGAGGCAUCCAUUUUGAGUUUGUGCAAUUAGGCGUUUUAACAUGGAAAUUUAGUCAAAGAUUGACUUUAGUCUAUAUUCUUGGUAAAACAUCAUCGAAUGAAAAUUCUGUCAGUGUGGUUAGAUUCGGAAGGUCAUUUUUGGUCUAGUAGAAUGUUUGGUUUGCGUUUCGAAGCUUCCAUUUUGAGUUUGUGCAAUUAGGCGUUUUAACUUGGAAAUUUAGUCAAAGUUCUACUUCAGUCAAUAUUCUUAGUAAACGUGAUCGGAUGAAAAUUCCGUUAGCACGUUUAGAUCCGGAACGUCAUUUUUAGUCUAGUAGGAUGGUUUGUUUGGGUUUCGAGGCUUCCAUUUUGAGUUUGUGUAAUUAGGCAUUUUAACUUGGAAAUUUACUCAAAGUUCGACUUCAGUCAAUAUUCUUUGUAAAAAGUGAUCGGAUGAGAAUUCCAUUAGCGCGGUUAGAGCCGGAAGGUCAUUUUUGUUCUAGUAGGAUAGUUGGUUUGGGUUUCGAGGCUUUCAUUUUGAGCUUGUGCAAUUAGGCGUUUUAACUUGGAAAUUUACUCAAAGUUCGACUNNNNNNNNNNNNNNNNNNNNNNNNNNNNNNNNNNNNNNNNNNNNNNNNNNNNNNNNNNNNNNNNNNNNNNNNNNNNNNNNNNNNNNNNNNNNNNNNNNNNNNNNNNNNNNNNNNNNNNNNNNNNNNNNNNNNNNNNNNNNNNNNNNNNNNNNNNNNNNNNNNNNNNNNNNNNNNNNNNNNNNNNNNNNNNNNNNNNNNNNNNNNNNNNNNNNNNNNNNNNNNNNNNNNNNNNNNNNNNNNNNNNNNNNNNNNNNNNNNNNNNNNNNNNNNNNNNNNNNNNNNNNNNNNNNNNNNNNNNNNNNNNNNNNNNNNNNNNNNNNNNNNNNNNNNNNNNNNNNNNNNNNNNNNNNNNNNNNNNNNNNNNNNNNNNNNNNNNNNNNNNNNNNNNNNNNNNNNNNNNNNNNNNNNNNNNNNNNNNNNNNNNNNNNNNNNNNNNNNNNNNNNNNNNNNNNNNNNNNNNNNNNNNNNNNNNNNNNNNNNNNNNNNNNNNNNNNNNNNNNNNNNNNNNNNNNNNNNNNNNNNNNNNNNNNNNNNNNNNNNNNNNNNNNNNNNNNNNNNNNNNNNNNNNNNNNNNNNNNNNNNNNNNNNNNAUUAGGCGUUUUAACUUGGAAAUUUAGUCCAAAUGGUUUUCCAACAGUUCCAAAAUCUGACAAGCCUAUUUAUUUGAUUAGUUGCUCAAAGUCUAACUUUAGAAUUCAUAACAGGAUUACCAUUCAAUUGUCAUUCACUCCUUAGACUUGCAUUAAUCUUCCAUUACUAACCAAAGGACGGAUGGAUUUAUUGCCUCCAAUGCUGACCAUUUCUAUUGUGUAUGGUAGAUAUAUAACUGUGACCCUUCAUCACUUCUAAUUUAAUACAAUCAGAUACAUUAUGAGGAACAGAUAGCUAUUGUAGAUAGAUAGAUGUAACCUUUAUCAGAAUCACUUUAUUUCCAUUAUUUACGUGAAAGUGCAUUAGUUGCUCUUUAAAAUGUUAAUCUGUUACUUUCACCAACUAUCAAUCCAAAGGAUCAAAAUCCUUGUCUUUGUCACAAUUACUAUAGUUCGUCUGCCACUUCCAACCUGGUAGUACUGCAAUAAUGAUGUGAUAUUCUUUAUUUUAGACCACCUCAACUACGUGACUAUACAAAUUAAGCUAAAUGAGAAAGCAUUCAUGAGGAAAGAAUUCACUCACACAUAAUUCAUUGUUAAAAUAUUAGACACAUCUUCAUUUAAAGUGAAUGAAACUUACAUAAUUCAUUGUUCAAUUACAAAAGCUGGCACAUACAACAAAGACAUACAAUUACAUUUUUUUUCAAAAGAAGUCUCCUAUUUUUGUAACAUUAUCCUUCCAUGACAAACACCAAGCUUCAAAAGUUGAAUACCAACCCCAACAACAUAUAAUCACUUGACAAAAUAGCAUCUGAGUACUUUGUAUUUCUGACUGGAUCUUUGUGAUUACUCCAACUGCUGAAUAGUCUGCGAGAAAAGAAAAUUUCAAUACAGUCUCGGAGAAGAAGGAAUUAAAAACACCUUGGAGAAGAUGAACUUACCGUUUGGGUCAGCGUUUUGAGCAAUCUGAAGAGCAUCUGAGUUGGCUACUUACAAAAACACUAAUGUUGAACCUAAUCAUGCAUUUGUUAUACAAAAACAACCUACUUUAAGCCCACAACAUUCACAUAUAUGUACAUUUGUGGACAUUCUACUAGGUAACAAAAAAUCUCAUUAUGGUUAGACCUUACAAAAUAGAUACACAAAAACCAUUCAGUGAUUUAAAGCUUAUCAUUAAUAAUCAUCCAUAUCAUACUGUGACGCUUAAGUUCACUGAUGCUUAAGAAGAAUUCCAUCCUCUUUAUAUCUUGUGUAAUUCCCAUUGCUGCCUUGACUCGUUCAUCUGAAUUGUAUAUUUCAAAUGCAGGGGAUCCGAUAAUAGAAAAUAUCUUACCACGAAUCUCAGAUAGAUCACGCUCUCCUAGCUUGUCAAUUAAAGAAGCCAUCCUUUUGUUAUGGCUUUCAGUGAAUUGUUUCAUUACCUCCAUCAAACCUUUAAGAACAGUCUCAUUAUCAUCUUCAGUUGUUUUUCUUUUUUUGCAUCUACUUUUUUCGUUGACUUUAGAAGAUGAUGCUUUAAAACUACUACCUUGUUUUUGAGAUUGAUGGGUUUCACCUUUUUGAGUUGUGAAUGAACUUUGUGCUGCUCCAGUUGAUUCAUUAGGUUCAUCUUGAGCAGUAAAUGGACUUUGUAUUGCUCCAGGUGAUACAUUAGGUUCCUCUUGAGCAGCUUGAUCUUCUCUUGUGCCUGAAGCAUCAUCUACGUCGACAACAUCAAUAGGAAAUCCCACAGACGUGCCAUCAGUAAUUUCUUGAGCUUCAAUUCUUUCUAUUGUUUCAACAACAUCUUUUGGCCCUUCUGCAAACUCUCCAGUAGCUCUAUCCUUGCCAAAUAUCUCUUCCCAGUCAGCAAAUAAUGGACAUUUUUUUUAAGUUCAUUGACUUGGCAUUUGGAUCAACCUAAGAAAAUAAAGAACAAGUACAUGAAGAAACUGAAAAUAUUCCAUAAACAAAGAUCCAUUAACCAAGAGAAAAUAUAAGUAAGUAGCAAUUCCCUAAUGAUUUAAAAUAAAUAUAAAUCACCUUUAUCAAGUCAUCCCAAGCUUUAGGAUCAUCAACUAAGAUACUUCCAUCACUAUAUUGAAAUCCUAAACCACUUCGACUCUUUAGCAACGAUAUUGUUGCAUAACUCUUUUUCCAUGCUCUUAUUUUAGAAUCAACAUGUGGUAGAGAUUUCAAUCCACAGUUAGGAUGACGAGCAUUCAUGUAGUGUUCCAAUUCCAUUAAAUAUCCAUGUCUAAAGGUUCCAUUAUCUCCUCUCCAACCAUUAACACACAAUUCUUUUAAUCCAUCUACAAGAGUAAGUUCCUCUUCUGGAGUCCACACCCUUCGAGAUGAAGGUGUUGAUUUUCUUGCCCUCUUUCUGGACGUGUUAGAUGCUGCAGCAGUAGAACUAGCCAUUUCAAUCUGUAAAAUUGUAAAUGAAAUCACAAGUAAUACUAAGUUACAACUUACUAGUAAAUUAUGUCAAUUAUAACCCAAUAAAUUGUAAUACAACUUGAUUGCUUACAAGUAAAUUAUUUCAAUUAUAACCAAAUAAAUUGUAAUACAACUUGAUUAAUCUGGGAAAAAGAUAAUGUGAAGACAUAUAUACAAAUUCACUACUUAUAUUCAAAAAUAAUAGAUAUACAUUGAGUUUCACUAUUUGUCUGUACAGACAACAAUGUGAGACAUACAAAAGAUUGACCAUUCGUUUUUUCACAAAAUAAUAAAAGCUAUUACAUUUUACAGUGAGCGGAAAACCAAAAACAAAAGUGCAUAAGCACACCAAAAGUGAUCACAUAGUUUAAAAUUAUAAAGAUUGAUUUCCCAAUCUUUCAUUCCACAUAGACUGAGCUAGUUCAUCCCUCCAAGUGGUCCACUCAUCAGAUGCUUCAAUUGUAUUAAUAUUGUCAUGUUCAUGUUGAUUUUCCAUGUGGAAUUCCAUUUCCACAUCUAAUGGGUCAGCUUCCAUCUCUCUUCGAAUGAAAUUGUGAAUCAAACAACAUGCACUAAUAAUUCUAUUGUGAACCUUAACCGAGUACCACGAAGGACUUCUAAGAAUUCCCCAACGUCCUUUUAAUAGUCCAAAUGCUCUUUCAAUAACAUUACGCGCCCUAGCAUGCUUCAUAUUAAAGAGCUCUUCUCGACAUUGAGGUUUUUCAAUAACAUUACGCGCACUAGCAUGCUUCAUAUUAAAGAGCUCUUCUCGACAUCGAGGUGAUGGAUUGUCACCCUGCCAAUCCUUUAUCCAAUAUCUAUAUCCUCGGUAGGGAGACAAAAACCAUUUCCAUUUGUAUAUCCUCCAUCGCACAAAUAGUAAUUGCCUAAAAAUGUAAACAAUAAUAUAAUUACUUUAAAUAUUAUUCUAUUUUGAUGUAGUAGAAAUAGACAAGGGUCUGCCUAUUAUUUAGCAUACCCUGAGGUACUUUCAACCCAUUUCUUCGUACAACAGCAUCUCGCAAUACGCGACCAUCAGCGGCUGAUCCCUCCCAACCAGGUAAUACAUAAAUGAAGUUGAGAUUUCUAUCACAAACCCCCAAUACAUUAGUUGCUAUAUCUCCUUUUCGUGUUCUAUAUCUUGGCUAUUAUAUUGCUUCAGCUCUAAUGGAAAUGUAAGUACCAUCCAAUGCACCAAGACAACCCUAUAAGAUAAAUUCAACUCAAAAUACUAAAGGACUAUUAAAAGUAAAAAUACUUUCACCAUAAUAUUUCAAGUUUGUUGUAGUAAAUCAAAUGUUAGAUUGAAAUUUACCUACCUUAAACCAUUUCCAUCGAUCAUCAGUAUCAUCUUCGAGCACCGGAUUAGGUUUAACAAGUAACAAUGGAGUUAGUUUAAGAAUAGCUCUUAGACAUUCAUUAAAGGCUCGACUUACACUCCACCCCGAUCUAAUAUAAUCAACUUUGAUAGACCUGUUCUUUUCGUGAUGAGCCAAAAUAUUUAAGAACAUUGCUAAUUUUUCAGUACUCGACAUAUUUUUACUAUCAGUCAACCCUUCUAGAUUGGUUUCUUAAUAACAUGCUGUAAAUAGCCAUAAAAAAGCAAAUAAGGACAAUAUACGAAUGCACCACAAUCUCCUCGAGGAUCAUAAAGCAUUCAACAUCGCACAAUUGCUGAGAAUCCAUUUACACCUAUUUUCCAUUUAAAAAUUGCAACAUCAUUAUCAAAUUGAAUCCAAAAGAAACAAAAGUAUCAAUCAUGUUACUUAACUAAUUAUUGCAGACACAUUAUGUAUAAUAGGAAGGUAAUAGAUGGUUUCAAACUAGAAUGUUCAAUUUUAUUAAAAAAAAUGUGAAAAGUAACAUUGAAAAACAGGGUAAAAUGUUUAUUUUUGUUUGGCUUCAAUAGCUAGAAUACUAAUACUAUUUUUUUCAAACUGCAAAUAACAUGUUUAUCUUUUGCAGUUUUAGAAGUUAAAACAACUAAACUUAAUGAACCCAUUUUUCAGAAAGCACGAUUUUUGAACAAACAAAACAAAAUCCACAUCAAAUUUGGGUGUACUAAAACAUCAACUUAACUAGAAAAUACUGAGAAGAUCUAGAAUUUCAUUUGUCUCUCAUCAGAUUAACAAGAGGAAAAACACAAAAAAGAGAAAACAGGAGGAGAAGAAGAAGAAAAUAAAACAAGAUCAGCCAAAUUUUGAGUUUCGGAACUUCUAGCCUCAAAGAAACAACACUAGAUUGAAAGUUUUUCAAUCUAUUUGCCUGGAAGAUGAAGAGCCAUUCUAGAUCUACAGAUAUGGAGAGAGGAUCUGAAUGUUUAUCUAAAAAGAACUGUAUAUUUGAUUGAGAGUGAAGGGAAAAAUUGUCAAUUUAUAUUUUUAUUCAGGUAUUAGUUAUUCAGGUAUAACUUAUUCCAUCUUUUACCCUGCAUAAAAUAAUACAUAGAUUGACUCAUAAUUUAAACAUGUAUUAGUUAUGUGGUUUUCUAAUUUUCUAACCAAACAUAGUAUUAUGUGUGUUGAAUUUUAUACUUUGACAAAAAAAUACUACCAAACAUGGUAAAACUUAUGCAACAUUUUAUACCUGAAUAACUCAAUCCUUAUCCAGUAACCAAAUGCCCCCUAAAUGCUUGUGGCACAUUGAGUGUAUUUCACUCUCUCAAAGAGAGUGAGGACCAAAACAGAUAAUAAAACUUUAUUUUUAAAAUUUCUUUUCAUAAAUAUGUGUAUUUUUAAUUAUUCUUUUUUCUUAUUUAUUUUCUUUCUUCACAUCAACAUAAAGCAAAUCUCUCCACCACUCACCUUCUCUAAACCGCCGCAAUCAUCACAUUCAUUGGAUUCAACAUGAAAUUUUAUUAUUCCUCUUGAGUCUAGAAUUUUAAUUUUUCAAUUUGUGCAUGAAAUUAGGAAAUUUUGAAAACCAACUCUUUAUUAAUAUUAUUAAAAUUGUUAAUCAUCAUUUUACAUGCCUAACCACAUGGCCAAAUGGGUUAGAAAAUUCUUAUCUUUAUUUUUGGUGCCCUAAUCUAUUAUCUUUAGAAAAUGGCCAAAUACCCCCUAAUCUAUUAUUGGAUUUUCAACUACACACUUAAACUUUACGGGAGUCCUAUCACCCCCCUGAACUGUUUAAAAUCAAAAUUAUUGGACCCCUAAAAAGCCACAAUCACAUUUAUGUUCAUGGGUGAAACUCACGCGUUUGCCAUGUGAAAUUCCAUUAAAAAAAGUUUUUCUUCAAUUUUUUCAUUAUUCUUUAUUCUUUUCUUCUAUUUUUUCACCAUCUCUCCAAACCCAAAAAUAUUUUCACCAUUUUCUCCAUUACUAUAAACACCAAAGGUCUACCAGUCACUACAAUUUUCAAAAGGAGAAAGUCGGGAAUGAUUUUGAUUCCCAUUUGUCAUUUCGUCCACUACUUGAUUGGUAUUAAGAUCAUUUCCAUGAAUGCAUAUGUCAAAUUUCUCAAAUUUGAGUUAAUGAAUACAUAACAAUGGAGGAAGGUUGAAUGUGGGUUUCAUUGAAAAUUCAAAAUUCUUCGUUGGUUUGGAUUAAAAUUACAAAUUUGGAGCUCCGAAGAACCAAAAUAAGAAUUUGCCAACCGAAUUAACUUUGUGGAUUGACCAUGUACAAGGAUGAUUAACAACUCCAAUAAUAUUGAUAAAGAGUUGAUUUUCAAAAAUUUCUAAUUCCAUACACAAAUUAGAAUCAAGAGGAAUACAAAAAUUCUAUGGUACAUCCAGUGAAGAUAGUAGUGGCGGCAAAGACGUAAAAAUGAUGGGAGAUGGACAGAUCUGGUCACAAAAAAGGAAGAGAUUUCUAUGAAGAAGAAAGAAAAGAAUAAGGAAAAAAAAUAAAAGAUAUAUAUAUAUAUAUAUAUACACACACACUAAAAAUAAGUUUUAAUAUUUUUUUUCGGUGCUCACUCUCUCAAGGAGAGUGAAAUACACUCACUUCGCCACAUAAGCAUUUAGGGAGAUGAUAAUUUCAGUUUUAAACAAUUUAGGGGGGUGAUAGGACCCCGUGAAGUUUAAGUGUGUAGUUGGGAAUCCGAUAAUAAAUUGGGGGUGGAGGGGGGGGGGGCAUUUGACCAUUUUCUCAUUUAAAUUCAAGUUCAGAAAGAAUUUUGGGUCGUCAACGAAACCCAUAUGCGAUUUUGAAAAUAGAAAUGAAAAGAUCCAUUUUUAUGUAUCUAUUACCUCAAUUUGAAGAAUUCGGCAAAUUCAUUAAUGAAAAUAACUUGAGUAUCAAUCAAAUGGUGGAUGAAACGGUUAGAAAUAACAUUCUCGCCAUAUUUUACCCUUCAAAAUUGUUGUUGCGGUCAUCGAUGAUGAAAACAUGAAACAUAUCAACUCCUCCAAAACUUGAGUUUUUUUUUAUACAUCAAAGAUUUAAGAGGGUGUUUGGAUUGACUUAAAAGUUGGUCAAACCUACUUUUAAGUCAGUUUUUGACUUCUGGAAGUGUUUGACAAAUAUAAAAAAUAACUUAAAAUAAGUCGUGAAGUGUUUGGCAAGGUAAAAAUAUGACUUAAAAUAAGUAAAACAUGACUUAAAAUAAGUCAGAAACCAAAAGUAGGUCUCUCCCUACUUUUUAUUUUUUGACUUAAAAGUCAUUUCAGUUUGACUUUUUAGCUACUUUUUUAAGUCAAUCCAAACGGGACUUGAUAAUAUUAAUGGUAGGAAGGAAGAAGUGGGUUGGGUUGAUUGAUAAACUUUUGAUGUUUGCAAGGAAGAUGAAAAUGGUGGAAAGAAGAUUAAUCAAUGGCAAAAAACGAAAGAUUAUCAAAGAUUUGUAACUUCACCUUUCAAUAAUAAAACUUGAAAUUUCAUAACUGCACAUUUCAUUACGGUAAGCUUAAAACUAUCACAAAUAAAACUUGAAAUUUUCUCUUCUAUGACAGAAAAAGUUUCAUCAAACAAAUGUCAAGAAAAAAGCAAAAGAAAA